rnacentral:lncRNA from 1 species
UUUUUUUUUUUUUUUUUGGUAAGGUUAUUUUCUUUUUUAUAUGCACUAAAAAAUAUAUGUUUUUUUUUUUCUGAACAAACAAUAAAUAUUUGUAUAAUAAUUGUUUUUUCUUUAAAAAAGGCUUUACAAUAUAGACUCACUUUUGUGUGAAGUAAAUUAGGGUUUUCUCUGUCACAGUCAGCGACGGGAAAGAAGUUCCAUUGGCGUCUAGGUAUCCCACAUCACAUCUAUGGGUUUCUUGAGUUGUUGGUCUUUUUUGUGGGAUAUUAUACACAUCGAUAAGCAUCUGUCAACUGUUCCAGAAACCGAAGGUUGUCAGCAAAGAAUCGAAACUAGGAUCUGUGCUUUGCCUGACGAUUUGCUCUUGCAGAUCUUGCAUCACGUCCCAACAAAAGAGGCAGUCGCCACUUCAAUCUUGUCUAAACGAUGGCGUUAUGUCUGGACGAUGGUGCCUAGACUCGAGUUCAAAGACGAAGGCAGCGAGAGCGUUGGGUGGUUUAUUGAGAAGUCAUUGCAACUCCAUAAGGCACCGAAACUAGAUGGUUUGAUUGUCGAAAUCGGUCCACAUUGUCCUUUUGACGUAGAUGUUGGAAAGUGGGUUGAGAACGCAGUUAAUAGAGAUGUUGAAGAUUUAGAUUUCAAGCUCCUCUGGACCGCAGAGCCCACAAGAUUUCCUAAGUGCCUUUACACAUGUGACACGCUCGUUUAUUUAACUCUAUCCAACCAGAUUCUAGUGGAUGUUUCCUCCCCGGCUUCCUUACCAUCUCUCUUAUAUUUGAGUCUUCACUACGUGGUGUAUAAAGACGAUGGCUCUCUUGUUAGGCUUUUAUCAAGUUCUCCUAUUCUCAAGUGGCUGAGUGUGCAUAGACAUGAGAAUGACAACUUGAAAACCUUUACCGUGAAAGUUUCUUCUUUAGAAUCAUUUUAUUAUGAUGAUAAUUGGCUCAAGAAUGAGGUAGAGGAUAAUGAGAUUGAUGAGGUAGAGGUUGAUGCGGUAGAGGAUAAUGAGGUUGAUGAGGUAGUGGAUAAUGAGGUAGAGGUUGAUGAAGAUGAUGAUCUCAAUGGAUCGUUGGUAAUAGAUUCCCCUGCUUUAAAAAAUUUGCAGUUAUAUGAGGUUUGGGACUAUUGCUUGAUAGAGAAUAUGUCUUUCCUUGAUGAGGCAUUCAUCAACAAUGUUCCAAACCCCGAUGACAAGUUUCUGAGAUCUCUUUCUUCUGUCAUACAUCUGUACUUGUAUUUGACCAAAUCAAUGGUAGCGAUUACGUAUCCCCGGUCCUCUUCUUUGUUCCAUGUUGCUUAGCCAACUAUGAUGUUAAUUUUUUUCUAUCACACGCAGGUUGCAUGCUGUAACGCCAUCAAGUUCUCCCGGCUCAUAGAGUUACAUUUUCAUCCAGAUGAUUUAGUAGAUUGGUUGAUGCCACUUAUUUUUUUGCUUCAAAAUUCUCCUCAACUUAAAACUCUUACGAUUGACAAUGUAAGUUUUCCAUCCUCCUUUAAAAUAAGUGCACCUAUUUUUGAUGAACUUAAUAUUAAAAUAUACUGUACUGAUACCAGAACUUCGAGGGUCUCCCACUUUCCUGGAACCAGCCGGUAUCUAUUCCCGGAUGCUUGUUGUCUCAUCUAGAGAUCUUUAGGUGGGGAGACUAUGGAGGAAGAGAAGAUGAGAAACAACUAAUGACAUACAUUCUGGCUAACUCAAAGUGUUUAAAGACAGUCGAGAUAUCCCUCUUAGCAACUUGCAAUCUUGAAGACAUACAAGAGGAGUUAGAAUCUAUGCCUAGGGUUUCAACAUCAUCUCAACUUCUAAUCUCCACUAAAAUGGACUGGAGGUUUAACGAUUGAUAUUGCUACUAAUUUAUUUGUUUAAGUACUAGUUAAGCUAUCAUUUAAUGAUUACAUUUAGUUAAUUAUUAGGUUACAACAUGGACUAUCUAGUGCUCAAUUUUCUUGCUCCACUACAGAACUGUAAUACUUUAAAUUGAACUCGAAAUGUUCAUUGACAUUUUAACAAAGCUAAACUGUAAGUAUAAGUACAUAAACAAUGACUAUAACUUUAAACUAGAUUUUAACCCGCGGUACACCGCGAUGAUUUAUUUUUAAAGUUAGUGUAAAAAUAUUUUGUAAAUUGUAUCUCCUUAUAAAAUAUUUAUUUAUAUUAUAAUUUACAAUUGUUAUUAAGUAACGGUAUACCACGAGACAAUUGUUAAUAAACUGAAGAUUUAAUCCAUAUUAAAGCGGCAUGUUAAUGAUAUUUAUAAAUAUUGAUUCAAAUUCGUCCGCCAUAUAAAUCCGUUUCGAAAUAUAACCCGUUCCGUAAUUUUUUAACCCGUCCCGUGAUUUAUUUUUAUUUUAAAAUUUAAUGAUUAUUUAUUAUAUAUAAAAGUUUACAAAUCAUAUCAUUCUCUAAGUUAUUAAUAUUUUAAUAAACUGAAAAUUUAAUCUGUAUUAAAGCGGCAUGUUAAUGAUAUUUAAAAUUUUAUAAAUAUUGACGUAGAUGUUGGAAAGUGGGUUGAGAACGCAGUUAAUCGCGGUGUGAAAUAUUUAGAUUUCAAGCUCCUCUGGACCGCAGAUCCCACAAGCUAUCCUAAGAGCCUUUACACAUGUGACACACUCGUUAGUUUAACUCUAUCCAACCAGAUUCUAGUGGAUGUUUCCUCCCCGGCUUCCUUACCAUCUCUCUUAUAUUUGGGUCUUCACUACGUUGUGUAUAAAGACGAAGACUCUCUUGUUAGGCUUUUAUCAAGUUCUCCUAUUCUGAAGUGGCUGUGUGUGCAUAGACAUGAGGAUGACAACUUGAAAACCUUUACCGUGAAAGUUUCUUCCUUAGAAUCAUUAUAUUAUGAUGAGAAUAAUGAGGUUGAUGAGGUAGUGGAUAAUGAGGUAGAGUUUGAUGAAGAUGAUGAUCUCAAUGGAUCGUUGGUUAUAGAUUCCCCAGCAUUAAAAAUUUUGAACUUAUAUGAGGUUUGGGACUAUUGCUUGAUAGAGAAUAUGUCUUUCCUUGAUGUGGCAUUCAUCAGCAAUGUUCCUUACCCCGAUGACAAGUUUCUGAGAUCUCUUUCUUCUGUCAUACAUCUGUACUUACUGUUUACCAAAUCAAUGGUAGCUAUAUUACAUAUCUCUGUACCUCUUCUUUGUUCCUUAUUGCUUAGCUAGCCAACUAUAAUGUUAAAUUUUUUCUAUCACACGCAGGUUGCAUGCUGUAGCGCCAUCGAGUUCUCCCGGCUCAUAGAGUUUUACUUUCUUCCAGAUAGUUUGGUAGAUUGGUUGAUGCCACUUAUGUUUUUGCUUCAAAAUUCUCCUAAACUUAAAACUCUUACGAUUGACAAUGUAAGUUUUCCAUCCUCCUUUAAAAUAAGUGCAUCUAGUUUUGAUGAACUUAAUAUUAAAAUAUAUUGUACUGAUACCAGGACUUCGAGGGUCUCCCACUUUCCUGGAACCAGCCGAGUUCUAUUCCCGGAUGCUUGUUGUCUCAUCUAGAGACCUUUAGGUGGAAAGGCUAUGGAGGAAAAGAAGAUGCAAAAAAACUAUUGAUGACAUACAUUCUCGCUAACUCAAAGUGUUUAAAGACAGUGGAGAUCUCCCUCUUAGCAACCUGAGUUAGAAUCUAUGCCUAGGAUUUCACAAUCAUCUCAACUUCUAAUCUCCACUAAAAUGGAAUGCAGGUUUAACGGAAUAACUUUUCCUUGAUAUUGUUACUAAUCUACUCCCUCUGUUUCAAAAUAUAAGAGGUUUUAGACAUUUUAUUUUGUUUCAUAUUAUAAGAUGUUUUGUAAGUUUCUAUGCAAAUUUAAAUGCAUUUGAUCAUUUGUGACCAUUUAUAUUCUGCAGUAUUUUAUAUGAUUGGUGAGAUUUGUUUUUAUUAAAUAUAAAUCAUGUUUUUUUAAAGAAAAACAAACUACCUAAAUAUGUGUGUUUUUACCUUAAAUAUUUUAUAAUUUGAAACAGACGAGUUCACAUAUAUAGUAUAAUAACCAAAAAACAGUAUAUAUAAUUAUUUGAAUUUUAUAUAUGUUUCUUGUAACAUUUUAUUCUAAUAAGCAGUAUAUAUAAUUUCAAAAAAAAUAAAAUAAAUAAACAGUAUAUUAAAAUAAACAGUAUAUAAUUGGAUGAUACCCUAAACUAUUAUUUUAUAUUUUCUACUACAUGUGGUGUACCUUGCAUGACUUGUUCUAACUUCUAACGUUUGAUGUUUAGAUAUGGGGUAUGGCCCAAUAAAAAAAAUAUAUCUUCCUUAUGUAGGGAAAUAAUAUUUGUAGGCCAAACCUUAAAAUUAUGAGGCCAUGUUCCCGUCAAAAUGGGCCUCAUCUCGCGUUAGGAUGUUAAGAAAAAAACGAAAGGGACUCACGUUAGGUGAAGUGACACCAGUUUAGAUAAUUCCAGUCUAGAUUAGUUUGCCGCGAUGUGAAUUCAUUUGAACAAUUGAUAAGGUGAAAUUUUUUAUAUCAUAUAUGAAACUGAUUUAAGAGAUUUACAGGAAAACUUUGAGCCAAUGGGUGAUGACACAAUCAAAUCAAUGGUUCCAAGGGUAACAGAAUGGCAUUGAGAAGUUUUGAACAAAAUGGAGUUAUGAGAACUAUCAAAUAAAACUGAACACAUCAAAGUUGACAGAAAGUAGAUUACAUAAGUAGAUUGUAAACAAGAAAUAUGGAUUACAUGUUAUAUUAACAGUAUCCAUCUUUUUAUCAUCUAAGUUAUUUUUCUUCAAGAAUAAAUUACGCAAUUCAUUACCACUUAGUUACCUCAAUUAUCACGCCUAAAAUUAUUGACAAAGAUGUGGUUAUUUGUCAUGUAAGAUUUUAAUGAAAUAAAACACUUUCUUACAACCAUUUGUGAGAAGUAAAACAUAAUACUAAAAAUAUUUUGUUAUGGUGCUGCUAUAGAGAUACAUGUUGUGAUUAUGAUUGAUUUUUGGUAGUAUAGUAAUUAUGAAACAAUGUGACUUAAGAAUGACGAUGGUGAUACUCACUUGACUAAUCCGAUAUAUGUUGUACAUAUGGUGUACAAUUGUUUUUGGAUAAUACAUUAGAAAUCCUCUUGGAAUAAUGUUGAUGGUUGUUGGCUAAUUAGUUGAGAAGAAACAAUUGUUAAUUGAUUGGUUGUUGACAAUAGGCCGUUCAAGCUCGUUUAAGGGAGCCACUUAACCAUGAAAAAGGCUCAAAGCGCAAGAGAAAGAAGAAGCAAGUUGUACCUGCUAAUGUCGCUGCCGAAUUGAAAGUGGAGAAAGAGAAGAGAGAAGCUGCCACAAAGAAAGAGCACAAAAUGGGACAGUUAGUGUUGUGACAAAUGGUGAUGACUUGAAGAGUGUAGCUGGGAAAGAGGUAGGUUCUCUGAUCCAUUGUAUAUAAGAUCUUUUUGGGAACUGCUGUUUGAUUACAUUUUUAGUCAAAUUUGGCAUCAAAAUUUGGCAUAUAAUAAAUAUAGCUUUUUUUCCAGUUGCACUUGCUAGCUAUACGUUUCACAACUAACGGAAAUUUUGAUAAUUUUAAAUUUUCUCAAACACACAAACAUACAUAAUCUCUCCGAGUAUAAAAGCACAAACACAUGGCAAUUAAGUUGACAUAUGGCUUGUGCUUCAUAUGUAAAUGGAUUAAUCAAAAAUGGAAAAUAUCCUUUUGUAUAUGACCCCAAUGGAGAGUAAAUUCUUUUGUAUAGGCCAUGCUUAGUUUAGUUGGAACUUGGAAUGUUGGGGAUUUUUUGUGUGCCCAGUAGUGUGAUCGACUCUUGUAGAGUCUAUUAUCCCUUCCAAAUUCCAAUAAAUAAAAAUCAUAUGAUAAAUAAAAAAAAACUCAAAAUCCCUCAAUGUUGUAAUCCCUAAAAUCUAAAAUUUAUUUAACUCAGAAUCUCCUAAUCUCGUAAACCCCUAAAGAUUACUCUUACAACACUUCGAUGAAGAUGAAAAACCAUCUCACAAUCUAAAACUGUUCACCUCACUUUGCUCCACAUCGGUUUCUUUCUAUUUUUCACAUUCACAGAGUCUAGGAUAGAUAAAUUGUAGUCGAUCCAACUCCAUAUGCACUUCUCUUUAUCUAAAUUUAGUGGUUAUGGUUCUUGUCACACACGACAUCACAACGGCUUUUAGAAACUGGCCUAUCUCUCAUGGUUAGCUAAUGCUGUUUAUAUUUUCUUGCUCUCUUCUAAUUGUUGAUGAAAUUUUUAUACGACAUUUCUCACCAUUUCUUUCUUGCUUUUCUCUAUAUCUACCUCUAAUCUUUUAUUCUACUCAAUUAGAAAGUAACAUAUUUUCUGAUUGAUCAUUUUUUUCUCGUCUUUGAUUUAAGGUUUAAGUCAAGAAUCCCAGAUGAGGUUGAGGCAAAACAUGGUGUUCAAGAGAACAAUCCAUGGUCCAACAUCUAAAAUUUGAAAGCUGAAAUCGAUGGCCGCCUGCUACCGAGACGAUCAGACUAAUAUAUUAUUGGAUGAGUAUUUUGACCAUGAAGGAUAUGUGCAUAUCGAUAGUAGAUCGUAGCUCGAUUGCUUUGCAGAUUAUUAACCCUAGUGGCUUGAUUCUUGCAGGGGAUUAACGAAUGAAUGAAGAACACAAAGUUAAGACGCCGCCGCAAUAUACCAAGUUAUAUCAAGAUCAAACAAGAUUUUGGUACAUCAGUUGUAGCACGUAUACCUAGUAAAGGGGUAGUUUCGUCCUUUCAUUAAAAGGAGGAGAGUAUGUAGAUUAGAGGAGAUGUACUACCUAGUUGUACCUCCUCCUAGUUGUACCACCUAGUUGUAUCCGAAUAUUCCCGAAUAUUCUCUAGUUGUACCAGUUACAACCCGAAUAAAAGGAUUCGAACCCUGGGGGCGCGCGCGUGCGCAUGGAGCUCGCAACCACUGAGCUAUUGUGUUUUUCAUUGAACAUUUACCGAUUUAAUUUUAUUUAAUCUUUAUCACCCGAAAUCAACCCUCAUUAAGGAUAAUUUUGUCUUUCUACCAUUGAGGAGUAUUUGCGACAAAAUUUGGAGCUUGAGGAGCCCCUGAGAAUUUGUUCCUUCCAAAGCUAUGUAUUACCUUAAGUACAUCGGUAACUUUUUUUCCUUCACUUUUGUGUCUUUUACAGUUUUUUUUUUUUUUUUUUAAAAUACUUUUACAGUUUUUACCAUUUUGGUUCUGUUUAAAAAAAUAGAAAGAAGAGAAACCACCUUCGCUUUCUCUGCUGGUGGAAGGUGGUGCUUCGAUACUACGACAAAGAGCAACAAACUAGUAAAUCCUCAGAGAUCUGAGCCCCAUUUUUACUCGACAUAUCUUUCCGUCACUACUUCUCGACAUUCCGGUGUACCGGAUUCUGAUUCCGGAACGGACAUUGCUUCACGUUGGCCUGUAAGCAGAUUUCGUUUUUUGCUCUGACUUUGAUUUUGUUAUCUUUGUAGUUGAUUCAGUAAAUUCUUCUCUGAUAUGAGGAAAUUUCUGGGCACUUCUGAUUUUGCCGUCUCUAGUGAUUUUGAAUUGCCAAGACUAGUCUUUUGGGAUUUUGUUGAAUUUCAAUUUUUUCUAAGACUAACCGAAAAAAAUCUGAUUUUUUUUUCUUCUUAUUUAGUAUAAAGUUCGUGAAUCUAACAUUAUCUGCUGAAUCUAUAGUUAAAUUUGAAAAUGAUUUUGAAAUUCAAUGUAAUUUUAUGUUUAUCAUAAACCAUAAUUUUUUCAUGUUUCAGGGAUUGAUUUACGUUAAACAAUAUCAACAUUCUACUGUAAGAUUGAAUCUUGAUGAUCUCGCCGCCCGAUUUCUCGUUUGAGUGAUUUUGGCUGAUAAAAAUGAAGAGAUUUUAUGGAGGACUUCUUGUUGUAUCAAUGUGUAUGUUCUUGACGGUGUAUAGAUAUGUUGACUUGAAAACUCCUGUUGAAAAGCCUUUUAUUACUGCUGCUGCUUCUGUUGUUGUUACUCCUAACACCACUCUUCCUAUGGAAUGGCUGCGGAUUACACUCCCUGACUUUAUGAAAGAAGCGAGGAACACUCAAGAAGCGUUAUCUGGUGACGAUAUUGCUGUUGUUUCGGGUUUGUUUGCUGAGCAGAAUGUGUCUAAAGAAGAGAGAGAGCCUUUGCUUACUUGGAACCGUUUGGAAAGUUUGGUUGAUAAUGCACAGAGCUUAGUUAAUGGAGUUGAUGCUAUUAAGGAAGCUGGCAUUGUUUGGGAGAGUCUUGUGUCAGCUGUUGAAGCUAAGAAACUAGCUGAUGUCAAUGAAAAUCAAACGAGGAAAGGGAAAGAAGAGCUUUGUCCUCAGUUUCUCAGCAAAAUGAAUGCUACUGAAGCUGAUGGGAGUAGUCUCAAGUUGAAAAUUCCUUGUGGUUUAACUCAGGGUUCCUCCAUCACAGUUAUUGGCAUCCCAGAUGGUCUUGUUGGUAGUUUUCGGAUUGAUCUAACGGGACAACCGCUUCCAGGGGAGCCUGAUCCGCCCAUUAUUAUGCAUUACAAUGUUAGGCUUCUUGGUGACAAGUCGACGGAAGACCCUGUGAUUGUUCAAAACAGCUGGACGGCAUCUCAUGAUUGGGGAGCUGAGGAACGCUGCCCAAACUUUGAUCCUGAUAUGAAUAAGAAAGGUGAAUGCAAGUAUAGUUUCACCCGCUUACAUAAAUGUAGUCACUUGAUCUUCCAUGAAUAAGCCUGUUGACAUGAUUAUAAUACACAGUGGAUGACUUGGAUGAAUGCAACAAGAUGGUUGGUAGAGAAGUAAACCGAACUUCUUCUACUAGCUUGCAGUCCAACACUUCAAGGGUAGUUCCAGUAGCUAGGGAAGCAUCUAAACAGGAAAGAUACUUUCCUUUUAAGCAGGGUUUCUUAUCGGUUGCUACACUUAGGGUGGGAACGGAAGGAAUGCAAAUGACAGUUGAUGGGAAACAUAUAACCUCAUUUGCUUUCCGCGAUGUAAUAUUAAUAUCAUCACUCUUCUUUUACAUUCUUCUACUGUUCUUAGCAAUUUUUUCAUCAAAUGUUUAGUUUCUCAUGUGGGUUCUUCAUCUUUUGUUCAUCCUUUCAGACACUGGAGCCGUGGCUUGUUAGUGAAGUACGGAUUACGGGUGACUUUAGGUUAUUAUCCAUUCUUGCCAGCGGUUUGCCCACAUCAGAAGAAUCAGAGCACGUUGUUGAUCUAGAGGCACUAAAAGCACCUCCCCUUUCACCAUUAAGGCCACUAGAUCUCGUUAUUGGUGUUUUCUCCACUGCAAACAACUUUAAAAGACGGAUGGCUGUGAGAAGAACAUGGAUGCAAUAUGAUGAUGUAAGGUCUGGAAGAGUUGCAGUACGCUUUUUUGUUGGCCUUGUAAGCUUUCUUCUUCUCUGAAAAUAUCUGGUGUAUGUUGGAAUUGCUUAAUUCUUAAUCAUGAUUUUCAUUGUGGUUGAUAAUGCAGCACAAAAGUCCUCUUGUUAACCUGGAACUCUGGAAUGAGGCUCGGACUUACAGUGAUGUUCAGCUAAUGCCCUUUGUUGAUUACUACAGUCUCAUUAGUUGGAAAACACUAGCCAUCUGCAUCUUCGGGGUAAUAAUUUUCUUUGUCAUGUCUCUUCCUUGACACAAUUGAGUAGUAUUUACUGUUUUACCUCACUAACGACAUAUUUUAAACAGACAGAGGUUGACUCAGCCAAGUUCAUCAUGAAAACGGAUGAUGACGCCUUUGUUCGUGUAGAUGAAGUACUACUUUCUUUAUCAAUGACCAACAACACUCGCGGGUUAAUAUACGGACUGAUCAAUUCUGACUCUCAACCUAUUCGAAACCCCGAUAGCAAAUGGUACAUCAGUUACGAGGUACAACACAAUCUGACAUGGCCAUGUUAUCAAAUAGACUGAUUUCUGAAUUCAUUUAACAAAGUUUCUACUAAAAAAAACAGGAAUGGCCUGAAGAGAAAUAUCCACCAUGGGCGCAUGGUCCAGGCUACAUUGUAUCCCGGGACAUAGCAGAAUCGGUUGGUAAGCUUUUCAAAGAAGGAAACCUAAAGGUACUAUAACACUCUAUGCUAACUCCAUUUAGUCACGGAUUCACAUAGAAAUGGAUUGUGAAAUUUUGAAAUUGUGAAUAGAUGUUUAAGCUAGAAGAUGUGGCAAUGGGGAUAUGGAUAGCUGAGCUGACGAAAUAUGGACUCGAACCUCAUUACGAAAACGAUGGAAGGAUCAUUAGUGAUGGAUGCAAGGAUGGUUAUGUGGUUGCUCAUUACCAAAGCCCCGCCGAAAUGACUUGCCUUUGGCGUAAAUAUCAAGAAACCAAACGCUCUCUUUGCUGCCGCGAAUGGUAAAACUCAAAAACUGAAACGCACAUUUUAAACCAUUGCGGUUUGGUCCGCAGGUACAUAAAGAGAAAAGAGUUCAUUCUUAGUCACAAAAUAUUUGAAUUCGUUUGUUUGUUGUACAAGUAGCCUAGAUUUGCAAUUUAGUUUAGGUGUAUAUUACUUGUUUCACUAAAGAUGUACUAAAACUUUGAACUGAUACUUUUUAAUUCGAUGAGAGUAUAGAAAAUUAGAAAUCAUAAGAGCAUAUUAUAUACUUUUACAAUUUCAUUUUAAUCAAUUGUUAUUGCUUACUCUUCACACAUGUUAACCUGUAAUCCACUAGAGAGUGAGACGUGUCACUUCAAGUAAAGAUCCGAAACCAGUGGAACUUUUUCUUCUCUUCUUAUCCCACCACCAGGCAUAUAAAUAUGUGCAACAGCCUCGAGUGUUGAACUAAAAAUUCCAGAAACACCCUUCGUCGUCGUUAAGUAUACUCUCUGCUAUGAGGAGAAUUUAGACAAAUCAUAAAUGUUGAGUCAGAGAACAAUGUGACAUAGGUAUUUGGCUAUUUGCUAAUGGAUAAACAUAUCGAUAAGAUCAAUCAUUCUCUUCAACUUAAAUUAUUUUAGGUCCCAUAGGCCAUAAGUAAUUUACUCAAGAGAAAAAAAGUCUACUCGUUAAUAAUUUCUAGAUCUUUCCGCAAGCAACUCUCUUAAAUCUUGAAACGCCAAGUUUCCUUAGAGAAUCAAACAAUUAUUUUGUUUUGAGAUGGCGACAGAACAAGAAGCUGAAGUUGGAACAGAGACAUCAUCUACUUCCGGAAGAUUUUUGAGGAACAGAGAUUUAUAUCUCUUCUUGCCUUUUCUCUUAGGUUUCUCUGAUCAAGAACCAUCAAACGGCGAUGAUGAUGAUGUUGCUUCGUCGCGUGAGAGAAUCAUUUUAGUCAACCCUUUUACACAAGGAAUGAUCGUGCUCGAAGGAUCAUCGGGAAUGAAUCCUCUGCUUCGUGACAUACUGGAGUCACGUGAGGAAGGUCGUCCUCCUGCGUCCAAGGCUUCCAUCGAUGCGAUGCCGAUCGUUCAGAUCGAUGGUUAUGAAGGAGAGUGUGUGAUCUGUUUGGAGGAGUGGAAGUCCGAUGAGAUGGUGAAGGAGAUGCCGUGUAAGCAUAGGUUUCAUGGUGGAUGUAUAGAGAAAUGGUUAGGGUUUCAUGGGUCGUGUCCUGUUUGUAGGUACGAGAUGCCUGUUGAUGGAGAUGAGGUUGGGAAGAAAAGAAACGAUGGGAGUGAGAUUUGGGUUAGGUUUAGUUUCAACGAUGGUCCGAGAAUUAGAGAUUCUUCUGGUCAGGAAGGUGGAAACAACGAUGGUGAUGGUAACACUAUUGGAUCUAGCACAAGACCUGUUGUUGAGUCCGAGGAUUAGGAUUUUACAUAAGAAGCUUUUGUAAAAACUUGUGCCUUUUUUUGUUUGGUUUCUUUUUGUUCUUGUUUUUGGGAGAAAUUGAUGAGCAUUUUUUUCUUUUCCCAUGAAAAUUUGGUUUUUAGGUUUCUUUCUUUUGGUUUGCUUCUUCGUUUAAUUUCUUGAAUUCGUGUAUUAGAAGUUAGGGAUUUUCAAUAACUCUUUUAGUUUUCUAUUGCAAGACUUCUUUUUCUACGAAAUUUAGAACAUAAACAAUGAACACGUUUACAUGUCCUUGAAACUGUUCAAACUCAAUCCCAAGUCUUCUUCACCCUCGUGACUUCUAAAACCUCUCUUCCUAAUAGGUUGUUCCGUGCAAACGGCGCCGUUCCAGCUUCUCCUCUUUUGCUUCAUCACUUCCUCUGGUUUUAACUCCAUCAACUCAAGCUCACUCGAUGUCCUCAUAACGCUCUGAUAAUGGCUUUCAAUUUCUAAGCUCUCCGGCAAAGUCAAGGAGCUGUCAACUGAACUUCUCGUCUGUCGAAUUCCUCUGUUUUCUUGUUUCUUGGAUCCUAAGAAAGCUUCUCUUUCCUCAACCUGCUCUUCUUCAUCUACUUGCGUCAGUUCAGAAAAAGAAGAGCUGAGACAGCUUCUGUUCUCCAUUGGUGUUACUCUAUAGAGUUCGGAUUCGGAUCUAGCAAAGUCUAUGCCGAGAUUCGAAAAUGUGUAACCGGAGAGUGUUUCUUGAGCUUUAAUUAACACUGACUGUAAAUAUUUCCCUUGUGCCUCUGUCCUCACUUGCAACUGUCUCUGCACCUGAAACAAAAGUAGAAACUUUCAAGAACUUCCAAUUGUAUCUGAAGCAAGAAAGCUCUGAUUAUACAUAUUGUGUGAUUCAAUCAGAGUCAGAGGCGUAAUGUUGUUUACUUCGAUUUGUUCGUGAAGCUUCUUUUGGACUUCCAAUUGUAUUUCUAGCGCCUCCUUGAUAUGCAAGUUUCUGCUUUAUGAAAAUGAUUAUAAUGAAUUCAAGAAAGCUGAAUCUAGCUAUGAAAACAGAGUAAUCUUUUCUUCUUUGAUGAUUAUUACUUGUUAGGUUGACCAUCUUUUUGGGUGACAAUAAUGUCUAGUUGAUGAUCUCUAGGAUUCUGAGCUUCUAGAAUUUCUGCAGCACAAGAAACUAAAAUAACCAAACCCCACUAGCUCAGAUCAAACCUCAAAAUUUUUAGAAUUUGUAAUCUUAUAACAACAUUAAUAAAUCUACAGAUUAACAAAUAAAACAUCAUCAUAAUCAAAGAAUUUCUAACCAUCUUCUUGCUUGUUACCAACGAAUCUCUUGCUUUUUACCAGCCGAUAUUUCUGAAAAGCAAAGAAAAAUAGAACAUGAAUCUGCCAAUUUUGAGUUUGUAAAUUGCAAGAAAUGGAGUAAAAAAAAAACUAAUUCGAAUUAAAGUUUUUUUUGUCAAAAAAACCUGUAAAUGGCUCUUAAGAUGUGACAAAGUAAGCUUAGGAAUCUCCAUAAUCCUCAUCAAACCCUUGGGCGUCGCUUCUGAAGUCACACAUAACAAAGAGAAAAAAAUGAAAAACCAAUCAAGAAUCGAACAUAAGACCAACCAAACCACAAACACUUCUUGAUUCCUUGAUUAAGAGGUUUCAAAAGGACAAAGAAGAUGGAAACAGAACUUUCUAGUCCACCAAGUUGAUUAACAGCAUCGAUGAAUCUGUUUUGAAGCUCACAACUCCAUCUCAAUCUCUGCUUGGAUUCCUUUGACUUCUGGUUCUUCUUAUUAUCCAUGUUCUGUAGUAACAAUCAAGAAUAUAUGAUCUCAAACGCAAAAACACUACUCUGGCCACAAAAAAGAUUUAAAAGAACAUGUAGUUGUUGGAGUUUGCUUUUACUCUUGUUCUUCAAAUCUUAUUCUCACACCAUAUCUGGAAACAUGAGUGGGGAAUAUAUGCUCUCUGGACUCUUUUCUCUUUCUUUUUCUUUUAUUUAUCUACUUUUUUCGCAGUUUACGUUUAAGUAUUUGACUAUUUGUUUCCCUUUCCUCGAUUACCUCCGGAUUUCACACAACUUUUUAAAUAUAUUUUUCUAUAUUUUUGGAAGUUUUGUGUAACGCUUUCUUCUUUGACCUGAAGUGGGUUAGACAGAAUCUAUGAUGCAAUAAUGUCAAAUGACAAACUUCCCAAGAAAAUUAUCCUAGACUGGAGUUUAUCAAGCUCAUUUCUUCUCCUUAACUCGACAACCCCAUUUCCAUACUCUUCUCCUUUGAUGUAUUUCUUGGAAUUUCCCUAAACUAUAUUAUAGCAUGUAAUAAAACGCCAACAAUUAAACAAUGGUAAACAAAAGGUUAAAAAUGUUGUAGGUGUACAAGAUAUAGUAACAAUUAUAUAAUAACAUUAACAAUAUCAACCACUUAACAUGCUUAUUUUUUUACUAUUAUAAACCACGGAAAGGAAAAUAAGAUGCAACAAAUAUUUUAAAGCUUAAAAUCCCAUAAAAAUAUAUAGAAGAGCCUCUAUGGAUCCCAUGAAAAGCAUAUAGAAUGGCCUCCGUCACGUUUUUCACGACAAGGGGCUGGUUCAUAAAUGUACCAUAUACAUUCUCUACAGACCCCAAUAGGACUUGUUGCACUGUCGUCUCUGUCUGCCCUAAAAAUAUCAAAUUUCUCUUUACUUCCGGGCCACUCGAAAGUGCAAUUAUACGUUGUUGUUUUACGAAAAUUGACAUGAAACCUGAAAUCAAAACUAGCUCCAAUUGGGAGCUUUUUUAUCCCCAAAUCUUUCUCUUUAUUCAUGCAAUGUACGACCAAUGUUGCACGUGUGGUCAAUGUGUUGUAGAUCACGACAUGUUUAGGUGAAAACAGUAAAAUUCCAUCGAUGGACGAAUGAUUUCCCAAAGAUGACGAUUUUUUUGGGAUAAAUAAAAAUGAGAGAAGCAGGAAAGUGAAGUGGUUAUUUGUUGAGGAAGCCAUGGAAGGGUUUAAAGGUUUUGUGACACAAUAUUUUUCUUUGCUUCGAAAGUAUAGUAUUUUAUAGAUGGAAAAACAUCUAUUAUAUAUCUUUUAAUUAGUCAUUGGGAGGGUGAAAAGGAUGUGAAAAUCUGUUAUUCUUUAAAAAUAAUCUAAAAACUAAUAAUUAGUUGAUUACUAGCUUACUAAAUAAAAUCUAUCUUUAUUGUUCUUUAAAUGGUUAAUAUUUUUCAAAGUGUAAAAUGAUAAGAUCUCUCAAAUUAUCUUUUAUAAUGCAGUGCAAUUUUGUCCAAAAACUCUGUUUUUUGUCAUUAACAUUUGUUAGUCACAAUUGAAAUCUUUUAUAAGAAUUCUUGAUCUGCUGUCCUCUUAACUUUUUACAAUUUGUUAAAUAUACAUUAAACUACCGAGAGAAACUGCCAUUAUAGAUUUUCUUCUUGUUGUUUUCCCACAUGGAAACAACUAGAAAUCCAAGAGGUUGGCUCUUGCACGAUAAAAAUAGUUUUUAUUUUGGACAAGUGCAAAGAGCUGGUUGGUUAGACACAAAAGAAUAAAGAUAGAUACGUCUCCACAAGCCAGACUAGGAGCCUCUCAACUUUUCCCGAUGAGCACUAAGGCGAUUUUCUUGUGUAUAUUCAAAGAGAAAAAGAUGAGAGUUUUAGCGUGAGAGGGUAGAGAAGAUUUGAAUGUGAGUUGAAUGAUAGCUCUUCAUAAUCCUCAUCAACGCUUAGGUUUCGCCUCUAAAACCACAGAAAGCAAAACAAAACACACACCAAAACACACAUGAUUCCUUGAUUCUUUGGUUUGAAAAGGACAAAGAAGAUAGAUGCAUGAAGCUCACAAUUCCAUCUCAACCUCAGGUUAGAGUCCUUUACCUUCUAAUUUUUUUCAUUAUCCAUGUUUUGUAGAAAUCCAAAUGGGAGCUUUUUAUACACAAUGUGCGGCCAAUGUUGCAGGUGUGGUCAAUUUGUUAACGAUCAAAAUCUGUUUAGGUGCAAACGGCAAUAAUCCGUCGGUGGACGAAUGAUUUUCACAAGAUGACGAUUUUUUUUUUUUUUUUUUUUGAUAAUUCAGGAGAAUCUCAGAUCUAUAGAGGGGCCCAGACUAAUCCCUUGGGGGAGGUGCAGCUCACAGAUAGACUCUUUCUCCGGGUAUGCAAAUGGGCCGAAAGCAAGGGCCCAUAUCCAUGUGGCCAAGUAGAGAUCUAACAAUUGCGCGCUUGCGGGGAAUCGAUCACUGGCCUAGACCAACAGGGCAACUCUUCCACAAGUGGCAACCACUAGACUAAGAACACUUGGUUAAGAUGACGAUUUUUAUUAGGAUAAAUAAUGGAAAUGAGAGUAUAGCACCAAAAUAUAAUUGUUAUUUGUCGACGAAGUCAUGGAUAAAUUUAAAGUUGUUGUGAAACAAUUUUUUAUGCUGUUCGGACUUCCGAAAGUAGUAGAUAUAGAAAAACAAUUAUCUUUCGGUAAGAAAAAAAAGCUAAUGGGUGAAAUCUAUAUCUACGUAAUUAAUUAAUUACAAGUAAAUGUAUAGAGAAUCUAAACAUGUUCAUUAGUAAUUAAAUUCUAUAUUUACUAGCAUACUAUUGCUAGAUAAAAUCUAUCUUUAUUGUUCUUUAACAAAUUAAUUAUUAUUUUAGAAAUUAAUGUAAUACAAUAUCUCAAAUCCUCUUUUGUAAUAUAAUAAAAUCACACCAAUAAAACUACAGUUCUUGAUAUUUAAUAGUUUCUUACUUUCUUUUAGUUGACAUCUUUUAUAAAAGUUCUUGAUCUGCUGUCUUCUCACUUCUUACAUUUUGUUUAAAUGAUAUUAAAUUAAUGAGAGAAACUACCAUUAUAUUUUCUUGUUGGAUUAUAAAAAAAAUCAUCAAUAACUUUUAAAAGAAGAAACCCUCUCUACCUUAUUUUAAUUUAAAGGUGUCCACGUAAAGAAAAGUGAACCCAUCAUAUACCAUACAACUAAAGUAAGAGAACUUUUAGAAUUAUGAAAAUAUAUAUAUGCUUGGUCUCUAAAUGAGCACAGGUCCACAACGAUGAUCCAAUAUUGACAUGGAAAGAGACACCCAAUUACUCUGCGGUAGAAUAAUCAAUACUCGUCUCGGAUUUAGAGAAAUAUGAAACAAAUAUAUGAAUGAAAUUGCAUGGUUAUGUAAAAAGCUUAUGUAUAUGUUGUAAACAAUUAUUAGAAGAGAAAAAUUGACAAAUAUGUAACAACAAUUUCAAACAGAUUAUAUGUCUAUUUAUUAAUAUUCCAAUGCAACACAAUGAAAGAAAAGUACCAUAAAUAUUAAAAUUAUAGCUGAGACAAUUUCACGCAAAAUCUCAAAGCGAAACUCAUUUCACCUUAUUUCCCCCUAACUUACUUAAUCAUCGUAUUCGUCCGUCUAUAUAAGAUGAUUAAGAGCUUGAUUAGUAUGCAGUUCUUUCAUGUUUUCAAUAAUUCCGUCAAGUAAUUAUUAUUCAUAAAAUUGUGAUGAAUGAUAAAACAUAAAAGAUGACAAGUGACUUUUUAAUUUAUCUUGCAUGUUUUAAAAUUAUAACUAAACUAGAGAAAAUUUGUUCAUCUAGCUACUAAAUAGUAAUUUUUUUUGCCUUUGAAAAAAAUCAAUUCUAAUCAGUUUAAAAGUUUCUGUCAUUCUAUUGAUUCUGCUAUUUCAUAAUUCGUCUAUUCAUCUAUUAAUCUGACAUACCAGUCGAUCUUUAAGAUGUCCAUGAAAAACAGAAAGGAGCCCCUCCAUCGCGUCUAGCACGACAUGGCCCUGACUCACAAAUAUACCAAAUACAUUCUUUACAUAUUCCACAUGUACUUUUUGAAUUAUCGUCUCUAUCCACUCUAAAAAUAUCAAACGUCUUUGCAUUUCCUGGCCACGAGAAUGUGCAAGUGUAUGUUGUUGUUCUGCGUAGAUUGACAUGAAACCUAAAAUCUAUUUGUUCUUGGGAUUGGAGCGCACGAAACCCCAAAUCUUUCCCUUUAUUCCUACAGUGCACGACCAAUAUUUCAUGUGAGUUCAAUGUGUUGAUGAUUACAACAUGUUUAGGUGAGAACGGGAAACCUCCAUCGACAGAUAAAAAGUUUCCAAACGCUAACGACGUUUUGAUGAUUUCAAGAAUUGUAAUUAGCACGAAAAUGAAAUGGUGAUUUGUUGAGGAAGCCAUGGAUGUAUUUUUGCUGGUUUGUAAUAUACUUUUUUUUGUGAAGUGGUAUUUAUGAAGUAAAAACAUUUGUGAACAUUAUUACCCUUCUUGUUAUUUCCUUGACAAACAUUUAAUAUACCCUAUAAUUAGUCAUAUUUAAAAGGAUGUGAAAUUUGUUAAUUAAAGAUGUGAAAAUCUGUAGGUUAUAUAGUUUAUAAUGAUGUAUUUUCAAGUAAACAUGUCUAUUGGUUGCUAGCACAUUUUUUUUUUUUUUUUGGGAAUUAAGAAGGUAAGAUAUCUCAAAUCAGCUGUUUUUGUCUAAUAGUAUUCGGUCUGUCAUCUUUACUUCUUUAGUACUCCCUCUGUAUUUGAAAAAAUGUCGUUUCAACUGUUUUUGGGUGAAUUAAGAAAGGGCACAGAAUUACAAAACUAACCUUAUGAGAAACGAUUAUUUACAAUUAUAUUUUUGGUAUAUGUAGUUUUGGUAAUUUAGACUGAUUAAUUAUGAUCAAUUAAUUGGGGGUAAUUUAGGAAAUUUUAUGCAAAAGUUGUUAAAAUGACAACUAAUUAAAAACACAGAAAAAAGGCUAGAACGACAUUUAUUCAAAUACGGAGGGAGUAGGUUUUUCUUUAGCCAUAUUUAGCUAGUCCAAUUAUUCACAACUAUUUUUUAUAUUUUUCUAAUAAAAAAAAAAACUAAAUACCUUUCAUUAUAUAUUGACGUCUUCUAAAUUGUUAAAGAGAGAAACUUUUAAUAGUUUUUUAGAUUUAAAAAAAAAAAAAAAAGAGAAAAACUAUUAAUGAUGGGAUAUUAAAAAAACAGAGAUAUAUGUAGAGAAAUCGCUUAAUUUAUUUUUAUUUCUUCUAUUAUUUUUUUGUCAACUAUUUUAUUUCUUCUAUUUAGCCACUAUUCUCUCAAAUAAUUUACGUACUGCGAUGUUUUUUGUUAAUUACAAAAAUGAAAUUGGAGUCUUAACACAUUUUCUGAGCGGAAACAUAAGUAAAAAAGAUAGUGUUUGGCUAAUUAGCGUAAAAGUCUUCAAAAUAUGAUUAAUCUGACUUCUAGAGAAGAGCUUGAAUUUGGUGAUGGUAAAUAGGGACUCAUCAACCAAUUAGUAAAUGCAUAUUUUGGGAUACUUCUUGACAAGCAAACAUAUUUGCGUCCAUGGAAUACACAAGAAUUAGCAAAACACACACAAAGAAUGAACAACACCACUUAAGCUAAGAGAAUAGAUAAAUAUGGAUUUUUGUAUUUAAACUAGAAAGUAGAAAGUAAACCAGCAAGCAUAUUACAAACAAGCUAAACGUAUAUGGGUUUUCAAAUCUUGUAUUCUUUAUCUUGAACCUCUAAUUACUCGGUCCAUUCCGUUAUAUGCUUCGCUUCAUCUUUUUUGCGUCCGAAAGGUAUCCAAACUCCGCUUUUUCUGAGGUGUGCCGGCAAAUAAUCAAAAGACUCCAAAAUGCAAUGCAAAACUCCUAAGAUGCCUAUAUACGAAAAGAAAAACGAGCAAAAUUACAAUGGUUAAAAAGGGGAUAUAUUAGUUUUUAUGCUUGGAUAUGCUACUUACCUAAUAAAAUAAUGACACUGAUUUCUAACACACCUAUGGUAGAUGUUCAUUGGUCCUAUGGCCUAUGGGAUGACGACUUUUAACUCUAAGUAGUAUUUUCUAUUAGACGUGUGAACUUCACACGGUGUACAACCGACGUAGACCAAACAAUGUUGCAUAUUGCCAUGUGGAGUUACUCUAGAAUUGGCAUUUUUGUAAAAUAGUUUUAUCAUGUUCUGUUUUUUAUAAACAGGGUAAAUCAUGAGCUGAACCUAAAUUAAUCCUCGAGAUCUAUAGAAAUUGGGUAUCCUUGCGAUAUAAGGUAUCUACGGUAACCCAAAAGAAAUAGAUCCAUGGUUUUCAUACAAGAGAGAGUCCUCAACCCUUUUGAAGAGACUGCUAAGCCACUUUUAUAGGACCAUUCAAAAACAAAAUCUCCAUUUUAAUAACUAACUAAUUUAUGUCUCGUAGUGAAUUUUUCGAUGUGACAAAAAAUGUCGAUUUUUUCAUAACAUUUUUCUCUCUAUUUCUAGAGAGUUUUUCUUUACCAAGUUUUAGUUGUUUCCUUAAGAACUCCAAAAUCCAAACUGACGGCGUUUAUGUGCUUUAAUUACACGAAAUAAUUGCUUCUCUUGCGGUUUAAAUUUAUGUGCGGUAUUCAUUCUCAACAACGAACUCCGGAAAGUUUGAACUCCAAUUAACAUUCUUUGACUAGAUUUCGUACGAGUAUAGUAAGGUUAUUCUGCUUCUUCCGGAUCUACAAGAAUAAGCGGUGAACCAUAAAUCAUAUAUACCAUAUUCAGUUUGAUUGGGGAAUGGAUGUAUAUAUCCAAAGAAACAAAACCGUGAAUCCUUAUGAAAACGUUUUUUUUUUUUUUUUGAAUCAAAAUCCUUAUGAAAACGUUGCCUCGUGAAUGUGUCGUGAAUUCAGAAUUGCAUGGUUAUAAUACAAAUCUACUCUAUUAUCACAUGAGAAACUAACAUAUAUGUAACCACAAAUUCAUACACCAACUUAUUUUAUUUUAUUAUUACUAAAGUAAAUGAAGGGGAAAAUACAAGAUAUUUUUAAAUGACUAAGAAGCCCAAGGAAAACACUGAGGCUGGCCUCCAUCACGUCUAUCACGACAAGGAGCUGGCUCAUAAAUACUCCAAAUACAUUCGCUGCAAACUCCAUAUUUACCUCUUGGAUUAUCGUCUCUAUCCGCUCUAAAAAUAUCAAACGUAGCUGUAUUGCCGGGCCACUCGAAACUGCAAGUGUACGUUGUUGUUUUACGGAGAUUGACACGAAACCUGAAAUCAAAACGAGCUAAAUGUUGGAGGCUUAUUACCCCUAAAUCGUCCCCUUUGUUCCUACAAUGCACAAUCAACGUUGCAAGUGUGACCAAUUUGUUGAUGAUGAUAACAUGUUUAGAUGCGAAGGGAAAGAAUCCUUCGGUGGAGGAAUAAUUUCCAAAUGAUGACGACGCUUUAUGGACAACGAGGAAUAAAAUUAACAUGAAAAUGAAAUUUUGAUUUGUUGAAGAAGCCAUGUGUGUGGUGGUUUUACUUUAAGACUUUGUUUAUUCGGAAGCAAAAUUUAUAGAUCAAAGAACAUAUAAGUUCUUUUUUUUUUAACUGCAAAAACAAUAUAUUAUUUUUUUGGGAUAAAGGAUGUGAAAAUCUUUAGUUUAUAACUUAUAACAAUGUAUUGGCGAUAAAGAUAUGGAGUCUAAUCAUGUUCAUUAAUAAUUAGUUAAUUAUAACCAUACUAAUUAAAAUCUAUAUUUUAUGCUUUCUAAAUUAAUAUUAUUUUCUGGCAACAAAAAUGGUUAGAUUUAUGGAAUUUUCUAUUUUUCACCUAUAGAGCUAUUUGUCUUUCAAUUAUUCAUGACUAUGUAAUUUUAUUAAAAAUUACAUAUUUAUAUCAAACAAAUUAUUUUUAUAAUCUUCUAAUUAUAUUUUCUUAACUUUUAAUUUAUAUAUUUAUUAAUGUCAUUGUUAUUUACAUAUCUUCUAAUUAAUAUUAAUAUCAAAAUUUAUAAAUAUUCAUUAAAAAUAUCUAAAAAAUUCAACAUGCUAGACUCGCGGAUUUUCUUUUAUUUUGUGUUGUAAAUAAGUGUACAUUAUUUUUUAUAUCUAUUUUUUUAUGAUCCUAAUAAGCACUCCCAUCUAUUGGUGAAUAUUUACUUGUUUUUCUAAUUUGGUUCAUCCAAAUUAUGAUGUUACAAUAAUUUUAACUUUUAUUAGUUUACCAUUUUCAGUAUUUUGUGCUUAUGUAUCACAAAUUUUUAACUAUUUUAUUUAAUUAUUUAUGCUUAUAUUUUAAUAAUUUCUAAUAUAAUUCAUAUUAAAUAGUUUUAUAUUCAUUAAUAACUGAACGCAUGUUAUCUAUUUAUUUGUUUUUAACACUAAAUUGUCAAUUUCUGAAGAGGUCAUUUUGUCUAUUAUAUAUAGGAUUGUCGUUGCAAUUGUUGUGUUUCCAAACGCAGACCAACUGGUUAGAAUUUCAUGGUUAUAAGAACAACCUAAUCUAGCUAAUAUCAUAAGACAAACUAAAAAUAUGUAACCACAAAUUCAAACACCAAAUUAUUUUAUUUUAUUAUUACUAAAAUAGAUGAAAGGGAAAGUACAAGAUAUCUUAAUAUUUUUAACUGACUAAGAAGCCCAUGGAAAACAUUGAGGCUGGCCUCCAUCGCGUCUAUCACGACAAGGAGCUGGCUCAUAAAUACUCCAAAUACAUUCGCUGCAAACUCCAUAUUUACUUUUUGGAUUAUCGUCUCUAUCCGCUCUAAAAAUAUCAAACGUAGCUGUAUUGCCUGGCCACUCGAAACUGCAAGUGUACGUUGUUGUUUUACGGAGAUUGACACGAAACCUGAAAUCAAAACUAUCUAGAGGGUUGAGUCUUAUUACCCCUAAAUCAUCUCCUUUGUUUGUACAAUGUACAAUCAACGUUGCACGUGUGACCAAUUUGUUGAUGAUGAUUACAUGUUUAGAUGAGAAUGGUAAAAGUCCAUCGGGGGACGAGUGAUAUGCUAAUGAUGCCGACGUUUUGAGGACAAAGAGAAAUAAGAAUAGCACGAAAAUAAAAAAUUGAUUUGUUGAGGAAGCCAUGGGUGUACGUGUUUUAGUUUGAGAAUCUGUGAGAUAAUAAUAUUUGUUUGUUUGAGAAGCAGGAAUUUAUAGAUGAAAAUACAUUAAAUAUAAAUGUCUUCAUUUUUUAAAAUUCAAAAAUAUCGUAACGUAAAAUACAAUUACAAGCAUAGUAAGUAAUUUAUAUUUUAUGGUUUCUAAAUCUUAUAUUCUUUGGCAACAAAAUGGUCAAAUUUAUGGAAAUUUUUAUUUUUUGCCUAUAAAGCUCUGAUUGUGUGGUGUCGUUUAAUUAGCAGUAUCCUCAAAUUUGCUUAUUUGAAGGUAAUCAUAUAGUAUAUAUAAUUAAGCUUUCACUCUCACUCUAUUGGUCUACUUCUCACUUUUAUUUUAAAAUCACAUCUGAUUCAUAUAAUUAUAUUACUUCGCACAAUCUAAUUAAUUUGUAACACCCUACCAAAAAAAAUCUAAUUAAUUUGUAACAUGUACGAAAAUUUGAAGACUAAAAACUCAAAAACAUAUAUUAUUUGGUAUUAAGUAACCAAUUAAAUCCCAAAUAUUAACAUAUGUAACGUAUAUAAUACUAACUAAGUGCAUGAAUCACACUAAAUAAUCAAAUUAAUUCAAAACAUGUUUGAGCUAGAUCUACCUGAAACCACAUUUUAUUGAUUUCUUUUCUAGCAACAAAACGUACGUCUUUUAUCACUCUAAACCAGCUUGAAACAAAUCGUGCACGAUCACAAUGUGUUUGUGUCUCACGAUCACGCACGUGAGAAGCUAAACCAUUAACUUGGUAAACCUUUUUUAUAGUGGAUUUUCUCCUAGUAGAUAAAUAGAUAAUAUAGAAUAAGAGUAAAAUAAAUGUUUUUUUUGCGGAAGGAGUAAAAUAUAUGGUCCAACAUAAUAAAACCACGUUGGUAAAUCAAAAUAGCACUUUAUCUCGAUUUUAACAGCACCGCAACCUUGAUGCAACCUUGAUAUCAUCUCGAAGAGAAUGAUGGUUGUUGUCUUGUUGCUAGGGAUGACAAAGAGAAAAUAGUUUUUAUAAUGGAUAUUUUGGUUUUUCGUAUUAGAAAUUAGUUUUUUAUAAUCGAUACUUUGAUUAUUCGUAUGGAAAUCUAAUUUUGGUUAUCCCUAGCAACAAUAUUUUGGUUAAUCGUGUAGAAACCAAAAAUAUUGACACGAGACAAAUAUUCUGUACUAAAUCACAAAACCACGUUGGAACAUCUAACAUAGCAUUUUGAAAUGAUGUAUUAGGCCUGGGCAUAAAACCCGAAAUCCGAAAACCGAUCCGAAACCGAUCCGAAAAAUCUGGAACUGAACCCGAACCGAAUAGUCACAAAAUCCGAACGGAUAAUGAAUUCUCCUAUCCGAAUUACCCGAACCGAAUCCGAUCCGAACCGAAAACCGAAAGGAUAUCCGAAAACCGGAAAGAAAAAUUAUAUAUCCAAAAAUAUUAGUUCUAUUUAGUUGUAAUUUUAUAGCAAAUAACAAAAAUAUCCUAAAUAUCCUAGAUUCGGAAAAAAUUUAGUUAUAUUUGUUAAAAUUAUACAUAUUUUUGCAAAAUUUAAUUAAAUUUUAGUGAGAUUAAACCAAUUUUUAUUAACAUUGAACUAUUUUUCAGUUUUUUUUUCCCAAAAACUGAUCCGAAUCCGACACCUAUCCGAACCGAAACCGAACCGAUGACUCAUAAAAUCCGAACGGAUAAUAAAUUCUCCUACCCAAAUAAUCCGAAUCCGAAUAUAUCCGAACCGAAACCGAACCGAAAAUUCAUAAAAUACGAACGGAUAAUAAACUCUCAUACCCGAAUUAUCCGAAUCCGAAUAUAUCCGAUCCGAAUUCGAUUUGAAAUCCGAAUGCCCAGGCCUAUGAUGUAUUGCCGCUGGCAUUUUUGUAAAUGUUUUCGCAUUAUUGUAGUAUUUAUAAUUUUUAUACGAAUAUUCCAAAAAAAAAAUUGUACAUUUUAAUGACCAAACAAUUUUUGACGUGGCUAAAAAUUAAAGGAGGCAAAUCUUUUUAUUCGUAUAAAAAGAGAGAUCAAAAAGAGCAUGAAAAAGAGAUAGCAAAAGCCCACUUUUUGCAAUAACAUGUGGCUCUCUCAUCUCUUCAUGUCCCUCUCUCAGCUGACGUGUAAUUUCUCCAUUUUCUCUGUCUUUAUGGCUUGUGGCUCUGUGUGAUCCAUUAUUAAUUUAAUACCAACCUCAGCCUCUUAUACAUACUCUUGUCUCAGACCUCAAAUAAAGAAUAAACACACAACCAUAAAUCUCAAUUAAUCUCUACUUCAUCUUCUUUCUGUUUUAUGUCUUCAAAGAUUAUUGGUAUGUCUCAAGUUAGAGAUACUCCGGUUAAGUUGUUUGGCUGGACAAUUACACCGGUUUCUCAUGAUCCACACUCUUCUUCGUCCACUGUUCUUCCUGAUUCUUCCUCGUCUUCCUCAUCUUCUUCUCCAUCACUUCGACCACACAUGGUAUGUUCCAUGGUCUUACCUUUAUUAGUUAAGAAAUGCUAAAGAUUGAAUAAUGUCUCUAGUCUUUUUAUCAGUUUGAAACUAGUUCAUGAUGUUAAUUCUAAUCCAAGUUCCAUAAAAAAUUUCAGAUGAACAAUCAAUCUGCUACUGACAAUACAAGUCUUAAGAUGUCAUCUAAUCUUAACAACGAGUCGAAAGAAACAUCUGAGAACAGCGAUGACCAACACAGCGAGAUUACAACAAUUACAUCGGAAGAGAAAACAACUGAACUGAAGAAACCAGACAAGAUUCUUCCGUGUCCGAGAUGCAACAGCGCAGACACCAAAUUCUGUUACUACAACAACUACAACGUUAACCAGCCACGUCACUUCUGUAGAAAAUGUCAGAGGUAUUGGACUGCUGGUGGAUCCAUGAGGACCGUCCCAGUAGGCUCAGGCCGUCGCAAGAACAAGGGAUGGGUUUCUUCAGACCAGUACAUGCACAUAACUUCCGAGGAUACUGACAAUUACAAUAGCUCCUCAACGAAGAUUCUAAGCUUCGAGUCUUCGGACUCUUUGCUUACUGAGAACACUAAGCAUCAAUCAAGCAAUGUGAAGAAAAACGGCGAUUCUGUUUCACAAGAACUCAACAACUUCCAAGGGUUUCUUCCUCCGCAAGGAUACCCUGUUUCGCCCCCUUGGCCUUGCCAAUACCCUCCAAACCCUAGUUUCUACCACAUGCCCGUCUACUGGGGCUGUGCGGUACCGGUUUGGUCUACCCUAGGCACUUCUACAUGUCUUGGGAAAAGGACAAGAGACGAAGCUGAAGCUUCGCAUGAAAGUGUUAAAGAGAGCAAAAAUGCUUUUGUGAGAACAAGCUUGGUUUUGGAAUCUCGGAGUAUCAAAAAUGAAACAAGUACGGCUACAAAUAACCAUGUGUGGUAUCCGGUACCGAUGACCCGCGAGAAGACAGAGCAAUUCAGCUUUUUCAGUAAUGGAGCUGAAACAAAGAGCAACAACCAGAGAUUCGUCCCUGAAACGUAUCUUAACCUGCAAGCAAACCCAGCAGCCAUGGCAAGAUCUAUGAACUUCAGAGAGAGCAUAUAACGUUAAGGAGAUACUAAUAUAGAAUAAUUGUACGUAUCUUAAUUCAAGAAGCGUUCUCUGUAUAUUGAUUGUUACCUAGUAGAAGAAGAAAAAACUUUGUAGAUAUCUUUUUGUGUGAUGAAAUUGUAGACAACUUUUCAAUCUAUCUUAUUUAUAUACCACAAUCCCCAUUUUGUUCAUUAUCCUAACGCAUGGAUAAGCUGAGUUUUAAUGUCUUUUUGGUUAGUGUGACUCGAAAAUAUUGUUUAUCCCAUUAAUUAUAGUGCUAGUGUAUAAAUUAAUUUGGAAAAAAAAAUUAAGAAAAUAUGAGUGUGAAUUUUCAUGUAAAGGAGAACAAAUAGAGGAUCUUAACUUUCAGUUCUUGGUACAGAACCCAUCUGAUUGGCACAAACGAAAAGCUAAAGGAGAAGCAUACAAGUCUCUUUCUUUGAAAAGUAAAAUAUGUCUCUUCAUUUGCGUAUAAAGGGAAACAAAAAGAAGAAAACACUUUCAGCAUUUUUCUUUUUCUCUCUUUAAGCACUUUACUUUGGAAGAAUUACUAAAAUGAAUGGAAAAAUGUUACUUAUUACUUAUUAGAAUUUUUUAUCUUUAUGUGUUGCAAGGCGGAGUUAUUCGAAAAUCACUAAACACUAGGAUGUUUGUUCGACCAAAAAAGAGAGACUAGAGAACACCUCCGAAAGAGAUUGGGCCUAAUGAAGCAAUUUCAGGCCCAAUGGGCAAAUUGAAAGAAAUUCAAGAACAACGUUAAACGUUCAUAUGUCACGAAUUGAAAUGAACAUUGUCCCUGUUUUGGUGAGGGAACAAUAGCAAAUCGUACGUACCGUUUUUGCUUACUCUCGGUCUUGUGUCUUAAGUUAAUAGUAAAACACAAACUCAAGAGACUUCUAAAGAAGAAAAGUUAGCGUGGUAUUUCAAUCUCCACAUCGGACUUUCUUAUACUAGUUAUCGACCGAGUCUUCUCUAUAACAACCUUUUCAAAACCCGAAAACCCCUACAUUUAUCAACGUCAUAGAUUUUAAAAACUCAUAUCCAAAAUCAAAACUAAUUUCAACACAAAAUAACAAAUUAAUUUAAAAUUUUCUUUUAUAUCUACAACAUGAAAAGAAACAAAAAAGAAGGGCAUGUGUGGGUCCGCGUGACAUGAGAGAGAUACAUAGGUAAGAAGCUUGAAGAGUUGGAAAAACGGUUUGAAGAGAAGAAACAAAUGCAAUGUGUGUGUGAGAUUUGGUGAGCAUGUUUCAUGUUUGGCCUUUCUGUUGCACAAUCUCUGCCUCAAUCUUUGGCAGUUCCUCUUCUCUUAAUUACGCAUCUUCGUCUCUUUCUCCAACUCUUAAAAACUCCACUCUUUUAAUAUCCCUUCUCUCUCUCUCGUUGUUAUUCUCAUCACAUCUUUAGCAAUAUUUCACGUCACUUCAUCAUAAAAGAAUCACCUUUUUUAAAACAAUCUCUCGAGCUAAAUAUUUAUGGAGGUACUAAAAACAAUAACUUAUCAAAUGUUACACUAGACAGCCAAGUGCCAACAACAACAAUCUACAGUUUAGUAAUUAACGUAAACACAAGGACAAUGGCUUGGAUCUUGGUUUGUUUUGUUUUCUAGCUACUAAAGCUAACUGCUAAUUUCUUUUUGUAACCAAAUUUAACCACUGUCAUUAACUUAUUAACACCAAUUUGUUCAAGAUUCACGCAGUCCCCAAGCCAAGAAAAUCGAAAAAAUGUGGUUGCUGCUUAGCCUUCUCGACCACCUCCUCAUCUACCGCUUCCAUUCCGAUCAAAUGCAUUGCUUCAUUUGGUUCCGCUUUCUCUUGGCUCCUAGGGUCAAUGUACGGAAAAUUGCAUAACGCGUCUGACGUGUCACCUACAUUAUCGCCGACCAUCAUUUGGUUGCCAAACAUACUCACAACCAUCGGAGGUUCAUUGCUCUCAUAACCUAAACGUUAUAGAUACACGAAAAAAAAAUCAAAACAUGCUAAAAAUAACUAAACAUACUAAUGAAAAGGAGGAAGAUCAAUAGACUACCUUGAAAGCAAUGGAAAGGCAAAACAAGCUGGUUAUGGUCACUCGUGAUAGGGGCAUUAUUAACCAGGUGAUGAGUCAAAUUAAACUCGGGGAAAGGCUGAGCGAAGUAAUGAUUAGUGGAGAUAAAAGAGUGGUAAUUAGGGUUAGGGUUAGGAUGAUGAUUAUCAGUGAGAUGAGGUUUAAGUGGAUUAUUACUCAUAAGCUUCCUCCUACGAUAAGCAGAAGAGUGUUCUCUAUACUUACGAGCCAUGACAACAUGCCAAUGGUUCUUGACAGAAUUAUCAGUUCUUCCAGGGAAAAGCCUCGCAAUCAUUGCCCAUUUGUUACCAUAAAGCCUAUGUGCUUGCAUCAGCCUCUCCUCUUCUUCCUCCGUGAAAGCUCUUCGGUUUAUCCUCGGGUCCAAUUGGUUAAACCAUCGUAGUCUACAGCUUUUUCCUUUAAAAAACAAUCAAGAUUUAGGUUAAUAAAACUCACAUCUUCGACUUUAUGACUCAGAUUGGACAUAGAAGGCUAAAGACCAAGAAAAGUAAAAAACAUUUAAAAUUUUUUUAUUUCACCGGAUCUUAAUAACUUUGACUGACCCAGAAGAAUCAAACACAUUGUUUUUGAUGAAAUUUUGAAGAUCUAUUAAAAAAAUUUGAUUUAUAUUACCAGAUCUUCCUUGAAGCUUUUCAGCUAUGAGGUUCCAGUUUUGUGGGCCGUAAAUGGAGACAAGCUCUUUGAGUUUAACAUCUUCAGCUGGUCUCCAAUGUCCUCUCCCCAAGACUGACGGUUUUGAAGAUGAAGAAGACCAAGACUGACCACUAUCUGUUGUCUCCUUCUUACCACUCUCGCUGUUACUGAAAUUAGGGUUAUGAUUAUUACUCUCUUCUUCGUUAGCCGCUACAUCUCCAGAAGGGCUCUUCAAGAUUUCAAACUCAUGACUUGUGUUGCAAUGACGACGAUGAAUGUUAUUGUCGUUGAAAGGGAAAUCCCAAGAAGAAGAAGCUCUUCUUGCGGCGAUCUCAUCCAUCCACACUUGUUUUUCCGUUAUAAACAUGGAGUUAGUGUUGGGAGAGAGGAAGAAGGAGAAGAGAAGAGAAGUGUAAUUGAGAUUUGAGAGAGAGAUGUCACGUCAGCUUUUAGACUAUUACCAUCGGAGGAGAAAGACUUAUGUGAGUGCAUUUGCAUAUUAUAUAUAUAUACGUACGUAAAUGUGUGUCAUAAAUAUAUUUGUUUUUAAAUAAUAGAAUAUCUUUUAUAUAUAAUGGUGUGUUUGUUACGUAUGGCUUUAGGUAUGUGCGUGUAUGUACAUGUCGCGACCGUGUUUUCUGACGACUGUUAAAAAGGGUUAUGGACCGUCGUCACGGACUAAUUCAAACGCCAGAGUUCUUUGCAUUAUACAUUAUUAUAUGUACCACUGCAAUAAGUAAGUACAAAUGUGUAUUAUCAAUAUUCGAUUUUUUUUUAUUUUUUUGAUAUUCGAUUUUGCCGUGGACUGUUAUAAACUUUGUUCAGGUGUACCUAGUUUCUCUGAUAAAUCAUUUAUUAAAUUUCAAAAAUAUAUGAAAACAAAAUUUUACUCCAUGUCCGUAGAUUGAUAAUAAUUAAGAAGUAGGACUUAAUAAUCAGUUCAAAAUAUUAUAUUAUUAAGGUUAAUGAGGCAAUAGUUUUAUAAUCAUAUUAGUGUUCCUAAUCAAAUGAUAACCUUAAUUAGGCAGCAACUCUAUGGUCCCUUAUACAAAUUUCCCACUUGUAUAUGAAUAUUUAAUUUGUAUCUUUAUUUGAUGUUAAGAUGAAAUGAUAUGAUUAUUGUCGUUGAAAUGAAUAUUUAAUUUGUAUCUUUAUUUGAUGUUAAUGUGGCGAUUGUCGACCAAAGAAACAAUGAAUGUCGUGAAUAUCUUGGACGAGUCCAAAAUGAAUCCUACCGUUAUUAGGUGAAAUUUAUCCUCUAUUAAUCAAUGCAUGUUUUAUAGGUGCAAAGUGAAAAAUAAUAAAAGCUAAUGAGAUGAAAGAAAAAAAGCUGAAGCAGAACUAACUACCAAAAAAGGAUGAAGGCAAAAAGAGAGUUUACCAUUGGGGAAUGAGUCGUGUCUCUUCUUAGCACAACCAAUUCUCGGACAGUUUUUUACUUUCCUUUCAUUUUUGGGUUCCUUAAAAUUUAACCCUUUUUCCCUCUUAAUCUCCACUUGUCUUUCUUUCCUUUACUUUUUUACUAGUACCAUUUUGUUUCUGUGAAACCCUCUCUUAUCUUAAAAUUUUAACCUCAAUCUUUUUUCUUAAUUAACCAUCGCUUCACAGUUGUUGGUGUAUUAAAUAAUCCUGAAUUUUCAUACACAUCGUUGUUGUUUUAACUAUUUUAAUCUUUUUUGGCAGUCUCAUGGAUUUUAAUAAUCCCUUCAAAUAACCGGACAUUACAAAGCUACUUUAUGAAAACUCUCAACCCUAAAUGCAUGAUUAUCCAUAGUGUCUUAGAAAUAAAUCUUAAGAAUAUUUAAGUAAUAUAUUUGUAAAAUAUGGAUCUUAACUACUCCCUCCGUUUCGUUUUAGUUGUCGUUUAAGGUUUUUGCACACAAAUUAAGAAAAACAUUAAAUUUUCUGUUUUACCCUUUAUUAAUAUAUUUUAUAAAAAAAUUCAUUGGUCAAAACAUUAAAACAGUAGGGAUAAAACUGGAAUUUUCACCAAACAUUUGCAUUGAAAACCUAAAACGACAACUAUUAUGAAACAAAAUUUAAAUUCUAAAACGACAACUAAAUUGAAACAGAGGGAGUAUGUUUUUGUUGCUUAGCUAAGAACCUCUCUUAACAAUAAUGGCUUAAUUGAGAUUUAAUUUUAAUCAUUUAUUGCUAAGAUCCAGCUUAAAAUUUUCUUAAAAACCUUCCAUUAAUCAUGGUCUAAGUAUCCCACAUAUAUGAGGAAUGUGGCCGUGUGGAUGUGUGUAUAAGUAAUGAGCAUGAACAGAAAAAAAAAAAAACAAAAAAAAUGAGCAUGAACAGUUUAAAAAGUAAAUAAAUAAUCUGUUAAGACCUUUUCGUAUUUGACCAGAAACCCCCAAUUGGCAGACGUAACCAUUAAAUAUGGGAUAAAUAUUAUCAGAUUCAAAAGGGUCUCUGCAGCUGUAUGAUACUCUGCACAGAGAUUUAACCGAACGCACUACGAACUCUCUUUUCUCUUCGUCAGAUUUAACUCUCUUUUCUCUUCGGCAUUUGUGGAUUUUGCCCUUUUUUUUUAAUAGUUUGUGCAUUUUAUCCUUUUUCAUACUCCAAAAAUAUGAUUUAACAUGCGUUUCACUCGUUAUGUUUGGGUUUAGUCGGUUCCAUUUGUUCUUAGGAUUUAGUAUUUGGUAUAAAGUACGUAUUUUUGGAAAAAAAAAUCCUAAAUACGUAUAUUUUUAAGUAUUUGAAAAAGGGCAAACUCCGUAAACUAUUUAAAAAAGGACAUUUUCAUAAAUUUUUCCAAAAAAGGGCAUUUUAGACAAUAAUCUCUAUCAUAUAUGAAAUAUUUAAUUAUCUUUUUACAGUUUUAAAUCUAUAAAUGUAGCGGUGAAAUAAAAUAUGGUGAAACACACUAAUAUGUUUGUAUGUAAUUAAGAAAACUUAACAACCCAACCGACAAGAGCCACACUAAGCUAAGGUGGGGGCUACCGGACUUGCUUCUACUUUUGUUACCUUGUUAAUAAUCUAGUAGACUAGUACUAGAUUUUCGAUUGAACCGAUUCAUUCCUUACCGCUUGAUCGAGUGUGGCUUGUUGUAGUGAGUGAAUAACUGAAUAAUUAAGCAACUACAUCAUUCUGGAAAUAGAUGUAUUUAAAGCUCAUAUAGUUGCUUAGCUUGCAGUUUCGGGUGGAUAUAAUAGUCUAUGGUCCAUGCGUGACUCUGUCCAAAGUUGAUUCCAACCUUGAACAUAUAUACCCAUCUUCCACAUAGCAUUAAAAGUUUUUUCAGUUUGCCACAAAAAUACAUCAAAUGUGUAAUAAAGAAUCACUAAACCGUUGGAAUUAAUCCAAAGCUCAAGUUUACUCGUCUGACAUAUUCUAAAAUUUUUACUUUCCCGACCAUUCGGAACUCUUUAUUUCCGUCUACAAAUUAAUGUUCUCAACCUUAGUUAUUCAUGGGUGAACUAUUUAGGUGUUACAAUGCCCCCUUGUUACAAUGCUCAGGUAUGUGUUUACUCCUAUUUAUCAAAGACUCUUUUUUGACGUUACAUCCAGGUGUCUAUUAUGUGAUUAGUUAUCUUAGACUAAAAUAAAUAAAAACAAAGGUAUAAACUUAUUUACAUUGAGUCUUAGAAGAUUUAAAUCCGUUUUAAUUUAAAGAAUAAGGACUGGUAAUAGCUUUUGCCUAAAAUAAAUAUGGGUAAUGAUAAUGAAAGGUGGAGAUGAUGAACACGUGCACAUUAAGAGUAACAUAGGAUCCAAUUCAAUUCAAAGGAGAAGUCUUUUCUCUUCAACUGUGAUGCGUCCCCAUGGUCCGAUUUUGGCGUGUGAUGUCGCACAAACAUCACGUGUAUUCUCCUUAUUGUACUACACCCACGCACGAUCACAAUAAAUCUAUCGAACAAUCACAAACACUUAGGGAAUAUACUUGCUUAGAAAAGAGAAAACUAUAGAACAAAACAAAAUCGAACUAAUUUGGGUUUUGCCUAUGUUAAGUUCGUAAAGUAUCUAGUCUGAUAUAAAACGACAAGAAUAAGUGUACAAUUUUAUGUUUGACAAAAAAAAAAAAAAAAAAGUGUACAAUUUUAUGUUUGACAAAAAAAAAAAAAAAAAAGUGUACAAUUUUAUAAGUAAUAGGAUUACAUCACCAAAAUAUGUAUGUCAUUCAAUGGAUUUUUGAGAUGCUAGCUAUAAAUAAAUUAGCUAUGGAUAUGCAUUUCAUUUCACCCAUGAGUUUAGUUAUAAAUAUUAACUUGUCAGUUAUUUCAAAUAAUUUCAAAUGCUAAUCAAUCACGUUAUUUUGUGAACAACAAAAGUGAUUUACUUUAUUUAAUUAUAUCAAACAAAAAUUUAAUCAUCCUACCUACGACUAGAUUUUUCAACUAUUAAGAUAACUAAUUUUUUAAAAAAAUUUGGUUGUUUACAAAUAGAGACUCUAUAACUACUUUUGAAUUUACAAUUCUUUCAUAUAACAUAUUUUUUUCAAACAAAAAAAAAAUUAAUAUAUAAAUUAAUAUAACUAAAAAUAAGAAGUAUUAAUAUUGUUUCUGUACGUGCUUUUGCGAAAAUUCAAAGUAUUUAACCAAUAAUCAGUUCAAUAGGAUUAGGUCUGAUUUGGUUUGAGUGUAAAGAGAUUUUUGUAGUAAUUAAUGCAACAAGGUGCCGAUUUGGUGAUUAAAAAAGAGGAGAAACUAGUGAGGAAACAGAAGUGAACAAGAAAGUGAAAGAAAGUGAGAGUAAUGAAAGGAAGUGGAGAGACAGAGAGGAUAAAUGGUGGGAACAGAUCACGAAGACACACACAAACUCAUACUGUUUUUGGAGUUUCCAAAAAGAGAUGACGUGAAAGGUAACCAAACAGUAAAGUCUAUCUCUCUCAAUUUUCAAAGAUGAAUGAAUCAAUGACCCAUCUAAUCUCAUAGCCUCCUUUGCCCCUAUAUCUAUAUUCACAUCCACCAAUAAAGUUUGUCUUAAAUUCUACCCUCUUUUCUUAACCUCAUUCGUAUUUUUGGUUACAAUCACACUACUUCUUUGUUUCUAUAACCGGACUUAGUUCUCCAAAAAUCUUAACUUAACCGGUCCCUUCAACCAAUUCAUGUGUUAUGUGGUUUUCAUGUAUAUAUGUUAGUUAGCCCGACAAAUGAUUUAUUAGUUACUCUUCCAUAACAAUAUAUUAAAACUUUCAUGUGUUUGGUAUGUGGGUUUUCAUGUAUAUAUGUUAGUUAGCCCGACAAAUGAUUUAUUAGUUACUCUUCCAUAACAAUAUAUUAAAACUUUCAUGUGUUUAACGUCAAACAUUUUCUAAACUUUACCACAAAAGAAGACAGUGAAUAAUAUUUAAUAUUUUGGUCAAUAGUCGGUUCGAAACAAUUUUAUAUGAAAGUGGGGAAUACGACCCGACCUGAGAUCAUGCCUAUAAAACAAGGCCCUGUUGAACUUGGUACGAAAUUUUCUGUGUGUAUAUAUUUUCAAAUUACAUGGAAGGACAAUAAUGAAGAAAACAUUGAAGGUGAAAAUAAAAUUUUAAAAGUUAAUUUAUUUUUUAAAGAAUAAAAACGAAGGAAUGUGACAAGUAGUGGGGCGUAAGGGAGCAGCAGAAGACAAAGGCUAAUCCAUGAGAUUCUGUUAGGUGUGUUCCCUUGACAGAGCCAUCUUAUGAAUCCCUUUCAUUUCUCCUCUAAUUAAAAUUCAUAACCCUACCAAUUAAUUUCGACACAACUCAUGGGUUCGUCUAAAUUUGUCUUCAAUUUUUUGUCUGAGCGGUUUCAUUUUGAAGUUGAGAAACUUAAAUGUUAAUGAAUAGUUAUGGCGGUAUUUGAAACAAUAGUUAUCCAGUUUUAUUUUUUUGCUUGAAUAAUUUUAUUUUCGUUAUUAGAGUAGUGGAAUAUAUUCUGUCACCGCAACAAGAUUACGUAAUCAGUUGGAAAAACAGAGACUUACGUAAUCAAAAGUUAUAUUCUAGAUAUCGAAUAUUCAUUAUUGUGUCAACACGGAAUGAAAUUAAAACCUCAGUUCAAAUUGGUCUUCUUUGUCAAGGUAUCUUUUCAAGUGUCAUAUUGAUUUCUUCUGAAUAAAAAGGUCAAUCCUCAAUGUGGAUUUACGAGGUAAUGCCAGAAAUCCAAUAUUACAUGGUUAAUACGCCUCUUUAAGUCCACAACUAUGGAUUUAAGCAAAAGCAAAGUCAUGUCAAUGUGCUUUGGAAAACUUAAGGAUUUUGCGAUGGAAUCAUAGAAAACUAUCGAAAAUUUAUCGUUGAAAUGCAUUAUAAUCAAAUUUUAUUGCGCAAAAUUAUAAUAUUUUAUUAUUAUUUUUUUGUUUCCCUUAAAUAUGUAAUUUUUUAAUACCAAAUUUAAUUGAUAGUACAAUAUGAAGCGUUUGGUGUUUCAAACGGCUAUUGGAGACUAAUUGUUCGGAGUGAAGUUAUAGUACACAAGAAAAGCAUGGAAAGUUCCCGUAGAAAAGAAGCUAUAUAUUGGAACCGAGAAGGCUAAAUAAUUGAAAGUAUUAUACAUAAAAUAUAUAUGAAGAUGUUUUAACGAUGGAAGAGUCUUCUAACGAUCAUGGUUUCUAGUAUUGUGCCAAACGGUCUUGUAGCUUUUAAUUAGAGAUGUAAUGGCGUACAAAUAUACGUACACAUGAGUUCUCAUGUUUCAUGAUAACAUAUAAUAGUAAUGUUAGAUUGGUGAUGCAUGUCGUAUGGGUAUGGAGGCUGUGUCUUAACCGAAGUCCGUUAAGAGUGUCGCAAUUAAAGGAAUUAAAGAAAAAGGACAAAAAAGUACUCUUUGCAUGAUAAUAUUUGUUAAAUCUCUGAAAAGUAAUGGGUGUAAGUAUGGGUAAGAUGUCAGAAACCUAAUGCAAAGACCCACUUCUUAUUGUUUAAAGGACACUUACCUGCCCCACCCUCACAUGCUUUAAUGCUCCGAUCCCUUCUUCUUCGAUCUGUUCAACGCAAGGAAACAUAAUCUAACACGAAUUGGCUAAGGUUCGCAUUAUCAUAUGUCUAUAAUAAAUAACUCAUCAACGUCCAUAACAACCUAAUCUAACUAACAAAUUAAAGUAUGUAUCUCUCCGUUAUCUACUUUCAUGCAUAGUCCUAUAAAUGUAUCAUAUAUGCAUCGUCGAGUUUCACCAAGCAAAGAACUUUUAAAUGUGGAGCCACGACAAUGUGUAUUAGUUUAGGGGCACAUUUUGUAAAGAUUUUUUAAUUUGUUUACAAGUGAUCCGUUUGAGUCAUUAGUAGUCACUUUGUUUUGUAUAUAUCAAAUCUUGUUUAAUAGAGCCACAUAUACGUUGUGACUGGUUUUGCAAAUAUAUAUACAUUCUUUUGUAGUCUUUUACCAAAGUCAAAGAUUUCUCUAUAUCUAAAUUUCACUCUGAACAACUAGUCUACCGGCAACAACAUUGUUUGAACUUCGAAAUUCAUUUUGUGCGUUGUCCUUUAAUACAUAUGGGACCACCGUGAUUUAAAGUCCAUAACAAACUAGUUGAGUACGUACGUAUAGAAUAUUAACACUAAAACCAAAAAAAGAAACCAAGCAAUUGGAAAAAGGUCACUUUAAGUAAGGAUCUAAAAAAGUGAAAGAAAUGGAGACAAAACAAUAGUUGUAUAGAGAGAGAGAGUAGUGGUGAAAUUGGUGAUGUGUGUCACAGCUCAGCAACUAUAACGCUCGCAAUAAGCAAGCUGAACCUUAGCAGCGAAAUUGGCAGAUCCAAAUCGAGAGGUAAUAGCUAGGCAAGGAGAGAGGUCUAGUUUGUAGCUAAGCUGACCCCCUGAUGGAUCCAGAGGGUAUGGAUGAUUCAGUAUUUGAAGGACAGGUGAUGCUACAGCCAUCUAUGACAUUAGAGCUGUACGUACCCAAAGAGCUUCGAACAGUAAAUCCCAUCAGAUCUUAGUCAUGGAAUCAAGCCUAAUUCAAUGCCCUUUUUCGCAAAAUCCAAUAAUUAAUGCACCAAUGCUCAUGAUGGACCUAAAUGACCUAUUUAAUUUAAUUUUUAAAAAGGGUCCUAGAUGUAUAAAUAAACAAGACAUAAGUAAUGUUCAAACUUCAAAGUCAAAGUCAGACUCAGAUUUGUCCAAGUGGUAAACGCGACUGGAUGUGACGGGUUUGGUAAACUGUAGUUAUUGAUAGGGUUUAUAUUGAUCACAUUCAUCAAAUGGCAAUAUCCAUGAAAAAAAUUGAUUCAAAAAAAAAACAAUAAUGCGAAUCUUGAAUAUUUCAUUAUCUAGACGUGGACUUAACAGUAUGAAUAUUCGAUUCAGAAAAAUUUGAAAACAAACUCUCAGCAUUUUUUGUAUUAUACACAAAAAUGUAACAACAAUGAUUUUGACGUACCUGUCUGAGACAUUCAUCCCUUCAGGAAAUUUUCAUUGUUUUCAUAAAACUGUUAGCUUUUUGUAUAAAAGAAAAAAAGCAAUCACAAAAACUAUUAGCUUAUGGUGCACACUGUACUACACUAUUCGUGACUAACAAAUUGAAUUAACUCAAUUAUACUCUCUCUCUUUCGUUUUAGUUGUCGUUUAAGGUUUUUUCACACAAAUUAAAAAAACAUUUAAUUUUUUUGUUUUACCCUUUAUUAAUAUAUUUUAUAAAAAAUUUUAUUAGCCAAAACAUUAAAACAGUAGAGAUAAAACUGGAAUUUUCACCAAACAUUUGCACUGAAACCUAAAACGACAACUAUUAUGAAACAAAAUUUAAAUCCUAAAACGACAACUAAACUGAAACAGAGAGAGUAUUAUUUAAAAUAUAACAUUGUUUCGUUGUAUUGGGAAGCUGCACAUUCAAAAGAACUAUUCACAACUGUUCAUGGCAUACACUUCAUAGUUCAUAACUCCUUUCUUGGGAAAAUCUAGAUAUCCUACUCCCAAGCAUUUAACCCAUCUUGAUCUCUUUAUCAAUAUUGAUUCAUCAUUUCCAUUUUUGUGUUGUUAUUCUUUGUGAUUAAAUUAUUUCUAAAUUAUACCUUCUCCUAAUCUCUUUGGUUCAACCAAUUAAUUAUAACGAGUUAUUCGGAUUAAUUGGAAUUUGACUUCCAAUACAACUUUUCUUUGGGAAUUAAAGAUUUACACAUCUUUAUACAUUAGCACGUGUACCUUUUAAACUUGAUUGAAAUUGUAAAUCAAAAGCCAAAUCUUUCUAUAAAAUCUAAACACACGACCUUAAUAUUUUAGUAGAGACUCAAUAUAUAUAAAAAAAGGAAAAAACUAUGAAAAUAGAAAGCAAAGCAGAUAAUGAAAAGGUACUGUACACGUGCGAGAGUGACCAUCAAGAGGCUUUUGUAGAUUUUGGUAAGAAGAAAGAAGAAAGAAGAAAGAAGGUCCACGGUUUAUUGUCUUGUUGUAGAUUUUUCUAAAAUGGGCUUUGGCCCAACUACAUCUUGGGUCUUUGUUAAUGUAAUGGAAUGGGUUUCCAAAAUUUUGAAUUUAUUUUGUCCCAACAUAUCAAUGUCUAUAAGCAACCAAUUUGCAACUUUAGAAAAAUGUGAUGAAAGAAAUAAAUAGAAGAUUCAUAUUUUCACCAGCAACAAACAAUUUUGCUGAUAUUGUUUUAACUAAUCUCAAGGAACAUGAUAUAAAAUUUCUUUCAAUUAUUAUUUAUGUUCACGGCCGCAAAAAAUAACUAAGAAUAGAUUUAAACGAAAAAUGAAAAUAUAAUCAAUCAUGUUUAGAAUUAAUUUAGUAAUUAAAUUUCACUUGUUAUAACAAUUAAUAUGUGUUUGUACUAUUUCGAGCCACAAAAUUUAAAAGAAAUGCCGAGUUACCGUUCAAUGAUUCCGUUAGAGCAUAACUAGAAGUUUUAUCCUUUUUAAGAGUGCUCAUAUAGGAAAGAGAGACUAGUAAUGCAGUUUAAGUUUUUCAUCUAGAAGUCGGUUUACAUGUGCCUAAAUGUUUUAGUCGUAUUUAUCUGAAACUUCUGAUUCGGUUGCCUACCAAAUUGUCAUCGUGUGAAAGUGUCUUUGGUGUUAAAUGCAUCUUCACUCGAAGGUUAAUGUUGUGUAUGUACAUCCGCUUUGGACAUUUUUUAAAUCUAGAAGUCUUAUAUUUUACAGGAAGUUCCCGUUGGUGCCCUAUCAUAGGAGUAGGCAUUUUAACCAAACCAUAUAAUCUUGAUUCUAUGUGCAUUAUCGUUUGGUUAUGCACACAUAAUCUUCAGUUUUUUUUUUUUUUUAUAUAAAAAUAAUUUCUUAUAUUUAUUGGUCUUGCUUUCCUUCUAAUCAACUAUUUUGUUGGUUUACCAUACGUUGAUCGGUCGAUACGUUGAUUUUAUCAAAAGAUAUAUGAUGAAGAUGAAGAUCAAAAAGAGAAGAACUAAAGAACUGAAUUGAAACAAAUUGAACUAAAACCAUUAAUGCCAUUGUGAAUAACCUACAAGUCUACAACGGGAAAAGGGGAUUUUCAUACCCGUACUAUUGGGACCGUGGAUUUUUAUACCUCGACAUUUUUGUAGUGUAUUUUCCAACCCAAACUGAAAUAAAAUUUGAAUUUCAUACCUGUAUUUGAUAAAUCGUGCAAAAAACGAAGUCAAUCUAACGGGUGUUAGUCAACUCUGUUACGAUGCUGAGUCAUCGUACACGUGUACGCUGACGUGUAUCCCAUACGACGUCGUUUUAAUAAUUGUUCUCAAAAGUUUAAUUUUUUUGCAAAAUUGGGGAUUCGAACCCGUGUCCCUUGGCCACACAUCAAGCACCUUUACCAACUCAUCCCACAACUCUAAUCGAACAUUCUCCAAUCAUUUUAAUUUAUAAACCUUAAUAGUUGUGUGUUUGGAAAUAAACCAAACGACGUCGUUUUCAAUAACUCUUCUUGGGUUCGUUUCUUCCUCAAUGCUAACAAAAGUCUGUCCUUUCGCUUCUCGCGGAUUAAGUCUCUUGCAGCUUGCUUUUCGGCUUCAAUUACUUUCUCAAGCUAAAUUAGCAAAAUUUGAGAAGAUGGGUUAACAAAGAGAUGAGCCAAAGAAGUCAAAAGCUGGGGUUUAUUUUCAUCAGUACCAACAAACAAUAAAAAAAAACAUUAAAAACAAAUCAAAACCAUCCAUUGAACAACAAUCCACUUUAAGAUAUCACCAAUUAGGAUAUUUUGAUGUAUAAAAACUAAUAAUCCACUCGAUCUCAGAUUCCAAAAAAGAAAAACCUUUUGCUGAUAUUGACCAAGCUUGCGUCUUUGGGUUUUGAGAGAGAGAAUCACUCGAUCAACCUCCGUGAUCUGAGGUUUCUUCAGGAACAAAUUUCCCAUAUUUUCUUCACUUUAUCGACUCCAAAAAUUAAGAUAAUCAAACAAUUCGACAAGCAGAAAUAGCAAGAUCGAGACCAAAUCGAAUAAGUUUCUAGAUUUCCGAAAAAUGUUGGUCGUCAAUUUCAAACCAAGUCCCCAAUUCGUCGUUUGGUUUAUUUCCAAACACACAACUAUUAAGGUUUAUAAAUUAAAAUGAUUGGGGAAUGUUCGAUUAGCGUUGUGGGAUGAAUUGGUAAAGGUGCUCGAUGUGUGGCCAAGGGUCACGGGUUCGAAUCCCUGAUUUUGCAAAAAAAUUAAACUUUUGAGAACAAUUAUUAAAACGACGUCGUAUGGGAUACACGUCAGCGUACACGUGUACGAUGACUCAGCAUCGUAACGGAGUUGACUAACACCCGUUAGAUUGACUUCGUUUUUUGCACGAUUUAUCAAAUACAGGUAUAAAAUUCAAAUUUUAUUUCAGUUUGGGUUAGAAAAUACACUACAAAAAUGUCGAGGUAUAAAAAUCCACGGUCCCAAUAGUACGGAUAUGAAAAUCCCUUUUUCUCGGUCUACAACCAUUAAGAUAAUGUCAAGUCACAUUAAUGCCAUUAGGCUUAUUUAUAAUGGGAUUCAAAUUGGCCCAAAUCUUCCCGUAUGUUUUUCUUCUAGCCGCCGGUGUUUGCAUGUGUCGGUUCAUAUGAGCCACGUUGAAGCAAAAUCCAUCAGAGUGGGACCCAUUUUUACUUUAGUCGAUAGCCACCACAUGGACGUUACUUCUUGUGGAUCACUUUUGUACGUCAUCAAUUUAUGCUUAUCGACCUUCCACUUAGAUAAUGUCGUGAAACAAAAACACAUGUAAUUUUGUUUCAAUAUCCGUAACUGCUAAAUACUUAGAAUCUAAAUUCACCGCAUGAUAAUAAUAUCUCCCUUUCCUCUACUUGCACAUACAUCCAUCGUCAAAUCUGAAAUUAGUAUAUAACGAUGAUAACGAAACCAACGAGACAUUAUCGUUAUGUGGUUAUGGUGUCUAAUCUCAAAGAUAGCAAUCACCUAACCUUAAAUUAGGCUGGUUGUUGGAUAUAGUCAUGAGGUUUUGGUCUUUUGGACCACAAGGACCGUCUAUAGAAGAUUUUGGAAACUAUUAAAAGAUGUUUCAUUUAAGUUGUUAACUUUUGCUUCAAUAUAGUAUAUUGAAUGUUUAUAAAGGGGAAAAACAUUGAAGGAUGAGAUUGUGAACGUCGGUUGUUGAGUUUUGCAUUGCUUUGUGUAAAUGCUCAUAAAGUGGGGAAACUUUGAAGCAUGAGAUUGUGAACGUCGGUUGUAGUCGAUAAUGAUAAAUAUUUCGAAUUCAAAAGCUAGAUCGAAAUGAUCAUUCAGAGGAAUCUCAUGAAAAGAAAAAAAAUGACAAAAUUUAUAAAAUAGUCAAUAAUGGUUGUAAAUUUGGUAUGUGAAUAUAAAAACUGAAAAGAUGAAACAAGUGACCAAUCCCCUAAUUUUCAUUAACUUAAGAAAAAGAAUAGUAUUAUUACAAACAAAAAUAAUGAGUUUUCUUUAUCUCAUAACAUAACAUUAAGAAAAAGAGUAGUAUUAUUACAAACAAAUAUAAUGAGUUUUCUUUAUCUCAUAACAUAACAUCACCACAAUAAUAAUAAAAUUGACAAUCCUCAUAAUCCAUCUCUAUCUCUCACACCUUGAAAUAACUCAUUACUACUACUAGCGGGUGGUAGUUACUUAAAACUCCACCUCUGCAUCAGUAAGACAUUACUAUAAAAAAAUUUCUUUCUUAACAAAAACUACUUUUAAGAAAGAAAUAUAAAGAGGUCCAAAAAAAAGAUUAGACAUCAUCAAGGCCUUCUGCAAAACCGAGCCCUCGACGCAUCACUCUCUCAAUAACCGAGUUUUUUCAAGAGACCAAUUUACUAAUAAUUACCACACAAAUGAGUUUACUUUAGAUAAAUGGAAGAGAGAAUGACCAGAUUGCCCUUUUCAGCGGAACUGUCCACCGGCAAAAGUCUGGCCGUAUGACCAGCCGGCAGGAGCGGCGUUGUAGGAGACAACUGUGCGGCCGUCGCUGGUGGUGACCUUAAAGGAAAGUGCUUGACCGUUGAGGUAAGAGUUGCUUUGCCAAUUUUGUCCCCAGUUCCUUGACAUAGCUUGCCAACCUGUUCUUGAACCCUUGAUCGCCGCCGAGUGAACAUCUCCGGCACCACCGACGUUUGUGAUCAGCACAAGGUUGAAGUAUGAGUGGCCGUUUAUCGUGAAUCUUAUUCCUCCUCUUCUCCUGCAUGGUACCCUAUAAAACACCAAAGUAUCGAAAAGUUUAUAUUUUGGAUAUUUUUUUUCAAGAACUCAUUGUUAAACUUAGCAUAUACUCUGUUUUGGGGAAAAAAACAGAGCAUCUAAAGAAAUUUGAUAUCCUCUGUUUUAAAACAGAGAAGAUUAAUAAAUGUUACCUCCUGUAGGAAACAGGGACGAUUCCAGCUCUGUACUGAGCAAUGCGUUGAAAAACAGGCUGAGCAAGGUCAAAGUGUUCAAGAGGAGGAUUACACCAACCGCCAUUAUUGUUCGCUAACGCGUUAUUUGGCGGACAGAAGUUUGUAGCGGUUACAACGAUUGAGCCAGGUAAACACCAUUUACCAUCGUUUUCACAUCUUAUCUCAAAGCAAGAACCACAACUAAGUCCGUUGUUGAACAAAGCCGUGCUCAAAGCCGCCGUGCUCGUCCCGUAGCCUUGGCUAUAUAGGUUACCAUAUCCACAAGCACCACCUACAAAGAAGUAACGUUGAAGAUUAGUAAAUUUGAUAAUUGGUAAGAAAAGGGUUUUGUAAGUAAGGAUUUUUACCCAUUGUGCCGGAAGCAUCGCCUCCACCGUAGAAAGUGGCGUGAGCGUUGAUCCAACCGCCACCGCCACCGUAGCCGGUCACAGAAGAAGCCAUUACUCCUACCAUAACCAUAACUAAGAAUCCAAGAUGACACAUGUUUACCUCUUGUGUUAACAACCUGCAAAUGGGUGAUAUAAAGUCUAUUACUUUUAGCUCAAGUAAAUGUGUAUUAGAGAAAUAAAGGAGAAACAAUUGAAUGUAGGUGAAGAAAGUAGUUACUUGGAUUUGGAGAUCUUCUUCUUUCCUUCAAGAAAAAAGAAAAAAAGAGAGAUAUGUGAAAAUCUGUUGUUGGGUUUUAGAGUGGGAGGUGAGUGGUUGAAUUUAUAGAAAUCUUUAGUUAGAGGAAGUUGGCUUCAAUUUACCAUUAUGCCACUGAUGGUGGCAACUAACUUGGACUUCUUUAAUAAUAACCAAGCUUUAUUUUCUUCAAGGUCAAGAUAAAUAAAAACUUGUUUUCAACAAACAUUUUUGUUGUUUAUUAAAUGAGGUGUUAUUUUCAUUUUAAUAUUACAAUAUAGUAUAUAAUUUGAUUUUAGAUUUUCUUUUUGCUGGGAACAAAUAAAUUGAUUGGCAUUAAUAUUGGCAAGAAAAAACCGAAAAGCAAAGAGACAAAUGCACAUGUGCGCUACGAAACGGGUCAUGCGUCCUCAUAGCCUCUUGUGUUAGGAUCUCUUGUUGUUUUUUUUUUUUUUCGAGGCGCCUACAAAGAAAGGUAUAAAUUAUUACUGUAGUAAUGUGUUGUGUGGGGUUUUAUAAUUAUUCACAAUGAUAUAAAAAAAUUUCAUUCCAUUUAUACGCCAUUAGGAUUAAUAAUCUGCUAAAAUUGAAUAUUAAAAUUUUGUUUUAAUGAGUUUCAAAAUUAGAACUCGCCAACUUUUGACUAAGAGUGCAAAUGGUUGUUUACGAAAAAAUUUGUUUGCGGAUUAGAUCAUUUUUUAUUUAUUAUUCAUAAAUUUUAUUUUUUAAUAAUAUAGAUCGAAAAAAAUAAAAGAAAUCCGUUGCGGACCAACCACAUACCGUUUUUACGUAGAUAUAAAUUUGGUCAACGGCAGAUUGUUUUCUACAACAUUGUUUUCUACAACAUCCAUUCAAAACCUAAAUUAUCGAUCUGCUAAUAAUUAUCAAUAGAGUUAAAAUUAUUAUGGAAAAAUAUGAACUUUUCAUCAAUUAGAGUUUGUCAUGAAUAUAUAUAUAAAGGAUGUGACUGGUAAUAUAAAAUAAAAGAAAAAUAAUUAAAAGAAAAAUAAUUCUUUUAUUUUCUACUUGAAUGUAAUCCGUCAAAUUAAAAAAAGUUGAAUUGUUUUUCUUCCUAAUUUCUCAAAAAGUAACAUAAAAAAAUCCUUUAUUAUAUAAAAGAGAAGUCAGUCGGCAAUUCUCAGAGUGACAUGUGUCAUCUACAAUUUUAAAAAGGGAAAUUUAUUUUUUCUUUUCUCUGCAAAAGUUAAAAAAAUAUAUAUAUUUUAGUUAUUUUUCCUUUAAUCCUUUUUUUAUCUGUCGAAAACUGAUUUUUUUUUUAACUACAAAUUGUUUUAAAUGAAACCACGAAUCCACGAUCCCACUCUUCUUUCUUUUCAACCAUAAUCAAAUUAACUUUCCACUUUCAUCCACUAAUUUCUUCAAACCAUCAUGUAUCGUUUGUCUCAUAUUAUAAAAGGAUGAGAUUUGCAACUUAUUACAAAUCUUCCAAUUAAUUUUCUAAAUCUUAUUUCUAAUCCUUUAAAAUUAACAAAAAUCACUAAAUUUUUAACAAUAGCAUAUGCUCCUGUUAAAAAUAUUCCACAAAAAAUAUGAGAGAAAAAAUUCUUACAAAAAGUUUAACCCUUGUUAUAAUGGAGAUCUAGAUACUUUCAAAUUAAAACUUUAAUAUUCUAGGUAACCAUUGAAUCACUAGAUUUGGCACUUCUACGAUAAAACUAAUUUAUUGCUAUAAGAUAACGAUUUCUUACUUUUAAUAUAAAAUAUAUAAUUAUGUCUUGUGUGGGCUAUAUAUUCGGUAAUAGGGUGAUAAAAGAAAAUAUUAAUUGUCCGAUUGUGAACGAGGAAGAAAAAAGAAAAGAAGCUAAAACAGUGACAGACAAAUCAAGCUGAAAUCUAAGUGGGUCACAGCGGUCUGUUUUGAGUUAGACGUAUCAGGAAACCUAUAACUUUGUUCCUUAUCGUGUGUAUACCUCUACCUAUAUCGUGUUAUGUAACCAGUUCAUAAUUAAUUCGAAAAAUAUAAAUAUUAGGAAAUUAUCGACAAGAAGAUAAUUGUAACUAUUGAAUUUAAUAAGGUCAAGAGCUUGCAGCCGCAGAAAUCUACGGCCAACCUCCCGUAAUCAGAGCUCAAAACAUGGGUCCCUUGCUACUACUUUUGUUUCUCAACUUCAAUUCAUUUUGAUGGUUCAACAAAAACAAUACAAAGUCGGUUACGUUAGUUCUCAACAUUUUUCGAGUGACACACAAAAUAUAAGAACUCAACAAAAAUGAUAGAAAAAAAGAGAAUGAAUGCGUAGGUUUUGCCACAGGACCACAGUCCACAGGUAGUCGACAAACACAGUUUAGGCUAACGUUUUAAUUACGAUAAAAGAACAAAAUAAGGAAAUUUUGAUCAUUUGAUGAAUUGUUCAGAAUUAAUAUCAAGUUCUUAACGUACGCUUGUAUCUAGAAAUGAUUAGAUUAGCGCCAAAAAUCAUUUGAUACUCUUCUUACUCCUUGUUCAAAUAUAUAUUAUAUAUACAUUUUUUACCAAUAAAAAAUAAAUAAAAUAUAUAUAUAUACAUUCAUUACAUAUAUAAUAUGUAUCUGUCGAUUUAUCAAGCUAGUCUCACGGGGACUAAAUGGUAAGUAAUGAACAAAUUGACUACAUAUUAGAGCAUAAUAUCCAGUAAACAAAAAAAGGAAAUCAAAAUUUAACGAUCAUAGGAGAAACUAGAAAUCGCAAGAUAGAAAACAAUAUCAUAGAUUUUCACCCCACAAAUAAAAAUAAUAAUAUCAUAGGAUUCCUUGAGUUUACAAUUAAACGCCAAAAUAUAUAAAUUAAUCGCGGGGUUGAAAGAAGACAAACAAAUAUAAUAUUUUUCUUCUACUCAUCAAAUUGUUUUUUUUUUGGUAGUGUAGGAGUAAUGAAAAUUGAAAGCGAUAGUUUUUUUUUUACAUUUUUAUUAAGCUUGAGAUCAAUAGCCCAUGCAUGCACAUGCCUGCCGUUUUGUCUUUUUCAUCGUUUCCUCUCGUACUCGUCUCCUAUUUUAUUUUCGCUUCUCUUGGUUUUUGUUUGUUUGUCUGUAAUUGCACAUUAAUUUAGAUUAGUUACAUUUUAAUACACUUGUUAAAGAUCCUUCUGGAGAAAACUGGUAUACCUUAAAAAAAAAAAUUUUCUUGAUAAGUUUGAGCAAAGUACCUCUCCCAAAACUGUUGUAACAAAUUAUAUUCUAUCAGCAUUGUGUUACGUAUCACACAAUGGAGUCGAGUACGCAUCACGCAUGGUUAGUAUUACACGUAGGAAUGAGUUUGUUCGCAUGUAUACAUCAAAAAUGCAUCAUGACAUUAAAAAAAAAAAUUGAAAGAAAAACACUAAUUACAGAAAUCUUCUAAUUAAUAUCUGCGAUUUGUAACAAAACAUUUUUCUCUUUAUUAAAGGACAAUAACAAAAACUUUGAAGGCUUUGUCCAAAAAAAAAAAAAAAACAAAAAAAAAAAAACAAAUACUUUGAAGGCCAAAACCAGCAUAUCUGAUAUCUGUAUAUAUGUUUGUAAUCUCAUGAACCAUGUGAAUCCAUCAUAGUAAUAUGCAAAUCAGACAACCACUUUCCCAAUCCUCUCGCAUGUGUGCAUGCGUGUAGUAUAUUUACGAAUCAUAACCCAGUUGUUGCAUAGUUACGACCGUUAACGAAAUCUGCCGCUGAUUCUGAAGCUCAACUUUUUAUCGUAAAGCUGUUAAUCUCGAGGAAGUUCUCAAGUGUUUGAUAUUCACCGUCCGAUUAGAUUCCUGGUAGAUUUUCUCUGCGACAAACAAAUAAAUUAGCCUCCACUUACUUUAAUUUGUUCAUUUCAAGAAACAAAGAUUCGUGUGGCUAAAAAUGGCCUUAUUAUCCUCGUCUCACCUCCUACUCCUAUGCUCACUUUCUGUUGCUGACGAUGCUCUGAUGAACAACUUGUGUUUUUUUUUUUCUUGAUAUUUUUCUUAAUUACAGAAACUCUUAUAUAUAUACUUUUUUAUUAUUAUUUAAAGCUUCGAGAUAAACAUUUUGAAUUUCUUUGCACACAAACAAAAACAUUUAUAAUUUAAAUUCUAUUGAUAGUGCUAAUGAGAUCGAAGUUUGAUGAAAAUCCAAGGUUAUUUCCGCUUUAUAAUAGUAUUUUUUUUUUUAAUUUUUUCCACUCAUUUACAAAAAUAUAUGCUAGAACCUUAGAGUAUUAUUAUGAAAGACAUUGUCGAUUAAUUUUGAGUGUUUAAACCUACCAUUCCUAAUAAUUAUAAAUUAUCUAAUAAUACAAGACCUUGAUUUGGUCCAUAUGUUUUUUUUUUUGGUUAAAAGGCUUUGGUUCACAUGUUUUCAUUAAUACGAUCUUCAGUAUAAAAUAUUAUAGUAUUUUACAAAUUGAAAUGACUUGUACCGAAUAUAUAAGAGCGUCAUUAGUUUAGUAUCUUAUUAUCGUGUAUUCACAUACUUAUCCUACUAAAUCUGAAUCCGAAGUUAGUCGAGUUUCGGCCGGAAUACUCCUUUAAAAAGCACCAAAGAGAGAGUAAUAAACCAUAUAGUCCAUAUGAACAACCCUUGUUUGAAAAAUCGCUAGGCGCUAGUCGGGCGCUCGGCAUGGGCCUAGCGAUUAAUCGGAAAAUCGGAUUAAAAUCGGGGAUUAAUCGGGGAUUAGUUUUAGGGUUAUUUUAAUAUUUUUAAAACAUAUUAAUCCAAUAUUAUUUUUAAAAUUGCAGUAAACACAUAAAAAUGUAUUUUUGAGACAAAUAUUUAUGAUUUUUAUUAAAAUAUGAACAUAAAUUAUUGUAAAACAUUACAAACUCCCAAUUCAAAUGAUUGAAUAACAAAAAUAAAAAGUUUUUUUAUACUGGCAAUCUAAAAAUAAUCGGGGUAUGUAAGAUUAGGCGGGGAAUAAUCGGAUUAGGCGGGGAAUAAUCGGAUUAGGCGGAGAGUAAUCGGAUGACUGAUUUCUUUAAGGGAUUAGUCAUUAAUCGAGGCGGACAGGGUGGAUCUAGCGAUUAAGCGGGGAGUAAUCGGAUCUAGGCGGGGAUUUUUAGAACAGGGUGAACAACCAAUAGGACCAAUUGCAAAAAAUAUACACUUUCUGAAACUUAUUCAAAAUCAAGAAAUAAUCUCGUCCGAUCCUUUUAUUUUCUUCAUAUGUUCUUAUGACAAAGGACAUGAUAAGACUCUUAAAAUAUAAGUAUAUAACUAUCCAUUUAAGCAUCAAAAACGAGAAAACCAACACUCUUAAUUGAUGGCAUGGGCGGAUCUAAGAAGGCAGUAGGGGUGUCAGCUGCCCCCGUUAAAUUUUAAAAUUUGUUGUAUUUUUAUUGAUUUCAUUUGUGUUUUGCUAGCUAAAAUGAUGAAAUAUCUCCCUCUGCCCCCCUUUAAAUCCACGAUCAAACUCAUGUUGCCCUAUUCAAUAUACUUGUUUUUCUCUUUCUUUCCUUUUAUAAUUUUUUUCCUCCCUAAAUUUUAUCUAUUUUAUAUGGAUGUUUUCUAUUUUAGUCAUAUCUUUUGCAAGAAUCAACUUUUUUUUUAUUACUUCCCAAAAAAAAAAAAAAUAGUAUUAUUAGUGAAUAUAUUAUGUCCUCGGCGACAUUAUUUUCUAGAUCAUUGAUGGGAUGAGAUAACCAAACUAAAUUAGAAGGAUAAAUUGGGAUCUUGAGUGCUAGAUUAUGUGGGUUUAGAUUUAAGAUUUCUCGAUAUUAAGCAAUAGAAAUAAUUCUAACUCUCUAUGUUAACGGCACUUCUAUAAAAUUUUGGUUCUUAUUGACUUUUGUAUAAGGUGAUUUAUUUUCAUAACGUGGGUGACGUAACGAUAAUAAAUCACUAGAUACGAAAGGAUUCCCAAUUUGUGUCAAACUCAAAGUCCACAUCACGUGCUGAAAUCAUAUUCACAUAAUUUGGUUACGGCUCUUAUUUUUUUGUCAUGGCUCUUUAUUGCUAAAUUGAGUUAGUUAAACCAAUUUCUCUAAUUGAAUUACUAAUUUGGAAGUUCCAAAGAUUGAGUGACAUGUAGCUAGUGAAAUGUUCUCAUGUCUUCACAUGUAUAAGAAAAAAAUAAGAAAAGCUUUCACAUGUUCUCUUUGACAAACUUACAAUCUAUCAAACCAAGAUCACCGAUUACCUUUUUUCUUUAAAAUAGUAAAUUUGGAUCGUUCCCAUGACCAAUUAGCCAUGAAAAAUGUUUUUGAUCAAUAAAUUGAUACAUAUAUACAUAGUUUUUUUUUUUUUUUUUUUUUUCGGUAUGAGCUAAACUAAAUAUGUUUGUUGCUAAACAAAUUAGGUAGCGAGCCAAAAUAUACAUGGUUUGAUAUAUCAUAUUUUAAAUAAUUAUAUCCUCGAAACUUAAAUAUAUAUUGACAAGGAAAAUAGCUUUUUUUUUUUUUUUUUUUUUUGUAAACGACAAGGAAAAUAGCUUAUCGUCUAAUAUUCCUUAAUAGCCAGACAAGAUAAAUAUAUCGGUCCUCAUCUCUCCUUUUGGAAAACAACCUUCAUCAUCGUCCCAUUUAUUGUAAAUUGAUAGUUGUUGCUUCCUUAUCUUUUCCCAUAAUUUUCUAGUUAAAUUAAAAUCCACUGGGAUGAAUUAGAUGUUCUAAUAUUAUUCAUUUCUUAUCUCAUUCUUUUUUAACAAAUAAUUUCUUAUCUCAUAUGAUGAAAAAUCUAAUUGGCACUUUGUCUUUCCUACAUUCUUAAAAACCACAUUGGAGAUUGUAGGGUUUGAUCCCCCGAAAGCGUAAGGGACAAAGAUUAGUGGCAAGUCAGUAGCUCAAAAGCCUUUAGCCAUUUUCUUUAAGAAGCUAAUUUAGCUAAAACAUAAACCAUAAGAUUAAAUAAGAUUAUUAGCCAUCUGAAUACGGGGUAAAUCAAGAGUGGUAAUUUAUGUAUUGUUUUAUUUUUGUUUUUAUUAUAUUCAUUUUAGUUGGAGUUAUUACAGAGUCUUAUCUCAUUAAAUCUAUUUAGUCGCUAAAACUCUAUUUAAAUCACAAACCAAUAACACUCCUCUUAAGUUGUAAAUGGUGGGAAUAUUAUUUAUUUGUUUAUAUCUAAAAUUACAUCAUAACAUAAAUACAUAAUUGCCUGUUGUCACUGAUGAUUUGGUGGAAUAAAAAGACACGUUUCUGUUUCUUUUCUAACAUACUCAUAGAGUCAUUGCUAGUUGGCACUAUCAUUCAUUAGACGUAGCUAUAAAUACAGAUUUAACUAGGAAUUAUGGCUAUCUUUGAUUCGGGACCAGUUUUGUAAGAAACAUAUGAAUAAUAGUUGUAGCAUUGGCAGUUUUGGGUAGCUAAACCAAUUCUCAACUAACAAAGCUUUAAUACAAAGUUUUGUAAAGAAAGACAUUGAAAUCUCAUACGUUUGGAGGUUGAAAAAACUUAUUGUAAAGAAAAAGUGAGCAUUUCAGAUUUUAAAUUCUGACUUUAAUGUGGAUUUUGGAAGAAAUUAAACUUGAGGUUUUCAAUAAAUCAAGAGUGGUCAACUUAUGAAUUACCUAAGUUGAACCACAUUUUUACGGUUCGAUGUCGUGGCGUCUCAAGUCUAUAAUCAAAUCGAUUUGUACGGAGUAGAGAAUUCUUCAUUUAACUACUUAGCCAUUUAACCAAGCUAAGACUUCCGGUUCAAUUUUGAUUUCAUUAAACCGAGAACAAUUGGAAUGCAAAAACAACUUUUACCAUUCACAAAAGACAAAAUAAAGGCCUUCAAUGACUGCAGUUUUUGGAGUAGUUUUUGGCUUAUGAUUGUUCAAAAAUCCAAUAAUUACACAUUCAUGAUUCUACAAAAAAUAGAUUUCCUAAAAAAUGGGGAAACCAGAUUUUAGGAGAUUGUGGCUUUUCUUCACAGAAUCCAAAAACCAAGUUUUGUGGGUUUUUCCAAAUAAUUUACGUCAAAUUUUUUUUUUUAAUUUUUAAAAUUUAUUUUAAAUAUGCUAUUUUUACCAUUUACCAAUUCAUUUAAAACUAAAACUUUAUUCUAUGUAGAAAAACUAAAACCUAAACAAAUUACCAUUCAAGAUUUUGCAAAAACUAAAAUCUACACCAAAAAUCAAAAACCACACUAAAUCAAAAACCAAACUCCAAAAUCCAAAAACCAAUAAAAAACUACCAAACAUUCAGGGCCAAAGUCUUUUUUUUUUUUUGACAAUCAACAAAAUAAAGUGUUGAAAUUGGCGUUUUAGAAUCUUUAAGUCUUAACAAUCUCCUAGAUUUUAUCUCCUCUCUUCUUGCGAUCUCCGUGAAACAUGUUGGGCGGCGAAGGUAAGAUCUUAUUUUAGCGUUGUGUUCUUAGCUCUUACCACGACGUUUCACCAUAGCUCCGAAUAGAAAAUUUAGGAUUCAGAUACCAUGUAAAAAAAGUUGAAAAUAUAUUUUUUAUCCGCACAAACAAUUGUUUUUUUUUUGGUAAGAUCCACACAUAAACAAUUGUACAAAGUAUCUAUAUAUACAUUUUUGGAUGACUUUUAGCAAAUAAAUCCUGGAGUUGGAAUGUAUUUACGGAUGAAUGCCAUUGGCAUUAAUUAUUUAAAUUUGAAAAAUAUUAAUUAAAGAUAUUACCAACACGAUUUCGAGAAUCAUAAAUUCAUAUUUUCCUUAAUUUUCUGAGUCAUUAAUGUGAUAAUCUUUAGGAAAUAUUUCUCUGUAAAAAAAAAAAUCCACAUUAAUGAAGGCAUUAAAAUCGACACUAACAAUUAAAUUAUUUAGAUAUUCAAUUAUUUUAAGAUUCUUAUAUCUUAUUUGAUAUUUUUUUUUAAUAUCUCAUUCUUUAAUUACUGCGUUUAGAAUUUAUUGGUUGUUACCUAUUUUUUGGUGAAAUUUAUUGGUUGUUACUUAAUAAGUAAUUAUGGUGCGUUUAUUUUAGUUAAUAUCUAAUUUAAAGGAUUUGUUUUCUUUUAUUAUUAAUAAACGAAUAACAUGUAUAGAAAUAAAAGAUUUUUCUUGCGACUCCAUAAUAAAAAUAUUAAACUCUUAUUUUCUACAUUUCUUACACAUAAUAUCCUCUUAUUCAAUAACAAAAAAUAUAUAUUGCAUAUUUUAAAAAAUAUUUAUAAUAUUUAAAUUAUAUAAAAAGUUUGUAAUAUUAAUAUUAUUUCAACUCUAUACAAAUUUAAUAUAUAUGUAUAUAUAUCUUAUGGGAACCAUUUAAAAGAAAUUUUUAAAUUGACUUGAAUUAUAUAGCUUUUAAAUAAAAGUAUUAUUAAAAAGAAAAAUAACUAAAUGAUGUUUAAUUUCACGGGACGGGUAAUAUGAUGGGACGGGUUUGGGUUGAUAUAUAUAAAAGAUAGUAUACCACGGGUGAAAUCCUAAAAUUAACAAUCAAAAUAAUCUAUCAAACAAAUUACAUUUUGAUUUUUUUAAGAAAAUAUAGCCCCGCGGUGUACCGCGGGUUAAAAUCUAGUUUAUAUACAUUGUUAAGACGGCUUAACCUAAUUAACCCCUAUAUAUACGAAAUUAAGCCCAAUAAACUCGAUAUAGCCCAAUAGAAAGCAUAAGUUUAAAUGUUAUUACUUGUUAUGUUUUCUUUUACCAAAAUUCUGCUAAUUAUGUAAUUUAGUGAGUUAAUAAUUGAAUUCAAUAGCAAUAGUUGGGCCAAUUUUGUAGGCCUAAUACAAUAUUCUUGAUUUACCCAAUCGCAAGCAUGAUUUUCUCAGUGAGUUCACUACUAAGAAACAGACACGUGUCAUAUUUGAAGUUCGCAAUUGGCAAAGUCAUCCAAACAAAAUCUGUGGUCCGUUGCAUUUCACUUCAAUCAGAGCAAAUCAACUAGCUUUCCGAUUUUCUUCGAGCCAUGGAAGCUACUUGUGCAAAUCCCUCCAUUGUCACCGCCUCGAGAACAAUUCAACCUUACCGAUCACCCGCUCUCUCACUUCGAUUCCUUACUUACCGGAACAAACGUUUUUUUCCUUAUUCGCUCACAGUCACAAGAUGUUCCACCACAAAAAGUAGAGAAACGGGUCAAGAUUCAACCUUUGAAUCAUCGAUCUCUCUGAAGAAAGGGCUAGUUCUUGAUCUGGGCGUCUCUAAAGAUUCAUGGGACAGUGAGGAGAUUGGUUCUCCGGUUGUGAAGAGAUUUCUAAGCGAUAACGAAGAGAGAUGGUACAUGUGGUACCAUGGAAGCUCCAAGCAGAACCCUGUUUCUGAUUGUAUCGGAUUAGCGGUUUCAAACAAUGGGAUUCAUUGGGAAAGAGGAAAAGGGAAAGUUGAGUCAAGCGACGAUGUGGGUUUGGUUAUGAGCUGUGGUGAAGACUGGUGGGGAUUUGAUACUGCAAGUGUUAGACCUGGUGAAGUUGUGAUAAUGUCGAGUUCUAAAGUCAGAGCUAAUAGCUCUGUUUACUGGAUGUAUUACACUGGCUACACUACUGAGACUGUUGAGUUUCAAUCCCAAGGUUUCACUUCCGGGCUGGGAAAUCCGGAAAGGUUUCACCUUUGUGAUGAGAAUGUUGAGAAAUCUAGGGUUUAUAGGUCACUUCCCGGGUUAGCAAUUAGUCAAGAUGGUAGGCAUUGGGCUAGAAUUGAAGGUGAGCAUCAUAGUGGGGCAUUGUUUGAUGUCGGGUCUGAAAAAGAUUGGGACUUUUACUAUAUUGCAUCUCCACAUGUAGUUUUCCAUGGAGAUGGCGAUUUACGGAUGUAUUACCAUUCGUUCGAUGAUAAACCCGGUGAAUUCUGCAUUGGGAUGGCGAGGUCUAGAGAUGGGAUCAAGUGGUUAAAAUUGGGAAAGAUAUUAGGAGGAAGAAUAUCCGAAAAGGAUGGAUCGGGUUUCUUUGAUGAGCUUGGAGGUAGAUAUCCUUGUGUGACAAGGAACAAGAGAGAUGAGAGUUAUGUGAUGGCUUAUGAAGGUGUAGAUAGAAACGGGAAGACGAGCAUUGGCUUGGCGGUUUCGAAAGACGGGAUUAAUGAUUGGAAACGGGUGCAGGACGAGGAAGCCGUGGUUGCUGUUGGUGAAGGCAGUGCGUGGGAUAACGAAGGAGUUGGAUGUCCAUAUUUGAUUGAGAUGGAUGGAGACUCUGAUCAUCAAUGGAGAUUGUAUUAUAGAGGUGUUGGUAAUGGUGGAAGAACAGGAAUAGGCUUAGCUGUUUCUCAAGGCAAUGAGAUCACUAGUUUUACUAAACAGACAGGGAUUCACUUGUGAGACUGACAAAACAAAUGUCAUUUGCUUUUGAGAUACACUUUGAUGUUAAAAAAACAGCCUAGUUGGUCUAACUAGAGUACAAUAGUAAAUUGUUAAAUGUUUUAACUGAAAUUAAUGUUAAUGAAUAUUUGCUGAUUAAUUAAACCUUGUGAUGUAAUUUUUUAAGUAGUUCAUGACCGUUACUACAAGUGGGGACAAAACCAUAGUGUAAAAAAGGAAAAUCCGACCGUUACAAAAACUCUAGCAUUUAAGUUUCUGGGAGGAACAAAAACAACACAAUCCGUAAAUUAAAGCCAAAAUCCAAAACUUUUUAUUAAUUGAUCUCAGGAAAUAGCAAUGGGAGGAGAGCAAUUCGAGCUAGAGGAAGAUAGAGACGGACCAUUGGAGCUGUUGCAGAGCUUGAGAUCUAAAGCGACGGAGCUUCUUCUUCGGGAAGAAUGGGAAGAAUCUAUAAAAGUUUACACGGAGUUCAUCGAUCUCUCUCGGAGGCAAGUCUCAAGAAAUGGUGGAUCCGACCCGAAUCCGGAUUCGAUUGCUAAGCUCCGGAGAUCUCUCUGCUUGGCUCUAUGUAAUCGAGCUGAGGCGCGAGCUAGGCUACGAGAUUUCUUGGAAGCAAUGAGGGAUUGUGAUCAAGCACUUGAAAUCGAAAAGACUCAUUUCAAGACUCUUCUUUGUAAAGGUAAAGUUUUGCUUGGAUUGAGCAAAUACUCAUUGGCUUUGGAAUGCUUUAAAACGGCUCUGCUCGAUCCUCAAGCGAGUGAUAACUUCGAGACUGUUACUGGGUACAUGGAGAAAUGUAAGAAGCUUGAGUUUCAGGCAAAGACUGGAGCUUUUGAUUUGUCUGAUUGGAUCUUAAGUGGGUUUCGUGGGAGAUGUCCCGAGCUUGCUGAGUUUAUUGGGUUGAUUGAGAUUAAGAAAUCUGAGUUUAGUGGGCGUGGAUUGUUUGCUACGAAGAAUAUUGUUGGCGGGACUUCGAUUUUAGUUACAAAGGCGGUUGCGAUUGAGAGAGGGAUCUUAGGUAAUGGAGAGUCUGGCGAGAAAGCGCAGUUGAUAAUGUGGAAGAAUUUCGUUGAAGAGGUUACUGAAUCCGUGAGGAAAUGCGGUAGGACACGUCGAGUUGUCUCCGCUUUGUCCACUGGACAAGACGAAGACAAUCUGGAGAUUCCAGAUAUAGCUCUCUUUAGGCCUGAUGAAGCAUUUGAAACUUAUGAUGACUCGAAACAGAGUUUGGAUACGGAGAAGUUAUUGAGUAUCUUGGAUGUGAAUUCUCUGGUGGAAGAUGCUGUUUCAGCUAAAGUUAUGGGGAAGAACAAAGAGUAUUACGGUGUAGGGCUAUGGACUCUAGCUUCAUUCAUUAACCAUUCGUGUAUCCCAAACGCAAGACGUCUCCAUGUUGGAGACUACGUGAUUGUUCAUGCCUCCAGAGACAUCAAAGCCGGGGAGGAGAUCACUUUUGCUUACUUCGACGUGCUUUCUCCAUUGGAAAAACGGAAAGAGAUGGCUGAGUCAUGGGGAUUUCGUUGCGGAUGCAGUAGAUGCAAGUUUGAGAGUGUCUUGUAUGUUACCAACCAAGAGAUAAGAGAGCUUGAAAUGGGUUUAGAGAGAGGCGUAGAUGCGGGAAACGCGGUUUACAUGGUGGAGGAAGGGAUGAAGAGAUGGAAGGUAAAAGGGAAGGAUAAAGGGUUAUUGAGAGCAUCUUAUUGGGGAAUUUAUGAUGAGAUUUAUAACUCGGAGAGACUUAUGAAGAGGUGGGGAAGGAAGAUACCAACAGUGGAAGUUGUGGUGGACAGUGUCUCUGAUGUUGUUGGAAGUGAUGAGAGAUUGAUGAAGAUGGCUGUGGAAGGGAUGAUGAAGAAGAAUGGAGGUUGCAGUAACAUUGUGGAGAUGGAGAAAAUCUUGAAGCUAGGGAAGGGUGUUUAUGGCAAAGUGGUAUCGAAAAAGAAGGCAAUGAAGACUCUUCUUGGCCUAGAGUGAUAAGUCUUUUGCAAAUGUUGAAACUAAUUGCUUGUAGGAUCCAUAGAGAUAAUAACCAUUUUGGUUUUCUGUAAUUCCUUGCCUCAUGGAAGAAAACAUCCAAUGAUAUUAUAUUAUUAUUACAAAGACACUCAAAUGGAAAUAACACUUGUUUUGUUGCAAAUCAUUUGUAGUCAAAGAAUGUCAUAUAUGAAAAAGCCAGUUCUACAAAAGAAAUUGGAUGAGUAGCAUAAAAGAAAAGGAUGAUGGAGAAUUUAUUCGUCGAUCCAAUUAUCCUGAUUAGCACUUCCUCCGGUUCUGUCCUGCAGCAACACAUCUUUCUCAGUUUUCAACUGGUUAACUAGCCUGCGGACGCUAGGAGUCUGGAAUCGAUCCUUAGCAGAUUUCUUCGAUUGAGUUAUUAACCCUUUUUUGGCACUAGGAUAUGGUUUUGGAGGUGGAUCCUUAUCUUGCAUUUUCGCAAGCUCCUUUAGGCGUUUGUAUGCUUUCUUCAUUUCCUUUCUCUCUGAAAGAUAUUCCAUCUGAAAAUAUCAAAACAUAAAUCAGCAAGAAGAAGAAAACAUCUUCACUGUUCAAAGGAACGGCAUCAACAGCACGAUUCUGAUCUAUUCAAAUGUUGUCAUCAUAGACUGUGAAACGAAAAUAACGUACAUUAGCUACAGACAUGGCAUCAUCCUCACUGAUGCCAUGCUCCUUCAAUUCAAGUACCCGACAACCAUAUACACGUGCUUGAUCUGGAACAAACGCUGAUAUCCUAUUGAAGAUGGCAACCACAUUAUACAAAGUAAUAAGAGUAGAGAGAGAUACAUACAUAUUGAAUGGUUAAACUCUACCAUUGAAUCAAACUUCUUUCUAUAGUGAUUCAUAUCAGAAUAAGCUUUAUGAAGAACAAACUCAUAACAUAAUCAUCAAACUAUCUUUUGUACAAAUGCAGAGAUAUAAAAGUUGAGAAUUUUACUUGGCAGGGUCAUCAAUUUUUGUUCCAGGAUGCUUAUUGGCGAAUUUACGAACAUAAGGAUCCUCGGGGAGAACAAUCCUCUGGAUUUUUCCAUUAGAGCGAGGAAACACAGGAGGAGGUGAACUGCCAUUAAAACCAAAUCACAGAACACUCAUUUCAACAAAACCCUCAAAAUCCUAAAUCCAAAUACCACAGACGCCAAAAUCUCAACUUUUUAUGCAAAUGGAAUUCAAUUGCAAUCGAAUUUCAGAACCCAUUAACGGAUGAUUCAAUAAGGAAGUAUCUAAUUGAUCGAUCGAGCCAAAUCAUUUGGAAAAAUAGAAAUGGGAGAAGAGAGAGAGAGAGAGUUACGCUUCCAUGGCCUUAAGCCAAACAGGCUCUCGUGUAGCUAAGCCACCAACAAGCCUCCUGGUUUUGGAAAGUAAAUCACCUUUCAUCCACGACAUUGUUGCUGAGCUUCUUCGCUUGAUCUGUGUGAUUCUUUUACCAGAGACGACGACGACGAAGACACAAGGGUUUCGAAAUGCGGAAAUGGCUUGUAUCAGAAAAACCUCUUGGUUAAUGAAUCAAACCGGGUACAUCACACUCUAAAUUACGGUCUAGAAUCGGUUAAGAGAUAAAUUUUAUGGUUCGAUUCGGUUCGUAUCUUAAAAACGAUGCCGUUUUUAUGAUAAAAUUUAUACCUCUUUGGUUUUCUAGUCUUCACUUCCGUCAGCUAUAGCUUUGGAGAAACUGCAUCAAUGGCGUUGAGAUUGACAUCGCUAAAACGCGCCGCGGUUGAGUCCUACCGCAUUUUGGAAACCCGAAGCUUCAGCCAUGUCGCUGCGAUGCCUUCGCCCUUGAACGGAGCAUUCGAUCGACCGAUUUCUAUGCCGCCGCCGGUUUUACCUGAGUUCGAUCAGAAUCAACCGGGUUUGAUCGAUGAAAAGAGCUUCGGGUUCGGGCUUCCUAGUUUUGCUUUUAAUGGAUCCAUGGAGCUAAUGGCUGUGCCUAAGAAGAAGGUCGAAGAACUCUCAGUCUCUUAAUUAGUUUUCUCCCUUCGUUGUCCGAAAUGGAAAAAUUUCUUAGGGUUUUUGAAUUAUUUGCAUCUAGGGAUUAGCUUUUUUGACGGAUUCAGGGUUUUUCUAGGGUUUUAGGGAGGUGCAUUAUUGGACUUAUUAGUUGAUUGUUUUUGUGUGUUUUGAGUGUCCAUUGUUUUUCCAUUUGAUUGUGUAUCUUUGGGUUUAAGCUCGCAUCUAAAUUGAUUUGGUUCCUUUAGGUUCACAUGUGAAUGAAAAUAUGUAAUUUUUAAUGGCUCCUUUGGAGAAUGAUAGUGUUAAUCGAAGCUGUUUUUGAUGAAACAUGCAGAUUUCUAAACACAAGAGAGGAAUAAGAAAUGGCCCAAAGGCUCUUAAGCCUGUUCCUGUGAUCAUCCGUUGCAGGUAAGAGAUUAGCUUCACUUGUUGCUUUAUCUGUUUUAUGGUUCUUUACCUAUCCAUAGGUUGAGUUUGGUAUGGGGGUCUAGUUUUGAGGCUGUGAAAUUUUUUGUACUGUUAGUUUUUCUCUAGGUUGUUACUGCAGCAACAGCUGAAGAAUAAAUGCAUAUGCUUUGUGAUUCAUUGUUCUCUCCUUACUAUCGCUUGGUAGAAACUGCACUCGAGUAACCAGAAUUGUGUAUCUUUAACGAGUUUGACGAAAGCGCUAGUUGUGUUCAUCAUGGACACAAUAUGAGUCAACUUGUUCGGUUUUGGUAUAUGUUUGAUUUAAAAAAUUCUUUCGUUUUUCAUGAUCUCAUUGUGAGGGCACUUGUAUCAGAAUUUUAUAUAUACCGCCGGUUUAUGUACACACUCUUUUGUGUUUCCAGGAGUUGCGGGCGAGUCAAGCUGCCACAUUUCUUCUGUUGCAGCGGUGAGCGGCUAAACCCUAGUGAGUAAGGCAAUUCGAACAACUGAUCAAGGUUUCCAAUAUGAUUACUCCUUGUUGGAUAUCAAGAGGGAAAAAUCUUGGCUUUCUUAGUAGUACACUGGAGUGAUUAUAGACUUAGUUGAUGCUGUUUUGGAAAAUUAUUUUAUGCUGCAAUAUCAAUAUUCCAUGCUUCUUCUGACAAAUUAUGUUAUUGUCAUUUUGCUUGUUGCAAAGUUUAGGCUAGCUCAUUUUUAUAUAUGUGCUCUUAGAUUUGGAUUCAACAGCUAAAUCUAUUCUAAAUGGAUAACUAGAUUCACGUGAAACCAUCUAUACAAGUUUUUGAAGCUCUUUGUCAUAUACGCUCGCUGUCUCAAUAACCUCGUAGUUUAUUAGUGUGUCAUUUCAAGGGUAAUUUUUGGUUUAUCAUAGACAAAGUAGCUCGUGUUUGGUAGGUUUAUGGACUAAUUUUGGUUUGAAAUCUGAUUUGGGCACAUUGUGAUAGAGAGCUCAAUGAUAACCCUAGGUAAGAUUGUUAUAUCCGAAGCCUCGUUGUGCUCAUUUCCUUCUCUUUACUGAAACAGAUACAAGUAAACCCUACCCAAAAUUGAAACCCGACUCUUUGGAAAAACCUUGAUUAUAUCCAAUCUAAGAGUUAAUUAUCUCGAUCUUCCUCCUCGUCGUAGUUGAAUGGUAACGGAACUGAUUUGAAUGCUCUGAACUUUCCCACAUUGUUCAAGUGUUCAUUCUCCAACCUGUGAACAAAGCAAGAACUCUUAAGUUUAAGUAAAAAUUGGUUUGAAGGAGAAUUUAGUCAUCGUGUCUUGGUCAAAAAGUUACCUGAAGAAAUUCCAGAUACCACGACGUAUGAUCUCAAGAGCAGCAAGAAGAGCAACCAUAGUUUCUCGAUGUAAGAACUUGAAAUUAAAAUCCAGUACAGUCUGCAACCAAGCCAUCCUCAACACGAUGUUUAAGACCUAUAAAGAAGAGAAGACAAACCAAAUUAUAAGGAAAUCAUCAAUCAGGAUUUGUACUGUUGUUUUGAUUUUCACAGUUCUCACGAUUGCAACGUAGUAGACGGCUUUGUGAGGAACAAGAAGCUUCUCUCUUAACAAAUGUUUAGAUGGUCUGUGAAGUAAUCCCCAGUCAAAAACAAUGUCCCAAUAUGUGCCGUAAAAAGUUGCCAAUGCCGAGAAAACCCAGGCAGCGACUUUCCAGAUGUUUCCUCUGUUAAGGCUAUAAGCUGUUCUCAAGCACACAGCGACAACGGUUAAUAAAUACUUGAGAGCAUUGUAGCCUUGACUUGAAUCAUUCUCUUCGAUCAAUCUUCGAACACACUGAAGAAAACGUGACCAGUAAGGAAUCACAGCGACGAUGAAGUAAAAUGUGCUGUAUACAUCGCUUGAUCUGCAAGUGUUUUGCCUGUGCCUGAAGUCUCCCCAACCAUAGUAACAUAUGUAAAACUCCAGACUCCUUAGUGCUUGAACCUAAAAAAUAAGAAAGUUGAUUAAUGAGUUACAUGUUGAAAACAUAUACAUGGAAGUUAGAAGAAUGUUAUGAACACACACAAACCUGACUUGUUAAUUGGUCUGCCAAGAAAAAAUCUGGAAGAUUAACCUGCAAAUUUAGAUUAAAAAUUAAGAGUUUAUCCAUGUUUUACCCCGCGUAAAACAGAGGAUUUGCUUGAGUAAUUAAAUUACCUUGUAGAGUGGCGCAGCGAUGCAGCGGAAGACAACCAUGAGGAAGAACACACGGCUUGACCGAUAAAAAAUGUUGAAGGGACAGAACAAAAUAGCAACCACUAGCUGCAGAACAUUGUACAAACGAAAUGUGUUACUACAUUAGUAGAAUGAUUUAAGAUUCUUGUGGUUGAUAUGAUGAACAACUUACAGCCAAAAUAAAAAUGGGAAGAAGUUCAGUCAUGGUCUUGUAGUCAUUAGUGUUAGGGUCCAUCUCCAUGUCAAGGUUUAUUAGAACAGCACAGAGAGCAAGCGUGCCAAGACCAAAGCUUAGAAGCAGAACAUGUCUAUAACCAAGCUCUGUUCCUUCUUUAAAACCGAAUAUAAACGGAUAAUUCACUCGAUAUCGCUUCCAAAAGUAUAUGUUUGAAGCAUACAUGAUCAUAUGCAGAACCACAAAUGCAAAUAAACUGGAAAUAAAGUUACCAGUGGAACAUUGUCAGCAAGAAAACAGUGUUUUUAAUUAGAGAGUAAUCUAUAAAUAUAUGUUUUGGUUUGAACCUGUAAAGAGGGAACAUUGUCUCCAUGUAGAGUUUAUGUCCAUCUGCGCCCAUUAUAUUACGAGCAUGGAUGAACAUGACGAGAGCAACCACUAAGGAGACUGUGCAACCGACGAAAAAGCCUGAAAAAGAAGAACUAAUUUGAGGGAUUUUGUUUGAUUAGUCAUGAACUAAUGUAAAUAAACCGGUUUCGAUUUGGGAUAUCCUUUUAGUUACCAGUGGAAAACGUUAUUCGAUGUUUUUCUUUCUUCACUUUUGGUCUUAAGAGAUUCAUUCCUUUGCUUCGAUUCAAACCCGCGAAAUGCUCGACAAAGGUAGACUCAACUCUCAACAUAAGCUUGUUGAUCUGUUAAAAUGUAAAUAAGCUCAGGUUUAAAGAUUUUAGUUUUAUUGAAAGAAAAUAGUAAUAAGUUUGGUGUAGAGGUAGUGUGUUAACCUCAUCGGAGCUAGUGAGGUAGGACUUAUCUACCAUCUCCAUGUAUGGUUUUGCUGCACUUCUUGAAGCAAUCUGAUAGAAAAUAUUUAGCAAAAACAUAUUAAUAAGUCUCCAGAAACUUACAUUAUAUAGAUAUGAUGAAAUCUAGUGUUACCUUAUCAUAUUUCUUCAUAAUCUUGGAAAUCGCCAAAGUGUUCAAGAAGCUGAAUAAAUCAAGAACAAAGCAUGGAUUUAAUCAAACAAUCUUUUUCACAUUUCAUUUCUUCUUAAGAAGCAACAUACCUGUAAUUCUUGAGAUGUCGAAGCUUGCGAUAAAACUCAAUGAAGACAUUCUUAAGCCGUUCUUCUAUUUUCUUGAGAUUCUCUCUUGUGAAUUUGAGCUCUUCUUGGUUAGAGAGCUUGAGGACGUUUUUAAUAGUGGAAAGAGGAGUUUCCUGAGUUUUGUUUAAUCUGAUACGUUCAAGAACACUUAACACUUCUGGUACACUCUCUUUCGUUGAAUCUCCACCGUUGGAUCCAUUUCCCUCUACUUUGAUUCCCAUCUCUUCACCUAAUGUCUUCCCUUCAAAAUAAAACCACAAAAAGAUUCAAGCUUUGUGUCCUUUCAGACUAAACUUAGUCACAAAAAAUCUCUGAAAACUUACUCUGUUCCGUAGAAUCUAAGGCAUUGAUAUCCACUGAUACUGUUUCAGAGCAGCUCCAAGAAGAAGAAGGUUGCUCAACUUUGAUUCUGAAAGCAAUAAGAGCAUCCAUUUGUUUGUUCAAAACCACUGCCUCCUUCACCAUUUCCUCCACUUUAGACCGGUAAAAAUGGUUUACUUUAUCGAAUUCAAGAUCUAGGGUUUUAAAGAACGCAAGCUCUGACUCUCUCCCUGCUUCUGCAACUUCCAAGAUAGUUGUCUCGUAUCUCUCAAACCCAUCGUCCCCAGUUGUUGCAUACACCAUAAUGUCCUGAAUUUCGGGUUCCCGAGACGAGGCGGUGCGGCUAUACCGCUUUGUCAGGCCGCUGAAGUUGCGGCUACCAGAUAGCUUGCGUUUCAAGACACCUGGUCUCUCUGAUCUUUUCCGUGAAGUUUGGAUUUCUUGAAGGAUAGACUUGAGACAAGCAUAAUCUAUGUAAGCUUGUUGCCAUUCUGGAAUCAUCUGCCUAACAAAAUCUUUCCCAAACUUCAUAUUUGGUUUCUUCUCUCAAUUUUUCUGGACUUCUCUGUAAAACUCAAGAAUCCAGAUCCAAUUAAAAGCCUCUUUUAGUUGAGAUUAAUCUCUAUCUCUCCCUCUCUGCGUCUCGCUGAAAAGUUGGCUGCAGAGUAAAGAACAGAUUUUGAGAAAAUUACGAGACGACAAAAAAGAAAAGCUAUUAGAUGAAGAAAGAAACUAGAAAGCGUAAGAAGAACAAAGUGUGGGUUAUAUAAGAAUUUGCCAACCAUGCAAAAACUCGUGGAGUUUAUUCAACUAAUCACUUAUAUUCAUAUAUAUAUAGUCAUACAUAUAUCUUCAUAUAUAUAAGAGACAGAGGGAUAUUGAGUCACAUAAAGAUUUGCAAGUGGAUAUAAUUUCACGUGAGAAAAAUCAAAAGAGUUGAAAUGAAAUUGAAAAGACGUUUGUUGUGGUGGGCUCUUGGGUGGACUGAUUGACAACGAAAAUAAAAUAAUUGCAUAACAACACAUGUACAAAAUGUCUUCCUCUAAAUUAAUAAUAAAUGGGUUAAAGUAGUUGGUUGGAAAAAAUAAACAUCAAAAUACUAUAAAACAGAUUCAAUAGAAAGAAAACAGGUGGACGAUACACUUUUUGCGUGGAAUGAUACACUUUUUGCGUGGAAUGAUACACUUCCACACUGUUCUAGUGGACAAUAGAACGGUUCACAGUGACCGAUACAUUGUUUUACGGUGGAUGGAAGAAAUAAGAGAGUUUAGAGGAAGAAAACAGAGGGUGAGAGACAUAGUGACAAAGAGCAGGAGGAGGGCAAUGGAGACUAUGGAGUGUUAGUAUGGCGGCUUAGAGGAAAAAAAAAAUUUAGGUUUAGAGAAAAGUCUCUGAUACCAUAUUGAAUGAUGAGAAUCACAAUUAUCUAUAUUAAAAGAGUACAAUGAAUCAAUUAAUCUAAUUACAUAAUAUGUGAUAUUCCUAAAAUAAGAUGAGUGUAAUCGAGUUUCCUAAUCUAUCAGUUACAUUGUUCAGUGUACAAUGUUCACGUUGACUGAUACACUAACUACUAUUCACAGUGGAUGAUUCAUUAUUUCAUUGUUCACAAAAGACAAUAUACUAUUUACGGGAGAUGAUUAUAGUCCUCUCUAUACAUUGUUUAUGGUUUAUAUCGUCAUAAACUGGUACACCUUCUAGUAUAGUUGUAAAUAUACAUGGGGUUGAAAAGAAAGUAAGGUAGUAAAAAAGUAAAAAAACUAUCUAAAUAGCAAAGAUGAGAAAAAAAACAAUUUUUACCCAAAUUGCAAAUUACAAAAUAAAAAACUACACCUUUUAACAAAACAUUUUAUGUUAAAUUUUAUCGAUUUUUUUGUUUGUUUGUUUUUGUUUUUGUUUUUAAUUUUAUCGAUUUUCAUCUCAAAAUCAUAGCCUUUAUAUAUAAUUUUCUAUACUUUUAAUAUUUUAUUGUAGGAUUCUAACAUCAGCAAACAUACUCUAUUUGACUCAAUGUGAAUCCAAUCACUAGAAAAUAAAAAGAGUCCGGCCACAUGGUGUGUCGGUGUUGAUAUAUAUUGGAUCUAACAACUUGAAGACUAGCGACAGUUUUCUUUCUUUCUUUGAUAAAGGUUUAUAAGACUAGCGACAGUUCUUAACUUCUUAUGUUUUUUCUUUCUCUUUUUUCUUGUCGUCCACUUUUUAUGUUUAUCGUAUAUUCUUAUCAUAUAACGAAGUAGUUAUUUUAUUUGUUUAAUUUAAUAUCAGCUUAUACAGUUAUACGUAUGGACUAAAUUUAUUAUCUAGGGUAAAAAAGAUAUACAAUGUAUUUUAUGAAGAAAUCAAUCACAUAAAACUCUAUUACAAAUUUACAAUAUUAUUAAUUUGUGAUAUAUAUGUUAAUAUGUCAAUAUCACUUGGUUUUGAGGGGCAAAUGAAAUUGGUAACUACUCUAUGUAUUUCAAUAUUUUAUAUUUGGUAAAGGCAUGAGUCAUAUAAAGAUGUUCUUAUUGAUCUUAUCUAUUCAAAAAGAUAAGUGAUUAAGUCUUCAUAAUCAUACUAUUAUUGAAUUAGUUAUAUUCGAACUAAAAAAAGUGGAAAGUGAUUAAUUAUGCUCGAGCGGUAAAUAGGACGCGUAAACUCACUUUAUCCUUCCGACGAAAAAAAAAAACUCACUUUAUCCUUUUUCUUUUUGACCAACGUUGCAUUUUAUUUGAGUAUCACGUUAUUUAAAACUUACACACAAAUGUAUGUACUCACCAAAAAAAAAAACUUACACACAAAUGUCACUGUUAACUGAGAUAAAUACUGGUAGUGUCGUGAGCAAUGACAUUGGGCCCAAAAUCCACAACAAUAUUUGAUGUAUUUAGCAUGUGUUUAUUAAAUCUGCAUCAUACUACUUAUUAUGGUCACCAUUUAAGUUUUGUUCAAUUUGUUAUGCAUCACUUACUAUUUAUUAUGUUUGUCUGGUCGAGUAGCUACAACUUUUUCAUAGCAUACGAGUAUAUUACGUCCAACUAAAAAUUAAUAAUAAUUUGGCUGGAGAAAAAACACUAUUUAGUUUAUAGUUUUUUUUUUUGAAUUAAUGUUAAAUUACAUUCAAAGAAAAAUAAACAUGCAUACAACUUAAUGCAAACUGUUUUUAAAAACAAAUAUGAGAUAAUAUAUUUUUCAAUGUGAUUUUGAAGCAACCCAAACUUGCAUGCCCCCUUCAUACUUCAGCUCUCCUUCACUUCGAAUUAUACUUAAUCAAUUUCGAAUAUUUUUAUCGAUUAUUUUUGUUAGCUUCUCACUUAGUAAUAGUUUUUCUCAGUGUCUUUUAUUAUUCACUUCUUAGUUUAUACUUUUUAAAGUGGAUUCAAGAAGUAAAUUAGUUCAAAUAUAAAAAUACAACACAAUUUUGGUUAGCAUUAACUAUUUAUUGUUCCAUUUUCACUAAUUUAAUCUUACUAUAUUUAAUUAUUUGUUUUUUCUUAAUACAUCACGGGAAACGGAGUUGAGGUGUCGGCUCCUACUGUAUUUGAUAAUCAUCCUGAUUUUAUGCGCCACACUAGUUAGGUUAUGUUUAUAGAUAAUAUAUUAAUUGGAGUUUGUUACAACACCAUUAUCGAUAUUACUAAUUAAAAAAAAGGAGAUUAGCCCUUAUCUUUUGUUUUUUCCGAUACAUGAACCGGGGAAUUUGUACUCGGACAUUUAAAAAAAAAUGGCACGGGACAUUCACCACAGUAAGUUAACAUAGAGAAUCUUGAAAAUACAAAUAUAUAGAAAGUAUAGUUAGAAAAGGUUAUUUUAGUGGGUCUUCCUAAGCUAUGAGGGAUUCCAUAAUUGUCGUUGAAAGCGGAAAGUCCGGAAAAUUGGAAUUAAUUGAAUUGAAUGAUCCAAAGAUGUAUAUAUCUAAUACUAGUAAAUAGCUCUAGAGAACGGCAUCUGUGACUACGAUAUACGUCGAUCUUAAUCUUUGACUCUCUCUCUCUUUUCGUUUUUUUCUCUUUUGAUGGAUUUGUUUUGCAACGUCCGUACAUGGACGUACGCGUCAAUGGAUUUUAAAUGGAUCUAAUUAAAAUGGAUAUUUAAAAAGUAAAAAACACUAUUUUCGUAUGGCAUAUCUAAACAUAUAAAAGAGACGACGAUGUUUGCUCUUUAAAUUUAAAUUUAAACGACGGAUAGUAUCAUAGUAACUAAAUCAUGCAUCUUGACCCAAAAGUCCAAAACUAUUUAGUUAACAGAAAAAAAGAAUGCUAUAAUAUGUACAUUUUCAUAUGUAUAUGCGUUUGUUUUUCUUAUUUUUUUCAUACUAUGUCUAUAAAAAAAUAUUUGGACUAAGAUUCUCUUCUCACUAUAAUACUUAGGACAUUCUAUCAAUAGGAUCAAUGUCACAACCCAUUUAUAUUUGCGUUUACCUUUCGCGAUUAAACCAAUAGUUUAAAGAAUUGCAAUUUUGAUUACGUUUUGUACAACCACGAUGACUUUCAAAUUUGCAGAAAAUUUAAUCAUAAAAGAAUUAAAUGUUUGCUUUGACAACUUCUUUUUUGGUUGAAAAACAGCAGUUGACAAAAAAAAAAGGACUAAAAGUUGUCUUUUAACUUGAUUACCCAUUAAAAGUUAGUUACGUAAGUAUAUAAUUUUUAGUCACCAUCCCAAAUACAAACCAAUGGUUCCUAUUUAUUUCUUACCAGGGGUAUGCGACCAGCAUUAUAUAAUUAAUAGAUAGUUUUUUACAACAAUAUAAAUAUGAGAAAUUACUAGAAUUUACAAAAGAAAAAUUAAACCUAUAAUAUAUAUAGAUAUCCUUUACAACAUAACGAGCAUUGUCCUAGAAAAAUCAUAUCAAACAUAUAUAUUUUUAUUUGAUUUCUUUUUCAAACCUGUCUAAUGUAUACCAUCUUACCAUACUAAUUUUCUAUUUUAGAGAAGAUAGUCUUUACAAAUUGGUUCCUUUGAGCUAAUCAAUUAAAGUUGGGAAAAUUGGAAAUAAAGGAUAUCUACUUAAAAAUUUGUCCAUAUAUACCUUUUUUGUGAGAUUGUCAGUUUGGACGAUUUUACCCCUACACCCUAAUUUAAAUGUUUUUUUAAAAAAAUAAUCAAAAAAACAUGUAGAUAUACAAGAGUAGAGGUGAUUUGAAGUGAAAUUUUUUAGAUUUGGUUUUUAAAAAGUUGAUUUUUUGAUAGAUAAAGUUUUAUCUAAUUUUGGUAGGACACAUUUUCUAGAGUUCUGCGAAACUCAGAGUGUGUAUUCUGCAUUUUUGUACAUGUUCUACUUAUUUCAGACUAGAUUUCUGUUCUGAGAAUUUUAGAAAUCCAAAAAUCAUAAAUCUAAAAUAUUUAGAACAUGCAUUCUACGUUUUUCUCUAUGUUCUAAAUAUUUUAGAAUAGACGUUUUAAUAAUUUCUACAUCGUCUGCCAUCGUUAGAAAUUGUAAUCUGAGUUUAGAAUGUAAAUUCUACGGUACUGCAGAUUUGAUUUUCUGAAAUUUUUAGAAUUCUCUAAAUAUAGAAAGUAAAUCUUCAGAAAAGGAAACAAAAUAUUUUUUUUAGAUUACGAUUUAAAUGAAUAUUAAUUGUUUAGAUUACGAUCUAAAGAUGUAGAAGUUGUUGUCUACGGUUUUUAGACUAAGAUUAAAACCUAAAACGUUUUCUAAACUCUAAGCUAAGCCACCACUUUCGAUUUUUUUGCUAUACCCUACGUUUUUCCUUCAAAUUCUUUCUUUUUCCUUCAACGAUUUGUGUCUUAGUUUCUCGAUGUAUAUCUACUUAAGGAGUGAUGUGUGAAGAUUGUAUGACAAGAAGGAGUGGAGAUCUCAAUAUGAACCUUUUUAUCUUUUGAUAUAAGUUUGCAAUAAUAAAUGUUAUGUAUGAAAAAAAUAAUAAUAAUAAAAGAAAUAAUUGUUAUGCAUGUUAUGCAACAAUUUAAAUGCAUUGUUAAGUUUAACUUAAUGUCCUACACGAGAUUAUGAGCUUAGUUACCAAGCUGACAAUUGUCAAAUUUGAAGUAUAGUUUAAUUUUUAAAGUAUUUUACUGAGAUCCUAAUUUUCUAUAAAGAAAUCGAUUAAUUGCAAAACAUAAUUUUAUGAAGAUAUAUUAGUAUGUUCCAUGUUAUCACAAACCUAAAGCGGUUUAUAUAGUCUGCUUUAUAUGUCCGUUACAACCAACAAAGAUUUAAUCUAUAUAAAAUAAGCGAUAAAAAUACCUUUUAUUAAUGUAGGGCUAAUACGUGUAUUUAUGAUUAUUUAUCAGGUAAUGAGGUGGUCUGCUACGAGAGUCCACGUCCACCCUCGGGAAUUCACCGUAUUGUGUUGGUAUUGUUUCGGCAACUCGGAAGACAAACGGUUUAUGCAUCCGAGGUGCACCAAUAGUUCAACACUCAUGAGUUUGCUGAGAUCUACAAUCUAGGUCUCCCUGUGGCUGCAUCUUUCUUCAAUUGCCAGAGGGAGAAUGGCUGUGGAGGAAGAAGAACGUAGAUGCCUACGUACUUACUUUAACUAAUAAUCCAUUUGUAUAUUACAAUGUUUCCAAAUGAGAUACUUAAGCAUCUACAUAAGAAAAAUAUAUAAGAAAACCAAAAAUGGAUUUAAAUAAAAUGAGGGUAAAUUUGGGUUUUGAAUUGUGAAAAAACCUAUAUGACCAAUCUAAAAAAAAAAGGGAUAUAUGGACAAAUUUUGUAGUAGAUAUCCUUUAUAUCCAAUUUUCCCAUUAAAGUUGUUGACAAAAAAAAAGACAAUAUUUCAUAAAAACACGAAUGCGUUUAAAUCACAAUUCACUCAAAAGUUAUGAGCCGAAAUUCAUGGCAUGAUUUCAGUAACAUGAAACUUUUGCAAAUUGAAUAAUAAUCAUGCGUCCUUCUUAAUUUUCUCUUUGUUUUAUACCAUCCAAUUCACACCUUUUCUUUCUCUUCUCCUUUUUAACUCAUUUUUUUUUCGUUUUUAUAUAUUAGAGAAAUUGUAAUAAUUGUUGAUCUGAAGGUGGAGAAAAUGACAACACCAACAUAUACUCUUUUAUGCAUACGAUCAUUCAUGUUCUUACUAUGUUUCAGCAUUGCCUUUGGUCGCAAGAACCUAGAAGAUAAGCUCGGUGACACUCUAUUUGCACCCAAACCUGUUGAAGCAACCGAGCUUAGAGCCGCUUUAGUUACUAAUUCCGAAGCUACCGACAUUUCAAGUAGUAUUGGUUUGGGAGAAGUUGGAAGUCAAGAGAUGCAUCACAUUUACAUAGAAACAAGUAAAGAUUCGAGUCUCGGAAAUAAACAAGACAAUAUAAACUCUGUGCCUAGGAAGAUUAUAAGGGGUACCGUUUCCAUCUCAUUCUCAUUUCCUAUCAUCAAGAUUCAGGUUCCUAUUCCGAAGCCAAAUAUUACGGUGGCUGACAUAAACCAAUUCAAUGAAGAAGAGAUGAGUAAAGGUAUUGUCAUAACUCCAACGAAGACUAAUGAGUUUGGUAUUUCCCUUGGAAAUGACGGUGCAGAGCUCGGAUACAGCUACCAAUAAGCAGCCCCAAGAACCACAAUAUUGAAGGCCUUGCCAGCUUCCUAAGGGUAGGUAGUGCUAAAGAUUGAAGUUACUAUAAAAGCAUAUGAUAAAAUUAUGGUUUUAGAGACAAAGAAGUUGUUGGUGGCCAACGAGUAUAAACAAAAUAUGUAGCGAUUUUGUAACAAAACCUUGCCAAAACGUUUGACUCUAGAAUGAAAAAAGGAUAUAUGUGAAACAUUUUCUUACAUCUAUUUAGUAUGCUGAAAGUAUCUAUGAUUUAUAGUAAAAAUAGUCAUAUACUUAUCUUAAUUACACCUGAGUUUAGGAGAUGUGAAAGAAAAAUGAAAAAAGGAACAACUAAACAUUUCUAUCUUAACAUUCUCUUCUCAUUGGCAAUGCGAGGAUGAUCUUGAGAGUGAGUCUGUUGUUUCUGUCUGUAGCCUUUGAGAAAGUUGUUGGAGAUAUUGAAGCACAAUGUCGCAAGAUUGGUGUUUCAACACUACUAGAAUUUCCACUAGCUCCCCAUUUCGAAUAAGCUCAAGCUCAAGCUCAAGCUCGGUAAUUUGAACUGGAGAUAUGUUUCGGAAACAUCAAGCACCUGGUCAUUGUAAUCUUCAAAACAGAUGCAAUUGUGUAUGGAUUUUGUGUCAAAAAAAUAGUUUGGAUAUAUAUGGAAGAAAGGACAAGACAUUCUAAUAUAGCUUCCAACAUCUCUGUGAAGUUGAGUAUGAGAUCGCUAUAUAUUAUAAUUUAAACGACGGAGAUUGACUAAAUCAAUAUUAUGCUCUCCGAUUUGAUGAAAAUACGCAUUUCUAGACCAGAAAAAAGAAUUAAUACUAUGAUCGGUGUUUGACAUUUUCAUGUAUUCUCUUCUCACUAAUACUCAGGACAUUCUAUCAAUAUAUAGGAUCAAUGGCAUAACAAUUUAUAAUUGCGUUUACCUUUCGCGAUUAAACCAAUAGUUUAAAGACUUGCAAUUUUGUUUACGUUUUGUACGAUGACUUUCAAAUUUGUAGAAAAAAGUUUUCCGUUAAUCAAAAAAUGAUUAAAUAUUUGCUUUGACAACUUCUUUUUCGGGUUGGAAAACCGUAGUUGACAAAAAAAAGGACUAGACGUUUGUUCCUAUUUUUCGCUCAUCAAGAUUAUGCGACCAGAAUAAUAUAAUAAUACAAUUAUACUUAUUAUAAUUUACAUAAAUAUUAAACCUAUAAUAAAUAUCCUUUACAAAAAUAAUGAGCAUUGUGCUAGAAAAUCCUAUCAAACAUAUUUUUAUUUGAUUUUUCAAACAGUCUAGUGUAUACCAUCUUAACAUAUUAAUUUUCUAUUUUAGAGAAGACAAUAUUUCAUAAAAACACGAAUGCGUUUAAAUCUCAACUCAUUCAAACAUUAUGAGCCUAAAUUCAUGGCAUGAAUUCAGUAACAUGAAACUUUUGCAAAUUGAAAUUUUCUCUUUGUACCAUCAAAUUCACACUUUUUUUUUUUCUCUUCUAUUUUUGAACUCAUUGCCUUCUUCUUAUAUAUUAGACAAAUUGUAAAUAACUGCCAAUUUUAAGGUGGAGAAAAUGACAAUACCAACAUAUAACCUUUUAUGCAUAGGAUCAUUCAUGUUCUUACUAUGUUUCAGCAUUACCUUUGGUCGCAAGAACCUAGAAGAUAAGCUCGGUGACACUCUAUUUGCACCCAAACCUGUUGAAGCAACCGAGCUUAGAGCCGCUUUAGUUACUAAUUCCGAAGCUACCGACAUUUCAAGUAGUAUUGGUUUGGGAGAAGUUGGAAGUCAAGAGAUGCAUCACAUUUACAUAGAAACAAGUAAGGAUUCGAGUCUCGGAAAUAAACAAGACAAUAUAAACUCUAUGCCUAGGAAGGUUAUAAGGGGUAUCGUUUCCAUCUCAUUCUCAUUUCCUAUCAUCAAGAUUGGGGUUCCUAUUCCGAAGCCAAAUAUUACGGUGGCUGCCAUAAACCAACUCAACGAAGAAGAGAUGAUUAAAGGCAUCGUCAUAACUCCAACGAAGACUAAUGAGUUGUGUAUUUCCCUUGGAAAUGACGGUUUAGAGCUCUCAUAUAGCUAAAAACAAUCUCAAGAGCCGUAUAUCGAAGGCCCAUUGCCAACUUCCUAAGGGUUAUGCUGGAGAUUGAAGUGACUAUAAAACAUAUGACGAAUUGAUAAAGUUGAUGGAAGUACUUUUUUUUUUUUGGACAAAGUACUUGAUGGAAGUACUUGAGUUAUGGUUUAAGAGACAAAUAAGUUGUUGGUGACCAACGAGUAUAAACAAUAUAUGUAGCCAUCAUUAACAAAAACCUUGAGAAAAGUUGAAAAUGAAGAAUGACAAAAGGAUAUAUGUGAACCAUUUUUGUAAUUAUCUAUUUACUAUGCUGUAAGUACCUAUGAUGUAUAGUAAAAGAAAGUCAUAUAACUUAUAAACCUAAAUUUAGGAGAUGAGAAAGAAAGAUUGAAAAUCGAACAACUAAACAUAUUUCUAUCUUAACAUUCUCUUCUCAUUGGCAAUGAGGAUGACCUUGAGAGUGAUUCUGUUGUUUCUGUCUGUAGCCUUGAGAAAGUUGUUGAAGAUAUUGAAGCACAAGGUCGCAAGAUCGGUGUUUCAACACUGCUAGAAUUUUCACAAGAUCCGCGAAUAAGCUGCAGCUCAAGCUCGUUACCUUGAACUGGAGAUGUUUCGGAAACAUCAAGAACCUGGUCAUUGUAUUCAUCAACAGAUGCAAUUGUGCUUGUUUCUGUUCGAAUAGUUGAAUCAUCACCGUAUAACCCAUGUCUUCUUUUCCUUCUGGUUGCUUUUCCCCAACCAUUUAUUGUCUCUCUUACCCUUUGAGGUAACAAUGCUGCCUUGUAGUUUGUUCCCAUCUAGAAAUAAUUUCGUCUUGUUUGUGAGUUUUAAGAACUACUGUAAGCAGAAGCUCCAAAAGUAUUUUACUGAAAAUGUUACCUGAGUGACAAGUGCAUAGAGUGGUAGUGUGCUGUAGCUACAUAAAAAUUGUCCAGAAAACCUACAAAACAUAAGAAAUUAAUAAACCGUCGUAAACUAUAUGAAACACACACACAUUAGUCUCAUGACUUAAACGAGAAAACUUGAUUACCCUAGAAUAAGUCGCAAGUAGACAAGUAAAUAAUUCCUUAGGAAGCAAGAAUUGUAUCCAAAUUGCCACUGAAGAAACAAGAAUAGAUUAUGUCAUUAUAAGAACAAAAUUUUAAAACGUAAGAAUGUACUAUACAUUUAUUUUUUUAUCAUGCAUAUAUGGCAAUUAAGAUGAUAGAUUGACAAAAACUUACCCAAAACCAGAAGAAGGAAGCCAGUUCAAAAGCAUUCUGUAGGAAACAGAAAGCACAUAUAUAUGUUAUUACAAAACAACAAAUUUCCUCUGUGACUAACAUAGAUGAGAAUAAGUUUUACAGACCUGAAACUGAAUGAAGUGGAUAAGAGAUAAUAGUAAUUCUGGUUUCUUGAACCAAAAAAGUUCAUCACGAGGUCUCAACUUUAUACCAGAAGCAUAUUCUGUUAUCCCAGCGUUCUCCAAUGCUAAAGUUGCGAUGACAUGUUGCAACUUUGCACCAACCAAAAGAACAAGCUGUUGAAAAAAUAAGGAUGCAAAACCAUCAGAGAAAUGAUAUAAGACUCAAUUUCUAAAGAAAAAAACAAAAAAAAAAAGAGAAACAUGAAGUGGAAAUAUAGUUCUUACAGUGAUUGGAAUGAUCGCUAACCAGAAAUAAAGAUUUGAUCCUACAUUAUAAUAUCAAAUAAACUCUUGAAAUGACACACAAAAGAAUAGUACUAAUUCACAAGUACUUUUCACUAUGAUGUUUUACAGUGUCUAAUUCAUUAUUAACUCAGUAUAUACACACCUUUUAUGUUGAAAAGCAUGAAACCAACUACAAAACCCCAAAGUGGCCCACUGCAAGAGAUCAUCAAAAAAUAUUCAGUCGAAAUAAUGCAUCAUUACCACUCAACAUUAUGGUUUUAAAUUAUAAUUAGUUUGUAUAUUGAAUGAAUAAUGGCCAAAAGUUUUAUAUGGUAGCAAGUUAAACUUAGAACAAGAAAUAAAAGAAGUUCUACAACUCUUAAGUAAAAAAAAUGUACGUACCACACUAUUUUUCUAAGGAAAAGAGGUAACUCACCUGACGCCAACAAUCUUUUGGAAUUCUUCUUCCAUAGAGCGGAUCAUAUAACUAUGAAAAUCGUAUGUCAAUGUUAAGUGAUGGUUCUGUUUAAAGGAAAAUAAAAAUGAUUAUAAUAACAUAAUAGACAUACGACAAUAUGAAUGGAAAUAACACCAAAAGUUAUAUGAAGGUGUACAAUCCAAAAAGAUGUGAAAAAGAUUGGCAAACUUUUAGUAUAUAUCACCCAAACGUUUCAAAAUUUUGCAUGGAUAUAUUUAAUCAUUCAGAUCUACUAGGUUACACCUCAAUAUUUUCUUGCCUUAUUUAAAACUCUUACUACAAAAGAAACGAUUUUCAAGAGUAAUAAGCUUCAUCAUUUUUACCACAUCAAACAUGUACAUUGUGAGCAUGUAAAGAAGAAAAAGAGUAUAACGGAAAGUGAAAAAUUUCAAUGACAUGAGAGUAGCACGCACCAUGAUGAAUCCCUUGCGGAGUGUAAGAUAGUCAGAACGAACAACAGAAUGUCCAAACUGUCUGAAGAAACAUAUCUGUAAGAGCAAUUGGGUAUCAUAAUAGGUAAGAGCAAACAUAUUACUAUAUUAGUAAAAUUUUAAAUGACUUAUCAUCAUAUUUACCUUUGUUUUCAAUCAUGCAUCAAAUGUAGAAGAAUAUUAAUAUAUAGCAAGUUUAAAUUUCUUGAGGAAGUAUAAACCUACCACCCAUAUGAGUAAUCUAUUCUUAACCAGAGGAACAGAUGUAUGAUACUGGACAAAUGUUGUUUGCCUUCGGAAUAUCUUUUCACGUGCGACCACUGCCAAAAAUAAAGUUAACAAAUUUUCUCAUGUAAGAUAUGAAAUUUCCUGAAUAAAUAUAUAUACAAAUAUGAGAUCGUGAGCUAAAUUUGUAGUAACAGGUUAAAUUGUCUAAUGAAUCUUUGUAUAGAAUCUUCAGUAUCUAGUGUGAAAGGAGAAGAUAUAACCAUCUAUAUAUGCUCACCAGUUAAGCAAUCAUUUCGAUCCAUAUGAACCUCAUCUUCCCAUAUCCUCCAUCUAUGAAUCUAAAAAAAAUGAAAAUCAAAUUGAACUUGUACUAACAUAGGAAUCAGUACACUAUCAAAUGGAGUAUAUAUACAUCAAAAUAAUCUAAGAACUAUACGAGGAGAAGCAAGAAACUCAUAAAUCUUAUAAUACAUGAAAACUUCAGUAGAAAAGAAUUGAAAAAUAGUUGAUAAUACUACCUUCACUAUUGCAAGAAGCAUUGUCAAGCAGCUGUAAGUUACAUGCGUGACUGCCAUUAUAAAAAUGAAGCGAUGCAAUUGUUCCAUGCCUUCAUAUGAAAGAAAUGGCUCAUGUCCCUGUUAAGUAAGUAGAUAACGUUAUGUGUGUGAAAUUUUACUAUAUAGGGACAAUAUCAUAAAAUGAGAUUAAUAGAUAACCUCGCUGCACGUAUUCUCGCCUAUGCCACUCAAUCUUCUCCUCAUAAUGUGGAAGAAGAGAGAUCUCGUUAACCGAGUCCGCUUGACAGAUGAAAUAGUACUUUCAAGUUCCUGAUCAUUAAUCUCGGAGCGGGUACAUGGAACAAAUCUAUCAUUGUGGAAACUUGAAGAGACGCAUAUGUUAGCUAUUGUGCUAGAGGUUGCUGUAAGAAGAAGCGAUAUGAACCCGAGCAGCAUCAGCUCUGGAAAAGAAAAAAAGUUUCAAGAUCCAAUUUUAGGAUAAAAUAUUAUAAAACAUAUCAUUAGAAUUGCAUGUUAAUCCACCAACCUUCUUUCAUUUUCUCCAAUGCAGCAAACAAAGGUUUUCUCUUCGUCUCUUGCAACCACUGUGCCAAAACAAAACCCAAAAUAUUGCUCUAUCAAUUAAUAGAGAAAACUUCAACCAUUUGACAUUUGAUUACUGGGAAGAUCAAAAGAAAAAUAAAGGAAGUCUACUAAGUUAAUGCUAUAACUCUUUCCAAAUUAUAGAAUGACUAAAAAAUGCAAAUAUAAAGAUUUAUACUUACGUUACUAAGCCGAUGAAUGGAACGUUCAACGAUCAAAGAAACAAAUACAAAGACAGUCAACACUGUAGCAACGGACCAAGUUGGUGUUAACCCCAACGUUCUUUCGCUUGGUUCUGUUUCUUCUCUCAUUUCUGCAACCGAAUUCUUUACGAACAAUCUUUCAGAUGUUUCUUUCUUCGCGUGCAAGAAACCAAAUUAGCUCCGAGGUUCAAGGUCGUAUCGAGAAACUUUAAAACUCUUCUCAUGCCAAAAUUUUACAAGCUAAUGACACACCGUUGACUUUAUCUCAGUGCCUAUCACCAGAGCUAAUUAAGUCCUUUGCAUCUUCCAAGAAAAACUCCCUCUAUCAUCUAAAACGUCCGAAACAGAUAUUUAAAUGCAGUAACCAAUUCAAUUGAAAAAUAAGAUAUUUUUUUGUAAAUAUAUAUGAAAUGAAAAAUCAGAUAAUUUUAAAAGAGUGGAUAAUUUUCUGUUUCGAGUUUUCUUAAACAAUAGUAUAGUCGUAUAGAUACAAACUUUCAUUAAUAAAAUAUAAUUGAAAAUAUAGAAAAUAUAAAAAUACUAUUUCCCUCCAUUUCACAGGAUUCAAAUCUUAAUAUAACAAUAUAACCAGAUAAACACAAAUCUCGAUUUGGAUCCCCAUUCGUAAACAUGAACCUUCAAAUCUUCGCAUUGUGAUUUCUGAUUUAAAACUUCAAAACCAUUCAAAUUUCUUAAGCUUGGAUAUUGUGAACCAAACCUUUAUCAAACUAAAAAAAAAAAUUGUGAACCAAACCUUUAUCAAACUAAAAAAAAAAAUUGUGAACCAAACGAAAAAUUGGAUCCAAAACGAACUGGCUUUACAUAUACGAUCUAUAUGAAUAAUUGAUCCUAAAUACAAGAUUAAACAUUCAACGAAAAAGAAGAAAACAAAUCAAACAAAUGACAAAAAAAAUGCGAGAACUUACAUACGGGAAGAGAGGAGCAAGCGAGCUGAGCCGUCUUGUUUGCAUAGAGAGAAGGGAAGUCUUUUUAAUGCAAAUGUUGGCUCAAGUGUCUCUCUCUAAUGCAAUUAUCAGAAUUUUUCUUCCAUUUUUAUAAAACAUUUUUUUUUCUUUAACAUUAUAGUCGUAAGUUAAUAACGAUAUAUACAUGCAUAUAUGUAAAUAUAUCUUAAUUAUUCUAAAAAUAUAUUUGAUUAAUAUUAGAUAUAAGUAUUCUUAAUUAAGAGUUUGCAUCACCUCCUACGACUCUGGUUAAUUAUAUAAUGAAGAUUUGGUUCAGUUAAUUAAAAACAAGAUGUGGACUGACAGCACAGUUAUAGGAUCUUGAGGAAUCUAAUUGGAAAUCACUGGAUAAAUGCAUGUGUAAAGACAGACCAUUUAUUAAUAAAUCAGGAAUAACAAAUGAUUAAAAACAAAUAGUGAUAAUAAAAUUAGCGUUUCUACUUUCUAAGUAUUUUGUUGUUGUUGUUGUUGUUGUUGUAUGGUGUGUCAUUGGAAGAAUGGAUUAACUAUUUUACGAUAUUCUUGAUAGGAAAGAAACACAUCCGAAUAUGCCUACACAUUUGGUGGUACAACAGUUUAUUGGCUUCCAAAAGUGUAAAAGGUUGUAACUCUAUUAAAUGUGAAGUUGUAAUGUUGUUGCGGCUUCGUGUACUAUCGGGUAACGUGACAAAACUUUUGGUAUUUUUAAAACGAUUUAUUUCAUAUGUUAAUGUUAUCAUUAAUUCAUCAUAAGUUAAAGUUUUGUACGAUAUGAUAUAUGAUCUUUGCUUCUGUUAGGACAUCGUUGGUCCUUCUCACAUGCUAUAUUGUUUUUCAUGUCUAUGGCCAACUAGCACGUAUAAUAAAUAUUUUUAGACAACCCGAUGAUCACCACAAAUUUUUUUUUUUUUUUCUGAACUUCUUGUUAACCAAAUAUAAAAUGUUAUAACGAUGCAUACGAUAAUGUCAGAUUAUAUGAAAAAUACGUGCUACUAGUGAAAAAACAAAGAAUAUAUACGUGCCACUAGGUGAUCAAUAGGUGAUAAUCUAGUUGAAUUGACUUAUCACGUAAUUUGAUAAAAGUUGCAAACCGAACAUUAUGGAGUAAACUUCGCAUUAUUAUUAAAGUCAACCCCGACAAGCCAAUAAGAAUUGUAUGGUGCCAAUGUGCCAUUUUGUACUUUUGUACUGUUUGAUUAGAGAUCACAAAAAAUAAACAAAAGCCGAAGGAAAGUCCAUCAAAAUCAUUAAUUUGAACUAGUGGAAGAGAAAUUUAUCUGAUGAUCAGUAAAUCAAAGUCAUAAAGCAAUUAAAUGUUUAUAUAUGUCAACACAUAAGAUUUUUUUUUUUUUUUGACAUCAUCCUUCUAGGCUUUUUUUAAAAUGCCAACUAGACUUAAACUUAUAAUUUUGGAAUCCAAUAAUCAGACACACGUAAGUAGAAUUUAGCUUUGCAUGUGAAACAAUAAAUAAAAAAACCUUAAAACUCUAUAUAUAUUUGAUUGCUAAAAGUCAAAGUCAGCCUUACGGAAACUCUAGACAAAAGAGAGGGUUUUAACAAGUCUUCUUCGUCGUGUCUUCACCAGUUACAAUUAAACACGUGUCAUAAGCUUACUUUCUCCACCAUUGUUAGAGCAACAGCAAUGGUAGCUCUUAAAGGGUUCUAACCCAUAGUUUCUUGCAUUAAAAGGCCCAAAUUUAAAUCAAAACAGAAAUAAAACCCAAAAAACGUUUCUAAUUUAAGGUUUUUUUUGUUGCUCUAAGAGGCGCUACGUGUCGCCUUAUCAUUGGGACGAAAAGUGAGAAAACAAAUUUUUUUUUUUUCUUUCGCGAUUCUGUUUUUCUCGACCCUCUCUCUCUUCUCUUUGUUUUGUCUGAUGGCGAAUCGUGUUGAGCUUCAAUUCCGGCGAUGUACAUCAUCAAAUCGGAAGUAAAAGGCAAAGCAACGUUGUAAACAAUAAGCCGUGAUGCUCAUCUCCACCGUCGGCGUGGUCACCAACAGAAGUUCGUUGACCUAAUCAGUGGGUUCUGCAAAUCAAACCGGAGAGAAAGGCGAUUCCAGUGGCUCCAAUCACUUCCUCACAGUACGUUCUCUCUGAGAUUAAAGUUUUGUAUUUGAUCUUGAUUCGUGUAUUGAAAGUUCUCCAUAUCAUUUUUCAGAUGAGGAUUGACUUUGUUUUGGUUUUCUCAGUUUUUGUUGCUCUUGUGGUCUGAUCCGUUCUUAUAGCUGUCUUUUGUUUGUGAAUAGACAAUUCUCGGUUCAUGCGGAGUUCAAUUCUGGGCUUUGUGUUUGAGGAUCAAACUCUGUUUCGAUUAAUGAUUUCUCAGAAAUUCAAUUUGACUGAAAUUGUUGAUGAUUUUGGGAUUUUCUUUCUAGAUUGCAAUUUAAUUCAUAUUUGAGUUAAUUGAGAUUUUGUUUGAUGUAUUACUAAUGUCGAUUCCGAUUGAAACCGUUACUGGAAUUUUCACAUUCCUGUGAGACUGGUGAUCAACUACUUUCAUUUAUGCAGGUGAUCAAAUUGUUAGCUAGGUAUUACUUGAGUAACAGUCAAGCUUAUAGUGCAUAUUAUAUCCUGUGAGACUGGUGAUCAAAUUGUUAGCUAGGUAUUACUUGAGUAACAGUCAAACUUAUAGUGCAUAUUAUAUCCUCAAAGGUACCCCUACAUUCUUCCUUACUGUCUUAUAUGUGAACAUUUCAUAUCUUGUUCUAUUUGGAAAAUCUAAACUUGUUUUACAUUUGUAAAUUGAAAGUUCAAAAAUGACUCGGUCUCGGUAUUUAUUUGCAUUCUCAUCCUUUAAGUUGGAUCUUCUUGGAGAGGCUGAAGCUGCAUUGUUGACCAGUGAAGAUUAUGUUGAAGAAGUAUAUGGCGUUGCUUUUUACUUCCUUUAUUAAAAUUCUCCAUAUCCAUGGAAUUUGUACACAUCAUUUAUCAAGCUAGUCUGCUGAUCCACCAACAUGUCAUGCUGAUUACAGGUGGUAUAACGCAUAAGAGGAGAUUCUUGGGAAGAAAAUGAAUGUACUUUUAAUUUGUUUUGUUUUCUUCUUGCAACAAUAUGAUCAGUAUCAAAUAAAAAUGUUUAUAAUUUUAAAUUUUUUUUCUUUUUUGUUUUUUAAGAAACCUACUUAAAGAUUCACCAUUGGACAAAAAAAAUUUUAAAAGUUCAUCAAAAAUUCUUAACUUUAAAAUUUUCAUAAAGUAAGAUUAAAAUAUGUUUAAGGAUCCUUUGAAGGAUUCAACCAUUGUUGUUGCUCUUACGUCCAUGGUUCUCCAAUCACUAAAUCUCUGCACGAUACUACUCUUCCUAGCGAUUGCAUCACAAGUUUCUCAAUCUCUCCACUUCGAAUUGCAAUCUGGUCGAACAAAAUGUAUCUCCGAAGACAUCAAAAGCAAUUCAAUGACCGUCGGGAAAUACACCGUCGUUAACCCUAACGAAGCUCAUCCUUCUCCUCCAUCUCACAAGAUCUCUAUCAGAGUACUCUCUCAAAAAUCCGAAAUUUCAUAAUUUUUGAUUUGUUGAUUUGAAACGUGAAUUUACACAGGUGACAUCGAGUUACGGUAACACGUAUCAUCACGCGGAAGGUGUUGAAUCGGGACAAUUCGCGUUCACGGCGGUGGAGGCUGGAGAUUACAUGGCUUGUUUCACUGCCGUUGAUCAUAAACCUGAGGUUACAUUGAGUAUUGAUUUUGAUUGGAGAACUGGUGUUCAAUCUAAGAGUUGGAGUAGUGUAGCUAAGAAGAGCCAAGUCGAAGUGAGUUUUAAUGCUUUGAAGUUUGAUUCAUCCUAUUGUUUGAUCAAUUAGAUUAAGCAAAUUGCUCUGAAAUUGGAUGUUACUUCUUUAGGAUUUGUUGUAUAAAAGCUAAUUUGUAUGAAAGGUUUGUUUUUGAUCGAUAACUCUGGUUUUAAGACUAGCUUUUGUGUCGAACAAUAUUGAUGUUAUUCUCAUAUCCAUGCCUCUUUGAUGAUAAAGCUAGAUUUUUCCAUGCUUCUUUCUGUAUUGUGUUUGUUUGUACCAAGGUUAUGGAGUAGUGUGACUAAGAAGGGUUUGAAUGUUUUACAUCAUAUUGUUGGCAAAAACUCAUAGUCUUGUGUGAGUUUGGUAGUUGCUCAAUUAGAUAAAGAUAUGUUAAAGGUUACUUCUUUGGGAUUUGUUGUAGAAAGAGUCUCAGAAUACAAAUGAAUUGGGAAAGAUUUUGGUUGAGAUUGAUAACUCUGGUAGCUUUUGUGUUUGAUGUUAUUCUUAUGAUCUUAUCUCCAUGCUUCUUUGAUGAUUGAACUAGACUCUUAUGCUUCUGUGUUGUGUUUGUUUGUAUAAAGGUUAUGGAGUUUGAUGUAAAAAGACUGAUUGAAACCGUCAACUCUAUUCAUGAAGAGAUGUUUUAUCUCAGAGAAAGGUAAAGAAAGAUUGAUUUUUUUAGUCUUUCCGUUGGUUCUUCUAUAGGCUCUCCAAUAUCUAACUUUUCAUUCCUUGAAACAUGUGGACUUGUGCUUGUAUUGUUUGUGAUGAGUUUUGUCUUCCUCAGGGAAGAAGAGAUGCAAAAUCUGAACCGGGCUACAAACUCGAAAAUGGCGUGGUUGGGUUUCCUCUCUCUUUUCGUAUGCUUAGGAGUCGCGGGAAUGCAGUUUUUGCAUUUGAAGACGUUUUUCGAGAAGAAGAAAGUCAUCUAAGAUGGUUAGAUGAAACAAUCCCACUCUUUUCUUUUCCCAACUCACGGAAUCUUCUAUUCCCCCUGAGUUUUGUACAUUUUAGAUCUUUGCCUUUGAAUAUGUACUCUCGAAACUGGAGAUUAAAUGAAUGUGAAAGUAUUGCCCUUUUUUCUGUCAGCAGAAAGCACACUGGGAAUUCAGUUUAUAGAUUAUAUUUAAAAAACAUGACAUAGGCUUAGUCACACAAUAUAGUAGAGUUUUUUUAUUCAAGCAAACUAAGCUUAAGAAUCUGCAUGUUUGAUUCAAGCAAAAUAAGGAAAAAAAAAACAGGAAAUGAAGCUAAAAAACCUGAGAUCCAUUGUUUCAAAGCUUGUUCUUUGAUCGACAUGCAACAAUUGUCGGGCGAUGACUCCUCUUAAAUUGUGUAAUACCCUCAAGGCAAAAAAGCCUAUACAUCACCAUGCAAGAAUGCAUUAGUGAACAUUAUAGAUGGCCAAUAUACCAGAUCAGGUCAAGGCUUUGUCUCAUUUCAGUUCUUGGCGUGCGGAACCUAUUCAUUGCGGAGUCAAUCGGGUAGGCCUUUGAAAUUUCAUGAAGCGUUACACGAGAUGGCAGGUAGCAAAUUGUACAUUGCUAGAGGUUGUCUUCCGUGGCUGGCUUCCCUGAUCGAAUCGGAAAAGUCGGAUUGCAGGUGAGCGUUGUCUGCUCUUCUCUCUGCUAUUCCGAGUUUGUAUCUGGUUGUUUGACCUCUAUCAGGUUGUGAACUUACUCUCAUUGGUCUUUCCCUUGGAAGAAAAGUUUAUAAGAGUUAUAAGAGUCACAAGAAAGAAGUAGACUAAGAUAUGAAGUGACUCCAACUGAAACAGAGUUUUUGACUACACAAAAAUAAUAAUGAAGAUUCUCACUCAAAAAGAAAGUCAUAACUCAUAGCCAUUUCAAUUUUUUAGUGAAGCGUGCCCGACGUGACGUGAUUCUUACCCGAAUCAGAACUGUGUCAUUUUGUCUUUUAUGUUCAAGUGUUAGAACAUUUUGGGAAAGAAGGUGUGUUUGGGAGCUGGUGAUUUCGUGUAUUGUUGUUGUAUACACUCAGACACAAUCAAGACAAGAAAAUCUUUAACUAGAUAAUGGAGCCCAUAUUGAAGAAGACAUUACAAAUUCUCAAAAUGUUCACAACACACAAGUAGUCAGUUGAAACAUUUUCUUGAACUCUUAAACAAGGCUCAGAUGUGUAGACAUCUAGUCAACUAGCUGACAACUCUUGACCCAUAAGGAAAACAUUGUAAAGCUAUAGAUAUCGAGCGAAUGAGAUAAUGUGUUGAGACACACCUCCACAAGCUACUUCUCUGGAAACAGUCUCAAGCAGAGUUUAAUUUGGUGCAGAACUUAAGUACCGGACUUGCUUCUUUCUCCCAAAUGAGUUCCAACACAAAGGACUCGUCUAUCUUCACGCCUUGAGCUUCACAGGACUCUCUCCAGCCUUUGCCAAAUCUCAUUGUUCCGCUUAUUUUAUCCUGAUAGAGAUCCACCACCCGUUUUACUCCAUCUUGACCCAGCAGAGUUAUCUUCCUUGGCUUGUUGAUGCCAUUCACCUGCGUGAAACCGCGCGGAAGAUACUGCGAAAAGAUUGGAUUAUGAGGAAAAAUAAUAUACUAAUAGACAACCUUGAGGCAUAGAUGUUGAAGAAGCUUACCAGUUUGUAGGUUUGAAAAGCGGACAGUGUAAGAGUUAAUGUCACAAAUCGGUUUUGACUAUAUGAAGAUGAACAGCAAUACUUCCUUUUCUUGAUCUCCAAGCAAUCCUGUGAGAUGUUCUUGUCUUCCAUACUCUCCUCUUCAACUUCUUCGGAUCUGCUACUGUCAUCUCCGCUGCUAGAAUUUGAGGAGAGGGACUUUACAUCAUCACUACCAUCUGGACACUCACAACUGGAUUCUGCAGGGCACAAAGAAAGAACAGGCUUUUCCCCUGUUCCAACCAGUUUAAACUUGAAGGAAUCUCCAGCUUUUAAUCCGUUGCCUUGGCAGAAACUGGCCCAGCCUCGUUUGAUAAUAGUAAAGCAGUGUGAUUUGUAGUGUCUGAAGACUAAAUUCCAUUCUCUUCCCCAUUCGUUCUUUAAAACUAUCUUCUUGCAUCCUUUGUCCAGACCAUUUGAGCUCACAAAACUCUUCCUUAAAUACUUCAAAACGACACAUCAUGUACACGAGUCAGACACUCUUCGUAUAACAAUAUACAAAUCAAGAAAAUGUUCCAAUGAUCCUUUUGUUAGCAAGGAAUGUGUGAGUUUAAGAUACAGAAAUAAACCAAAUUUUUGUAUUCACCAGCUUAUCUUUGUUUAUGCUUGAAGCAGUGACAGAUCCCACCAAAUAGGAACCGUGCGAUGAAGAUUCUGAUUUUGGUCUAUGUUCUGCAAGGUACAAACGCAUGACAGGUGGUCCAUGUUUUUGGACCAGUUUGAAUGUAAAUUGUUGAUCUUGACUCAUCCCAUUUGCAUCACAGAAUCUUUUCCAACCAGGUCUGACAUAAGUCUGGUUGCCUGCUUUGUUGUAUUUCAAAUUUAACUUCCAUGUUCGUCCUUCUUCGUUAAGAAGAACAACCUUCUUACCGCUCAUUUUGUCUAGACCGUUUGACCUCGCGAAACCUAGUGGUAAAUACUGCAAAAUACCAUCGCAGACUAACAAAUUUAAACCAAUACUAAGAGACCUUUUGCUUAAAAUGUGGAUUCUAAUCUUACCAGUCUAUCACAGUUUAGGCUUGAAGCUGUGACAUUAGCCACAAAACUAGAAUGGUCUGAUGAAGAGUCUGCUUUCUUUAUUGGAUUUUUCUUCACUCUCUUCUUUCUUGAACUGCUUCCUGUAAAUAAAAACAAUCAAAAUUCUCAGUUUUGUAUCUUUUCUACAGAAUUUGAGUACAUUUCAUAGAGCAAAAAUUUACCAAUGUUGGUUUGAUCAUCAUCCAUGUUCUCUGCAGAGGCUCUGCAUUUUGACCAAUACUUCCUUUUCUUUACCUCCAAGCAAUCCUGAGAGGUAUUCUUGUCUUUAAUAUCCUCCUCUUCAUUUUCUUCGGAUUUGUUACCUUCUGAACACUCUAAUGGGGUUUUGUGAUGGUUGGAUACUGUAGGGCACAAAGUAAGAACAGGUUUAUUCCAGGUUCCAACCAGUUUAAACUUGAAGGAAUCUCCAGCUUUGAUCCUGUUAACUUGACAGAAACUGGUCCAGCCUUUUUUGAGAAAAGUAAGGUUUUGUUUGAAGUGUUUCAAAACUAAAGUCCUUUUUUCUCCCCUUUCAUUCUUUAAAACUAUCUCACUGCAUCUUUUGUCCAAACCAUUUGAGCUCACAAAGUUCCUUGGAAGAUACUGCAAAAACGCCACAUUAUGCACAAAGAAAGACACCCUUUGCAUAUGAAUAAACAAAUCAAGAAAAAAAAAACACUUUUAAGUUCCAAUGAUCCUUCUUUCAGCAAUGAGUGUAGUGAAAAACAUAGUGUGAGUAGCAUAAAAACCAAAGUUUGUAUUCACCAGUUGAUCUUUGUAUAGGCUUGAAGGAUUGACUGAUCCCUCAAAACUAGAAUGGUAUGAUGAAGACUCUACGUUCUUUCUUGAACUGUUUCCUGUGAAUAAAAACAAUCAAAAUUCUCAGUUUUGCAUAUUUUCUACAGAAUUUGAGUACAUUUCAUAGAGCAAUAGUUUACCGAUGUUGGUCUGAUCAUCAUCCAUGUUUUCUACAGAAGCUCUGCAUCUUGACCAAUACUUCCUUUUCUUUAUCUCCAAGCAUGUCUUUGAGAUAUUCUUGUCUUCAAUAUUCUCCUCUUCAAUUUCUUUAGAUUUGCUACUGUCAUCUCCGCUUCUAGGAUUUGAUGAGAGGGUCUUGACAUCAUUGGGACACUCUAAUGGAGUUUUGUCAUGAUUAGAAUUUGUAGGACACAAAGAAAGAACAGGUUUCGUCCAGGUUCCAACCAGUUUAAACUUGUAGGAAUCUCCAGCUUUGAUCCUGUUUACUUGACAGAAACUAGUCCAGCCUUUUGUAAGAUAAGUGACUGUUUUGUAAUGUUUCAAAACUGAAGGCCAUUUUAUUCCCUGUUCAUUCUUUAAAACUAUCUCACUGCAUCUUUUCUCCAGACUAUUUGAGCUCACGAAGCUCCUUGGAAGAAACUGCAAAAAAACCACAUUAAACACAUAUAAAGACACACUUUGCAUAUCAAUAAACAAAUCAUGAAAAACCACUUAUAAGUUCCAAUAUUAUGCUUAAAGACCAAAAUUUGUAUUCACCAGUUGAUUAUUUCUUAGGCUUGAAGGACUGACAGAUCCCUCAAAACAAGAUUGGUCUGAUGAAGAUUCUGCAACUGAUCUUUGUUUUGGUUUAGCUUUUUCGCGGCACAAACGGAUGAGAGAUGGUGCCGAUUUUCGGACAAGUUUGAAUGUAUAUUGGCCUUGCCUAAUCCCAUUUGCAGCGCAGAAACUUCUCCAACCGGAUUGGAUAUAAGUAUGCAUGCCUGAUUUGUCGUGUUUCAAAUCUAACUUCCAUGAUCUUCCUGCUUCGUUGUAAAGAUAGAUUUUCUUACUGUUGAUUUUGUUCAGACCGUUUGACCUCGCGAAACUUAGUGGUAUAUACUGCAAAAUCCCAUUACAAAGUUAGGUUAAUGUCUCAAAGACUAAGAAAGAGAUAUUUUGGUUAAAUUGUAGGAAUCUAAUCUGACCAGUCGAUCAUUUCUUAGGCCCCAAGCUGAGACUUUUGCCACAAAACGAGAAUGGUCUAAAGAAGACUCUACUUUCUUUCUGGGAUUCUUCUUCACUCUUUCACUGUUUCUUGAAGCUGAAAAAAAAUCAAGAACCUCAGUUUUUCUUAUUGUCUAGAGAGUUUAAGAACAUUUCAUAGAGCAAAAGCUUACCAAUAUUGGUCUGAUCAUUACGAUCAUCAUCAUUGCUGUUGUGAGAUGAUGUAUAAUAUUGAAUCUCACAACAACUUGGUCCUAAAGCUGUGACAUGAAACACCAUUUCUCCUUCAUGUCUGAAAAUGACAAUGUCACCAAUUCGGAGAUCAUGUGCAAAGGCAAAAUCUUCCCACCCGUCGGUUAAAUUCAAACCGUCCAUCUUCACUAACCAAGUUUUCUCUGACGCGUCUGAUCUCAGUUUCGCAAUCUUGUUUUGAUCGUUUUUUCCUUCAACAUGCUUCGAGAAGAAAGCAACAGGAAUGUUCUGCAACAAACAUGCAAACAAAAUCUAAACAAAUGAACUAUGUUUAGCGAUAACAUGCUCUGAGAUAUAAGAAAACAGAGUAGAACAGAGUACGAGGUGAGUGCGAAAGCCUUGAAGAAGAGGCUUGAAGAAAUGUGGUUUGAUCGGAGAGUGUAGAAGAGAUUGAUCCGCCAUUGUUGAACACCUCAAGAGAGAAAACCUCAAUACAGGUGAGAACUUUAUGAGAGAGGUUUCAUAAUUUAAAGACGUUCACGUUUGUCUCCUUCUUCUACGUCUUGAAUCUCUCGAGGUGGGAUAUUGAUGGUGAAUAGUUUUGAUUUAAUGUUACUGAUUAGUAUUUUUCUUUUUCUUUUUUUCACUUUUUUACAGAAACUUUAUCGUGUCAAAAUCUAAAGCCAGAUUUUCGACCUCUCCUAUCACCAUUUCUAUCCAAUAAAGUUAUCUUUCCUCUGCUUUUCAGAGCCGUUGAUCUUCGUGAAGAAUCUUAGCACAAGAAUCAAAAUGAUAACACAAGAAGACCAAGCUUAAAAUUCUUUUUGAAAUUAUAAGGUGUGACUUGUGACAGUUAUUGACACGAAUGGGUUUAUAUACCUUGGAGAUGAAGCUAUCCAUCUUAUAGACUGCUGACGUCUUUUUAGCUUCUUUUCAAUGUGCUAGUAAUAAUAAAGUGUUUAGUAUAAUAAUACUUUGUAAAAAUAAACAUUUCUAUGAAUAAUAUAGUUUUUGAUGACAAACAAAAAUUGAAUAAUGUAGUUUUCACAAUCUUUACAUAUUAUCCAUGUUCAUCCCCAUCUAUUCAUUAGUAUAACUCUCUCUUGAAAUCGUUUAAUUAGACCAAAGUUUUGAACCGGAUUAGGUUAAGCUGGUCGGGCCGGAUAUUUUGAUGUUCUCUAAUAAAAAUACAUAUUUCUUUGAUAUUUUGAUGUUCUCUAAUCAUACUUACUUCGUACUCAAAUCAUUUUGUCAUUAAUGAAUUACAUCCAAGCCACAUACCAUUCUCAAAUCUAACUAAUAGCAUCGCAUUCUGAAGUCGUUCAUAAGUUGGCGGCUACUCCUCACUAUGUUUCUGGUUAUCUCGUUUCAGAUAUAUGAAAGGAUUAACAAAGCCCUCUCUACCUUCAAAAUCUCCAACAAAAAGACCUCUACUUCAGCUGCUUCACCGUUUCUGGUGCGAACUUAUGUGUGAGUCAAAAGUUCUUCCAUCUUUUUGACUCAAUUAUUUAGUUUCUUGUUUGGCUUUGGCUACUUCUCACACUGAUUUUAUUUUACGUAUAGCCGACAAUUUAAAAGUUUAACCUAAAAUUAUAACUAAAAUCCCAAGUCUGAACUAUACUAGAGUUUUCUACGUCUAAAGAUCUACUAGUAGCUCUCUAAAAAUGGUAAUGCAAUGUGUAUAUUUCACCUAAAUUCAAUGUAUAAUAAUCUUUUUGUAAGUAAACCUCUUCAAUUAUCAUUUGACACACUGCGAUGGGUCCCUUACUCACAUAGUCACAUGCGAGUUAUUUACUUAAUCUGUUGGUUUUACUGUUAAUAUCUAACCUAAACUUCUUUCCUCUCUAUUCUCUGUUUCUUGGAAAUUCCUUCAUAUUAAAGAACCUUUAGAGAGAGCUGAGAUACUACGAUAGGGGUUGUUUACUCUUAUGGAUCAAUCGAUUUAUUAAAUGCUAGAUAAAUAGAUAGCUCCAUUCUUUAGUCAUGACACAUCACACUCACAUCUCUUCUUGUUUCUUUCUUUCAAAAGUUUUCUGUUCAAUUUAAUGGCGGCUUGUUGUGUCUUCCUCGGAUCGAUUCUCUUGGCCAUAAUCCUCCUGAUCUUCUUCUACCCACCGGAUUUACCUAAGGUCAGUCUCUCUUCCCUCACCGUGACGAAGUUCAACUCCACCGGAGAUCAUAUUUCCGGCUACUUGAAUAUGCAGUUUCAAGUCCUAAACCCAAACUUGGUGACUGAUUUCUUCUACCACGACGUUAACUGUUCAGUUUACCAUGACAAGGACCAUCUGGCCUCGACCAUGUCCCCGGGCUUUGUUCAUCCAGCAAGAGAGACAAGACAGAUCAGUGUCACCGUCCAUCUCACGCCUGGAACUACUGCCAGAGGAAUCGGCGAUGACUUGGCCACUUAUGAUUUUACAGAGUUCGAUGUGAAGCUGACUAUCCUUGUAAAAUCGCUAUUUCGGUCGUCCGAGUUCGUUGAAGUUUCAUGCGAUGACGUGACAGUGGGUCUCCUGCCUACGAUUGGUGGUCACGGCAAGAUGAUUGGUCCGGCAAGGAUCUGUCAGGUGUCCUGAUUUCUUAACCAAAGAGUAUAUAUCUUUGUCCUAAUUUCUCAACCAAGUACAGAUCUUUGACUACGAGCAUGUAAAGACUUGGGAAAUCUUAAUUAUGAAUGUUAAAGUGUUGCCACUUCAAUACACACAUCGUACUUGAAAUACAAGUAAACACUUGGGCCAUUACAAAGGAAUCAACCAUCAUAUAUACACACAAUCACGAUGAAUUAUGUUUUUUUAGUAUAUUAAUGAGAAAGUUUGUAUGAGAUGAUCAAAAUGAUGGCGAGAAUGAGAGCCACGAUUACCGAAGUAACAAUCCACUUGUUCCUUGUCAUUCUUCUUGACAUAGCCGUCAACACCUUCUUGCUCUUGUCAAUGGCGUCAUCCACACCAUGAAGCUGUGACCCAAAAUCAGAAAAUUUAGCUUCUCAAUGAUCAAAUUCAAGCAAAUCAUUGUCACUGAUAGAUACCAAAAGCAACCCUAGUAAUUGUGGUACCUUGUUGUGCGCAUGAAGGAGGGUUUGUCGUUGCUGACUCAAAUCUUGGACAAUUGAGAUGCCAACCUCUUCUGUCUCCAGCAUUAGUCUUCUACUCUCCCUGAUUCGGUCGCUGGAUUGGUCAAGCCUCUCCACUGACAUUGCCAAUCUUCCUCUUUGGUCAGCAGAUACCUGAAAUGAGGACAAUAAUGUAAAUCGCAAAAAUGUCUCUGCCAUCUAAAAGUUUGUGCAAAGAUGAAUAUAAAGAAGGGUCCCUCAGGACACAGAAGCUUAACUGAUGCGAGUUAAUUAAGACAACUAAGAUAAUGAGAAAACUAGAGUUUCUAUUUAGGAGUUAGGAGCUAGGAGCUUACUGCAUGCAGAUCUGCAAUUCCCGAUUCCAUCAAUUCUUCACGAGAAGACUGCUUAGCAUCUGCGGACGAGACUCGUUUGAAUUCCUUCUUCAAUUGGUUCAGAUCAGAUUUAUACUCUCUUAGUUUAGAAAGACACACAGCUUUAGCACUCGGCUGCAAACUUCUAGCCUCAAGAUCCAUUUUCCGGAUCUAAAAAAAAACACAAGCAUAUACUGAUCUUAAAAAAAAAGAAGAAGAACACAAGGGUAUAAACAUUAAAGCAAGUUAAAUGCAAAUACCAAGACAUCAGCUUCUUCUAUUCCAGACUUAAUCUCAGCAAUCUUCCCCUUCUUCUCUUCUGCAAACGCACAUAACAAUAUCUAAUCAAACCUCUAAUAUGGUUCUAUGGCACCGCAAACGAGCAUGUUUAUAAUAAAAAAAACUCCAAGAAAGACAGUGGUAAACAUACACUAAGAAAAAAAUGAAAAAACCAACUUAAUAAACUUCUGCAGCUACAUAAUUAGGUUCUCAUAUUCAGUCUUGAUCCCUUAACAAAACUACUUAUCACCAAUCCAAGCAAUGACAUUCCCAGAUGCUACAGAACUCGUCAAAUCGUAAACAAGCUAAAACGAUUAGUAAAGAACACUCAUCCACAAGCUACUUUCCAAAUACACCCCAAAUUCGGGUAAAUCAGACAGAAAAUUUUCGACACUUAGGUAUAUACAUACUAUGCAGAACAACAGUAAUCGACAUAGAUUGAGAAACAACGUAAUAAAUCUAUGCAGCUACAUAAUAACUAUCUUGAGCUAACUAGGUUUUCAGAUUCAGAAACACUUAUUAAUCUAAUCCAAGCAAUGAGAUUAGAUCCUAUGUCUCAGGUAAAUUCGAAGAUCUCGCGUUCAAGAUCCGAAAUCGAGAGCGUCUAGAUUUUACCUCCGUCGGAGAGAACCGAUGCAGAGUGACAUUUUCUGGAGAGAUUGGUUGAGAGCUCGCAGUAUUGGCGCUCGUACCCUUCAAAUACGUCGCUCAUCUUCUUCAAUUCAAUGUUUCGAUCUCAAAAAUUCGACUGAUCAAAAAAAUCUGGUGAUUUUCGAUUUGGAUCGGAUCGGAUCUAGAAGCAAACAGUUUCCUCAGAAAAUCAAACAACUCUUCUUCUUCCUUCGAUUUUUUUUCUGCUCGGGGAACAAGAAGGAACAAACAAACAAUCAAAGCGGUGCGUUUUAUCUGGCACGUGUCAGCUACUGUGUAUUUCAACUAUGCUGCAAUCGAUGAAAAUGUAGGUGAGACAAACCAAACCGAACCAAACCGUAGAUUUUUUCAUUUAAUCGUGUGACCGAACCGUUCAUAGAUUGAAAGCUAUGUGGGACACUUUCAUAGUCUCAUGGAAACAUUUACACUGCCCCAGCUACAGACCUCAGAGGCUAAGAGGUCAAGUGAUUCUCAUACUAUAUUUAGUCAAGUGAACAAAAAUAUAGUAUGGGGGUAACAAGCAGAGAUUCUCAUACUAUAUUUAGUCAAGUGAACAAAACCAACAUAUAUUAUAGAAAUUCCAUGAGGGAUUGUUUGUGUACAUCCACAUUCAUCUACUCAGUCAUUUUAUUCUACAAGGUAGGAAAACUUGGGGAUCUUAUAGCUCGUUCUUGACCUUUGCAUCCCCAUUUGGUAACACACUUUGCGAUUGCGCCAGCCGUUUCGCUUCCUGAAUUUGACGAUAACUAUUUAAUCACCUUGACUUCAUGAAGAUGUAUAGACUAGAGAAGUUAACAACUUACAGCGGCAGAACUAGCACGGAUUUCUCUAUACAUAUCGACUUCAUCAGGAAAAGUCUGUUCAAGCUCCUCCAAAAUAUGUUUUCUCAAAUCCUAUUUAUAACAAAAUGUUGAUUAAGAGAGUCACCUUAAAAAUCAGAUACUCAAAUAAAGAAUCAGUAGAAAAGGAGUUACCUUAAAAGCAUCAGUCUUGCCCUUUGUAACUUGAUUUCUAGCUAUGCAGCUAUUAAGAACAUCUUUCGUAAACUCAUCCGGGUUCUUCCCAUCAUCAAUCAAGCUAAACCAAAAUGCAAACAUAAGAAAGCAAGUAAAGGUGUCUAUCAUCAAAUGCAUUCUAAGAAACAACAAGGCCUAGCUCUCACUUAAGAACUUCCAUGGGGACUUGAAUGUUGCAUUUCUCAGACAACUUAGUCAUGUUAUCCAGCUCCAUCACAAGAGAGUUACUGCAAAUAUACACACACAUUCAUUCAAACAAUAAUCUUUGGAACAAACACUGAUGAGUAGAAAAGAGGAGUUAAUUACAGGCGCUGGAGGAGAUGGAGCUGAGACGCGGGUGUGAAAGAAGUGACGGUAAGGUGUAACUGAUGAAGGACUCCCAAAGUUUUUUCAAUAGAGUUUAUGACUUGGCUCAGAUUCUCCUUUGAAUCAUCAGCAACAGUUGAAGUCCCGUCAUUGGUUUGAUAUCUAAUCGUACCAUUGCUUCCACUCCCACCAAUCCCUGCACUUGUGUUCUGUGCUGGAUCCAUCACAAGCUGACACAAAAUAUAAACUUGUAUCAAUCUUUGAUCUCUGACCUGAUGCGUAAGCGCUAACAAAGCAACAACAAGAAACGCAAUUUUCGAUCUCAAAUUAAAACGCAAAUUCGUAGGAAACCCGUUCAAGUUUUUCGAUCGAUUGGAGUGGAUUUUGUUCUUAAAUUUCCAAUUUUUGAUGAAAUUACACAAAAAAAGACUCAAAGAAGAGAUGCCCAGAUCAAGAAGCAUAACAAUAACAAGAACCAUUAGCGUCGAAUCAAGAUUCGUAAUUACCUACAACAGAGAUGGGUUUUGCGAGAGAGAGGUAGAGAUGCUCCGGACGAAUUAGGUUUUCCUCCGAGCCUAACCGUGAAAAAGGACCGACGAAGCCAGGGAAGGAAGUGGAAGAUAUUUGGACACUUUUGAUGACGUGGAAUAUUAUCUCGUCUCUGUUUCGUUCGUACUUUUACAUCAUUCUUGAUUAAAAUUUAAAAUAGAAAUGACAGAUUUAACAGAGUGAUUCAUCCAACACAACAAUAGGCAUUCUCUAAAGUUUGAUCUGUUUAAUCGAUUUGUUUGUCUAACACGAACAGUUUGGUCCAUUCCAGAGAAAGAGUUAGUAGUAUUACACUAAGUUAAUUCUCUUUUUUCUACGACAUAAGCUUUAAGAACUCAAAACAAUAAGCAGAACAAAUCGAGAAGAUAAGACUGCUAGGUGAAAAUCCUCAGUUUUUCAAUAGAGACUGUACUAAAACGUACGUUGCCGGGAUGAUGACGGAUUCUCUUCAGGAAGAUUGAGUAAUUGCUGAAUCUGGUAAUGAGCCUGCAAAGAUAAUAAACAUAAUCACUACCCAAUGACACUUCACAUCUAAUGCACAGUUACUAUGCAUAGUGAUUUUCUAGUCUAAUCCAACCUCAUCAGACAAAAAAUUGACUACUAUCACAAAGCAAGAUAAGAACUUGAACUUACCAGUUUGAUGCGCCCUUUGAUCUGCGUAAUGACACCAGUAUACUCUUCUAAUUGUCUGUAAACAUAAAUACCACCAUUUACAUAGCAUCAAUAAUCAGUCACUAUAAUGCAUUCCACUGGACAACUCAUUCAUCAUAUACAAUGAUACAACCAUGUUUUCCUUGGAUCCAUCCAGAAGCAACCAACAAUCUAAGGCAAAUAGAAUUUUGAAAGCUUUGAGAAAAGUAGCAUGUGAAGCAAGAAAAGCAAAGAUUUAUCUUACUUUUUAGUUCUUUCCUCCUUUUGUGCAAUAUAGUCAAGAGCUUCUUGCCGAGUGAACUCCACAUAAAAUCCGAGGCCUACAUCCAUGAAUAUGUGCUGAGUAUCUGGCCUGAACUCAAAUACAGACACCCAAAUCAGGUGUACACGAAGUCAGAAGCAAAUCUGGUAGAAAUCAUCUCCAAUUUUAAUCCGCAGUUAUAAGUGACUUACACUUCAGCUUGCAUGUAAACUUCAGAACCAAGGUUGACCAUUGUUUUGAGACUAUUCACAGCAUUUUUCUCCAGAGUUUCUAGGUUUUUCCGCAAGUCAGAGCUAGAGUGGGAGUAACCGUUAAGGAAACAAGAAUAUUCCAACCGAAUCAGAGUUCACUAGAACAGCAAAGCAUUGUCAACAACUACACCAAGAGGAGUUCCUCUGGAUUUCAGAAACACAAAACUAAGUCAAAAACCGACUGGUAUAUGAAUCCGUCAUCUUUGAUGGGGCUAAGACAUGGGAGAAGCUAACAAAACAUUAAGGAUCAGCUCCCCAAGAUGCACAUCUCGAGAAGCUAGAGUCUUCCCUAUACAAAAGGAUACAGUACUUUUUGUUCUUCAAAGAUCUUGUCCCUGCAAAACCAACAAAUGAAGAGACCACAAUGAAUAAACCUUAAAAGGCAUGCAAACAAAACAAACAAACCUAAUCCUACAUACACUUUAACAUCAUACAUACACUCUAAAUUUUGAUCUGAAAAGAAAGUUAAUAUCAAUACCGUGAAGCAGUUGCAUGUACAAGCUUCUGUUUUAAACCUUUAUCAAUAAUCUCCUCCAACAACUGCAAAUCCUUUUGACGUCCCUCCUCCAUUACUGCAACGGGACCAAAACAUAUCAAGCUUAAGCUCUAACCAUCGCCUCGCUUAUUUGAUGGACUAAGUCCAAAAUAAGUUUCCAGAAUCUUGAGUUGUUCAUUUCAAAAUCUAGAGUCACCUAACAAUCAAUAUCUAAAUACAAGCUAUACAGAAAUUGCAUCGAACUAAUACGUAGAAGCAUUUCAUCGAACAGGUGGUGAACAUCCCCAAGAGAGAACAAAAAUCACGCAAUUAUACUUGAAAUAUGAAAACCAAACUGGUUUCCAGACGAAAUACUAUCAAGAAUACAUUCAACUAUAUAGAAACCCAACUCGAUAAACCCCAAAAUUAGAGAUACAGAAAACAGCAAAGGACCGAGAGGAUUUGACUCACGAGUAAGGUGAUGAAAUAGUUCUAGACACGUCAAGCCCGAACGACGGUGAUGCUUCUAGUGACAGCGAUGUUACGGUGGUUGUGACGGCGAGUGGCGACGGAGACGAAGAAGAAUAAUACUUUGGUGGUUUUAAACCGGUUGCGAUUACUUUUGGUUUUAAUUUCAAGUCCUUUGAAAUAUAAUUAAAUUGCAUAACAGCCCAUCUACUUUUUAAACUUACUAUUUACGCCCAAGAUUUUCAAGACACAAUCAAACUGGCAAUAACAAACAGGAGCAGAAGUGCAGAACUAGGAACGAACUUGGGAUGCUAUAAUCUUCAAAAAAAAUGUAAAUACAGAAACCAUAUAUAACCAAAACAUUAAAGAUGCAUCAAGUUUUUAAGUGAAACAAAAAAUGUUCAAUAAAACCCCAUUUAAUAUACAACUUCUUGUUCAGCUAAUACGCUUCCAUGUCCAUUCACCGAGUUUAAUCCGCACAACACAACCAUUACUCAGCAUCCACAACCGCAACCGUUUCCAUGAUUGGUUGAGUUUCACCUCUAGAAGCUUCCAUACUAUAAUAAACUCGACAGCUAAAAUAGAACACUGCACUCAUCAUUGAAUCGAUAAGUGUCACAAAGGAAUACAUCAACACCAAAAGAGGUCCUUCCCAUAACCUAGAAGACCCAUCUCCGUAACUCACUUUCUUCACUCUGUGAUCAAACAAUCCUUCCACAAAUGCCAAUCCUAAUGUUGACCCAAGGAACAUCAACAAACCAACCUGAAUGUGCCCUUUGAUCAAAUCACUAGCUCUCAUCAUUGCUCCUAACCCUGAAACAUCUUCCAGAACCGAGAUCACGAUCGCCGUGUUGCAGAUUAUAAUGGCGUUGGCGAAAACUACAGAGAAUGCUAAACCAACUAACAUGGCUCCAUAAACAUUGAAAUCUGGAGAAAAGCCGAGAACAGAGAAUGAACUGCAGAUUGCAACAAGAAGAACGCAGAAGAAAGUGAAGCAACCAACAAUCAGAAUGCAAAUCCAAAGGUAAGUGAACACAACUCUUCUCCAUAUCUUCUGCAAUGUACCCAAGAACUUGCUAAUAUCAACUAUUUCCCUCGAGUAAGUGCAAUCCACUGAGUAAAUCACAGCUGCUUUAGACAAUAGAGACACAGUGAUGAACAAAGGGAAACACAUUGCAGACGAAACAGCAGUUUCAGCGAAUUUCUGACAAGAGUGUUUGACAAAAGGCUGCAAAGGAAGACCACUUGACUUUGCCACUAAAAGAAGCUUCAGUGUGAGUUUAUUCACUAGUGAUUGAUCAACUAAAAAAUUUGGUAAGAGUAAAGCAGAUACAGGACAGAUCAAAACAGCAGUAGUUAUCAUGAAAGCACCAAGAUUGUACCGGAGGAUUCGAACUGUUUCUCUCAAGAUCUCUAAUGCAUUUGAAGAGUGAAAUUGCUUGUGACUGUAUGAUUUCAGCUCCGGUUUCCGCAAAACCUGAUUCGUUUCCGUCUCCAUUUUUUCUGAGAGUGAAGUGGGUUUCAGCUAAGUUCGAAAUUACAUACCAAAAAUCUUGAUUUCACAAGCAGCGGAGAUAGAAAUCGAAGCAAAGAGAAGAUCUUUCAAAUAACCCAGGAAUCAAAUUGGGUCAUUCAAGUGGAAAAUACGAAUCUUGGCACAGAUCUCGUUCCUACAAUAAUUUUGUUUAGAGAAUGAUUUUUUUGAAAGGAAAAAAAAAUGAAAGAUUUCCAGUUUUGUCGGUGGCACAAGUGAACGUGAUUUUGUCGGAGGUAAUCUUCUCUUCUCCAUCACGAACUUGAAGGUAAACCGCUAAUUUAACUGAAACCUUAAAACACUGACCGUAAAUCCGGUUUGGAGUAAUUAAUAAAUUUGGUUAGGCCCAAUAAUAGCUUAAUGGGCUUCUUUAGGGGAAAAAACAAGAAGAAUAUUUCUAUGGAGAAUCUUUCCGGCGAAAGGAAAUGGCAAGAAGGGAACGAGUACGAUGAAGUUGAGUUAGAGCGGGAGUGACAACACCGUUGACCACUAAAGACGAGAGCUUUAGAGACACAACAAUGGAGCUGAAUAUUUCUGAGGGUCGAAGCAGAUCAAUUCGUUGCAUUGUGAAACUUGGUUUGUCUUUUGAUCCCUAUUCAAAUCCUUGCUGGAUUGAUUCAUUUUAGUUGUGCUGUCUUAUGGGUUUGAUUCUGAUUUGAUUUUUCAAUCCCAAAAAUGGAGGAAGACUCUAAAGAUCUCUCUUUUAUUCAUUUUCCAUCAAUUUUUACCUGUCUAGACUUUGUAACAGCAAAAUGUCUAAAUUAUUUGAUAGGAGGUGCGGCGAUUACUUGCAAGAACGAGCUGGAGAAGAUUCACGAUGAGAAUCUGGAGGUCGUUGCGUGUCAGUUACGUCAGGCGAUGAUGGAGGGUUCAGCUUCGAGCAAGGUUAUUGGAAUGGAUUGGAGCAAGAGACCUGGAAGCUCUGAGAUUUCUUGUGAUGUGGAUGACUUAGGAGAUCAAGAGUCUUCUGAGUUUAGCAAAUUUGUUGUGGUUCAUGGCGCAGGUUAGUUGGAGAUUGAUUCAUUAUCAAAGCACAUUUUAUCUGUUCUUUAAGAUUAUUGACCUGCUUGUGUUGUUGAGCUGUUAUUUAGUUUUUGGGUUUAUUGUGUGUUGUUCUAAUCUGUGUCAUUAGGUUCCUUUGGGCACUUUCAGGCCAGCAGAUCUGGAGUUCACAAAGGAGGACUUGAGAAACCUAUUGUCAAAGCUGGUUUCGUUGCUACUCGUAUAUCUGUGAGACUGUUAGCUAAAUCUGGUGCUGUUACUUAAGCUAGUCUUGAGCUGUUCUGAUUGUUUCCACUUCUUUUUUCAGGUCACAAAUCUUAAUCUUGAAAUUGUACGAGCACUUGCCAGAGGUACUUCUUAAGUUUGUUCUCUUUUUCUCAUCUGGCUAAAAGUAAAAGAUGAAUUUUGAGCUAAACGUUAUGCUUUCUUGCAGAGGGCAUUCCUACAAUCGGCAUGUCUCCAUUUUCAUGUGGUUGGUCAACCUCCAAAAGAGAUGUAAGAGCCAACUGAACUUCUUUUUCAUUUUACAUAUUUCUUGAUCUGAAGCAUGUAUGUUCAGAUUCUAAUGAGACUGCUUUUUGCAUUAGGUGGCUUCUGCGGAUCUAUCAACCGUAGCUAAAACAAUAGACUCAGGAUUUGUCCCUGUGAGUUUUGAAUCCCACCAGUGGCAUUAGGUAGAUGUUUCCCAAAGUCUUCUGACUGUAAUUUUUGUCCUGGCCAGGUUCUCCAUGGAGAUGCAGUGCUGGACAAUAUACUGGUAAUAUGCUCUCCCGGGAUACCAAAUAGCUCUCUAGAUUCUUCUCCGUUUACAAUUUAAAAAGUUAAAAAAUCUUGUCCUGAACAGGGCUGCACCAUAUUGAGUGGUGAUGUUAUCAUCCGUCAUCUUGCAGAUCAUUUGAAGCCAGAAUACGUUGUCUUUCUCGUAUCCUUUUCAUAGUAUAAACCGGAAAUUUAUUUUGUGUUCUCUCUGCCUCUUUCCUAUAUAUUCUUUAUUCUUUGUUAUCUGAGUAACUCUUUACAAAGACAGAUGUACUAGGUGUCUACGAUCGACCACCUUCAGAGCCUGACGCUGUGCUCUUGAAAGAGAUCGGUUAGUUCCAAACUUUACUGUUUCUUUUUUCAUCUCUAUUAAAAGUCUUGGCCUAAUCCUAACGGUUCAUGCAGCUGUUGGAGAAGAUGGAAGCUGGAAGGUUGUGAAUCCAGUGUUGGAGCACACAAACAAGAAAGGUAAAAGUAAAAACCAGUAUUGUAAAACUGUGCACUGCAAUAAGUCUGAGGGCUUAGUUAAAACCUGUCUGAUUUUUGGAAUCAAACAGUUGAUUACUCUGUUGCGGCGCACGAUACAACCGGUGGAAUGGAAACAAAGAUAUCAGAAGCUGCUAUGAUUGCAAAACUUGGAAUCGAUGUCUACAUUGUGAAGGUAGAUUAAAGACAUCUUUUGCAUUUAACUAUCUCUUAGAUAAAAGAUGGAGCUUUUAACCACGAUUAUGCUUUUUCUUUUUAAUCUCUUAAACAGGCUGCGACAACUCAUUCACAGAGAGCACUCAAUGGUGAUUUGAGAGAUAGUGUUCCUGAAGAUUGGUUUGGUACUAUCAUCAGAUUCUCAAAGUAGACAGACACACUAAUUCCAGUUCCUCAACAAAGAAGCAUUGACCUCUUCUUGCUAAUACUAUCUCAUUGUUUCUGCAUAUUUACCAGACUUUGUGCGAGGACGAUAUUGUGUAAUGUCAAAACAAGUUAAAAUGUUGAAUGUUAUUAACCUGUGUAAUAUGUUUACAUAAGUAAUCAAUCACCAUUCUUACACUGACUGCUAUUGUUAAAUAAAAUGUGUGCUAAACUCUUGUCUCGUGCACAGCAAUGUACAUCGUGCAGAUGGCAGCAAGUGGCUUCUAAGUUCUAACAAGAUCCGUGAACAUACAUAAUCACAGAACAAGCAAAAGAGAUUUAAGAAUAACAUCUCAUAGGAAACUUCGAAUGCUUCAACACAAACUUUUCAACAAUCCAAAACCAAUAGAUAUGGUUGUCUUGCAACAAGAAACACACACAAAGGGUCUAAAUUAGGAAAAAGAAAACAUCUUUUUGUUCUUAUAACAUUGACGUCUGUUGUCAAACUGGUAAUAAUAUAUCGAAUGAUACUUGUUUACUUGCCACCACCAACUUCCUUCACGGCACAGAUCUGCUCCUCUCCCAUGGAAGACAUGACAGACACCACAACAUCCUUACCCUCAUCAAAUCCACUCCUC